rnacentral:lncRNA from 1 species
UAGAGAAGCCCCGUGCCCGCCUUCGUCCCUUUACCUCUCAGCUCUCGGUGAUCGGCAAAACCCAUGAAAACACACGCAACGAAAAACUAUAGCGAGUGAAAAGAGCAACAAUGGCUUACAAUCUCAGUGCUUCACCAUUUACUUCACUUUCUCAUGACACCAAUCUCUUUUGCAACUCAAUGUCUCCUCCACACCUCCUUCAAAUCAGUCUCAGACAGUAAAAAACCCGUCGAUUUUCGCCUCAAAUUUCGUCCCCGGAAACCCCCUUUUCAUAUUUCCAAUGUCUCUUUACAAGAACGAGAGCACACCGCAAUUUCAGAAGAUUCACACAACCCAACUAAAAAAACCAAUUCUUUGACAAAAUCCUACAUCUCGGUCGAUCCCAAGAGCCACAGAGCAUCGAAAUUAAGGCAGAAGUCCUAUGAUUUCAGGUAUUCUUCUUUAGUUAAAAUUUCGGAAUCUUUGGAUUCUUGUUCCCCGUUAGAAGAAGAUAUAGUGAAUAUAUUGGAAAGCUUUGGGACUAAAAUUGUGAAACAAGAUGCUGUGAUUGUAUUGAACUACAUGUCGAACCUGGAAACUGCGCUAUUGGUGCUUAAGUAUUUUCAAGAAUGGUUGAAAUUGAGUGAAGAAGUUAUUUUGUAUAAUGUUACUUUGAAUGUUUUCAGGAAAUAUAGGGAUUUCGAUGGGGCAGAAAAUUUAUUUAAUCAAAUGCUUGAGAGAGGGGUUAAGCCUGAUAAUGUUACUUUCUCAACCAUAAUUAGCUGUGCUAGGGUGUGUUCUUUGCCUGAAAAGGCUGUUGAAUUGUUUGAAAAAAUGUCAUCUUUUUGGAUGUGAACCUGAUGUGGUGACUUACUAUGAUUGACGAAUAUGGGAAGGCAGGGAAUGUGGAUAUGGCUAUGAGUUUGUAUGAUCGUGCAAGGACUGAGAAAUGGUGUGUUGGCGUUGUCACCAUCUCAACGUUGGUUAAGAUUUAUGCGGCAUCCGUGAAUUUUGAUGGGUGCUUGAACGUUUUACGCUGGAUUGGGAGGGCCAGACUCCAAAAGUUGGCUAAUGAGGUUGGAAAAUCGAAACCAAUAUAAACCAUACAAAGGAAGCUUACACUUUCGAUGUGGGAUUCAGGUGCCCAUAUACCCCAAUGGGAACCAUGACAAACCAUCAUGCUUCCGACUUAACAUCCACGUCGAGCAGGUGCCCAUACACCCUAAGUGGUAACCGAGAUCAGAAGAGAUGAUGCUUGCUCUGGUACCAUUCUCAUGCUCAAUUGGGAGAGUUAGCCCUAAAAACUAGCCAAUGAGGUUGGAGAACCCAAACCAAUAUAAACUACGUAAAGAAAGCUUACACUUUCAAUGUGAAAUUCAGAUGUCCUUAGACCCCAAUGGAUACCAUGACACACACAAAGGAAGCUUACAGUCCAAUGUGGGAUUCAGGUACCCAUACACCCCAAUGGGAACCAUGACAAACGUGUACGAGGAAAUGAAGGCACUAGGAGUUAAGCCUAAUUUGGCUUUGUAUGACAAUUUACUGGAUGCUAUGGGAAGAGCAAAGAGGGCAUGGCAAGCAAGCGAAGAAUAUCUACAAGGAGAUGGUGAAUAAUAUGAUCGAUCCAAGUUGGGGUAGUUAUGCCACAUUGAUUAGGGCAUAUUGUAGGCUUGGUAUGGUGAUGACACACUUAAUGUUUACAGGGAGAUGAAGGAGAUGGGCAUGGAGUUUAUCGUUUUUUCAUAUAAUACUCUUUUGUAUAUGUGUGCUGAUGUAGGACAUACAGAUGAAGCUGUUGAAAUAUUUGAGGAUAUGAAGAGUUCAGGGACCUGCAUGCCUGACAGUUGGACAUUUUCUUCUUUGAUUACAAUUCAUUCCUGGAGUGGGAAAGUUGAGCAGGCAGAGGCUACGGUGAAUGAAAUGGUGGAAGCUGGGUUUGAGCCUAACAUCUUUGUCUCGACCUCACUCAUCCAGUGUUAAGGGAAAGCUGGCCAAAUAGAUGAUGUUGUAAGUAUAUUUAAUUGGUUGCUAGAGCUAAGUGUAACUCCAGAUGAGCGAUUCUGCGGUUGUCUUCUUAAUGUAAUGACUCAAGCACCAAAAGAAGAACUUUCUAAGUUGAUGGGUUGCAUUGAGAGGACUAAUGCGAAGCUUGGUCGUGUGGUCAAAAUCCUUACAGAUGAAGAUAAUUUUGAAGGAGAAAUCUUUAAGAAGGAAGCUGGUGAACUCUUUGAAUGUAUUGGUAAUGAUGUAAGAAAGGCCUAUUGCAAUUGUUUAAUUGAUUUCUGUGUCAACCUUAAUCAUUUGGAGAGAGCUUGUCAGUUGUUAGACCUUGGGCUCGCACGUGGAAUAUAUGAUGAUGUACAGUCUAGACCUCUAACCCAGUGGUCUUUUCACUUGAAGAGCCACUCUCUAGGGGCGGCUUUAACUGCACUGCACAUCUGGGUGAAUGACUUAUCGAGAACAUUCGAAGAUGGGGAAGAACUUCCAUCAUUGCUUGGGAUCAACACAGGGCAUGGGAAAUAUAAAUACUCUGAGAAAGGAUUGGCAGGUGUUUUUGAAUCCCAUCUGAAGGAGCUAAAUGCUCCAUUUCAUGAGGCACAAGACUAAGGUUGGUUGGUUUUUGACGAUGAAGGUUGCAGCCACAUCUUGGUUGAAGUCUAGAAGUUCCCAGGAGGCAGUUGGUGCUUAGGUGGAGUUCUUAGCCUUUUUGUUGAUACAUGACACCUCAAAUUAUUGUUUCUCUGGCCUUGUGCAGUUAUGCUUAGUCUACAAUAGAGAAUUUUCUUCUUCUUCAUUUUUUUUUUUUUUUGGGUCACGUGGAUUGGCUUAUACUGAUUGUUUCAUGAUUGUUUCGCCCUUUUAAGAUAGUUUCAUGAUUGUAUACGAGUUCAUUGAAUGCCUGCAUUUGUAUGAUGGCAUGGUUUUGACCAGAAUGCAUAUUUUCUUGGAUAAUUCAAAAUUUAGAAUGCAUAUUUUCUUGGAUAAUUCAAAAUUUUGUCCCGGCUUCAAUUUUUAUGCUCAUUUUCCAGUUCGGUUGCUAAUUUGUAGCCAGAUCCGUUGAUAACCCUUCAUUAAUAUGUUGUUGAGUUGGGAGAAAAUGAUGGACCAUAAAAGAAAAAGAUUGAAGAAGAAUCUCUUGUAUAUAAUGUACCCAUAGCACAACCCUUUUGACCUUGCAAGGCUCUUUUUUCUCUAUGUGCAAAGUCAAAAUUGCCGCAUAUGACACCAUACUGCCGCCCUCUAACACCACCAAAAGUCACAAAGGAAGCCGGAGAGUAAGAAUAGUAGACACUAAGAAGCAGUUGGAGCUGCUGAUCAUUAGUACAAAAAAUCUCAAAUCGAGGCAAAUUGCACUUCGAUCCUCAUCUUUAGCUACCAUUCCAGAGUUGUAGUAUUGUUUAAACAGCAUGGAAGGUUUUUUCUUUCAGUUUAUUAUUCGAUUUGCUCCCCGAUUUCUGGUGGAACUGUACAUGUGAACAAACAGGAAGAGUAUCCACUUUUGGAUGAAUAUAGAGGUGUUCAUUUCUGCUAUAAUAUGUACCCUCCGAAGAAUUCUACGGAAAAGGGAGGUGGGGGUUCCUACUUAAUCAAGUUACCUCAAACGCCCCCACCAAGCCCCGAGGUUCUAUCUGUAUUUUUAUGUCAAUCAUGUUUGAAUGAAGAGAUCUCUUCAAAGGCUAUCGAUUAUACAAAUGCAAAUGUUUCAGAACUUUGCAGUUUCUUAGUUGAUGAUGUCAAUGAGGAAUACAUUCAACUUUUAUACUGCAAAUGUCUCAGAAUUAGUCACUAAUUGUUAAGUUGUAGCAAUGUCUGUUUCCCCUGUUUAGUGACUCCAACAAUUUUCAGGUUCUUGAAUUUAUCAUAUGCUCAACCAUUCAGAAUAUAGAUUAUAAUUACUUGUUUGAAUUAUUUACAAGAGCUUUUCAGUUGGAUUGAAUAUCAUCCCUUUGAAUCUUAGCUGAAAAUAACUCCCAAAUUCAUCCUCUAAAACGCUUGACAAUCCCAUUUACAAAUCAAUUGAAAACAUUAUUUCUUCUGACUUGAAUCACUCAUAUUCUGUGCAUAACUGGUAUGAUACACCUACUGAUUUCCAAGCUCAUUUUCUCUCUCUCUCUCUCAAAAUGCAUCUACAGGAGGCACUUAGGACCUGAAACAAUUCGCAAAAAUAGUAAAUAUCUCAUGAGUGGAUAUAAUCAUACAAAUUUGGAUCAACGGAAAAGUACACAGGGAACGGCCAAAGGGUUGGUGGGACAGAGACGAAAUGCUAACCUUCUUGAGGAGUUUGUUUUUCUUGUCUUGUCAUCCACCUUAGCUGAUACUGAAUCAGUCUCUCUUAUUGCAGCUUCUCUCUUUGUUUUCUUAGACUCAAUUUGUAUUGCUUUUGACAGGGUUUCUAUCUUCUUCAUGAGCAUCUGUAAAUAACUCAAAUAUACUAGUUAAACAAUGGAAGAAGCACACUGCAGGUGCCUUGGGGUUGAGCGGAGUUGCCAAUAGGUACUUUACCUUGAUUUCUUCAUCCUUAGCAUUCAAAGAGCUAUCUUGAAACUCGCAAUACUUCCUCAAAUUCAUAACCUCUUUCUGAAGCUUAUCAUACAGAAAUCCUGAUACCACAUCAUCACUAUUGCUGUUAGCACUAUCCGCAUUCUUCAUCUCUCCAUUGCUGCCAACUAUACUUUUUGCGUUCACCAUGUCUCCAAUUUCAUUGCUGUUAUACUUCUCAAGAGUCACAGUAGUAAUUUUAUUCAUCUCUGCGUUCUCCUUUUCGCUGUCUAUGAAUUUAUUCCUAGAAGCCCACAUACUCUUUUUCAGCAAAGUCUCUCCCGUAGGAUCUCUCCUUUUUGUACCAUCCCCUGGCUUAAUUUCUCCUUUAGCAGUCAAAGUUUGUUUCUCGUCUCCUGGCAUUGAUGAGCUUUUGUUGAUAGUGGAACCCCUUGGUUGUGAUGUAGAUCUCUUUCUCAUUCGGGUAUUACUCACUAGGAUCCCAAAAAAGUGAUUGGUCUUUUCAGUUUUCGGGCAUCCACCGUUUGCAUUAGGAUUGACUGAGAAAUAUGACACAUGCUUUAAGCCUUCUUCCAGUGUCUUCAGCCUCAAAUUCAACUUAUCCUGGCGAAAAUGAUUUUAACAUCUUCAAUUUACUCAAUCAAGAAGCAAGAAGCACAACAUGUCUUAUAGUAUAGUAGAGAAUACAAGUUUUAACCUUGAGUUGUGCUUCAGCCUUUGCCGUUCUCUCUGAAAUCGCCAGCUUGUCUCUUAACCGUUGCAUUUCUGCCUACAAUGUAUAAAUCCAAUAAUUAAUAAAAAACUGAAAACUCAUUUUAGAUUUUUCGUUUGAAUUGUAAAGUUUUUGAUGUGCAGAUAAGGAAAAGUGAUCGAGCAUCUGAGAUUGGGACACCGGUCGAUACCUGCAACAGCCUUCUCUCUUCCAGCCAUUGCUUGACCGGCAUUACUUUGUCAUUCUCGUCUUUCCACUCGUUAGCCACAACAGUUGCUACUCGGUUUGCUGAAACCUUUAUUCUUGCUAGUUCUCUUUCAGUGUCCUCUUUUCCUCCUAUGAAGUUUCAUAGAAAUAAGAUCAGUUGAUAUAAACUACAUGUCUUAUUGUGACUACCUUGUGUUUGGUAAAUUAUUAACUGUAAGAGACACAAACAUUCAGAAAACGUUAAACAAGUUCUACAUUUAACCCCGAAAUCUGUCGUUUGUAAUCACGAAUAGUGUUGGCUGCUGCUCCACCAGCAAGAAUGGCCUCCUCAAGCUCCUGAAUAGUUUGGCUAAGCUUUUCAACCUCUAAAACUUUUUGCCUAUUUGUCUUAUCAAGUAUUUUGUUCUCCUCCUGUGCAUGAAAUUCUGUUAGUUUUCUCGAAAAACAUUUCAUGGAUUAACCUCGUAAAAAUUCAGUCUGAAAAUUUACCUGGCAGAUUUCAAUUUGUCUUCUAAGCUCGAAGUUUUGAUUUUGAACCUCCUCCACUACAAGUGCCCUUUCUAGAGCACUUUUCAGUAUCCUUUCUGCUUCAAGCAGAGCCGCUUCUUUCGACUUGGUGAGACGAUCCAAAGCCCUCUUAUUUUCCUGCAGUGCUGCAACCUAAAGAGCUCCAAGGCAAUGAUAUCAGAUAAAAAGCAAGUCAGUUUUGCUCGUGUGUGUUUUUCAGCACAAGCGUAUGAUUAUAAAUUUCUAAUUCCCACUUUCUCUUCCAUUUUAGGAAAUUUUUACAUCAAUUUAGUCGAAGGAGCAUCAGAAGAGUUUUCCUUCUUGAUCAAUGCUUAUAGUAUAAUUCAUUGAAUAGAAACUAUCUUUAAUCAUCCAUGUAUGCACCUCGUUCUUAUACUUUUUGAGUUCUGCCUCAAGAGGAGCAAUAACUGACUCAAUAGGAAUAGAAUCAUCGUCCUUUUGAUUCGCAUACACCCUCCUAAGAGUUGCUUCAGCUGCAUAUUGUGCACUCAAUGCCCCUCUCUUCUCAUUUGUGAGUUUCGUAGUUUCAAGAUUCUGCAUCAAUCCGACUCAAAAUAAGUACCUUCUCAGACAAUUCAGAUAAAGAUAUAUAAAUAUUGUUUCAUAGAAGAGAGACUAUAUCACACACCUUCUGUUCAAGAAGGUUUUCAGUGACUCUGAGCUUCUCUUCAAAUCUUUUUAAUUCACUUCCAAUCUAGAAAAACAAAUAGCAUAUAUAGAAAACAUAUCAUGGCAACUAUAUUCGAUAUUUUUGUGCGUCAAAGCUGAAUUUAUUUUGUAUUAUUUUUUGUUUUAAUAAUAAGAUGAGGAAAAUAUUUUUCGAAUACCUCGUCUAAAGCCUUGUCCUUUAAGACUUUUGUUGCUCUCAGUGCUUUGAUUUCAUUUUGGACCUCUCCCAACUCCUGAUCCUUCUCUGAAAUUGCGAGACAAAUUUAUCGUUCUUAUCAUCGUGAUUGCAGAUUGUAAUAGUAAAACAAGUUUGUCGCCAUCCAAGUAGGAAUUUAGCGGAGGAGAAUGUAACCAAUAACCAGUAAGAUGUUCAAUAUUAUCAGUGAACCUACAAUCCAGGACACCUUUCCUUGCCAGGAGAAAAUAUGCAGAAGAUGGCAAAUGUAUGUAGAUUGACGAAUAAAGAACCUCUUGCGAAAUUUUAGUGUACAAAACCAGCUAAGAAAGGUCUAAACGACCCCAAUGCAUCAACACCACUAGCAGGGUGUUCUUACUAGAAAUUCUGGACAUAUACAGAGCUAUGAAACUAUGUUUUAGGUGUCAGAUUAAUGACCGUAUUGCUCAAUAUAAUAAGUUAAUUUGCUACACCAAAGUGCAAAAUUCAAUUUUUUUUCUCUAAUAUGUUCUAAGUACUUGAUUCAAAUUUUGAGGAAUUUGGAAAGUCCCCUUCGAUAAACAGAAUUCCUUUACCUUCUGCCUUAAUCCUAAGCUGAUGAUACUGCCGAAGAAGGUAAAGUUGAACCGGUAUUCAUAAAUAAGAAGAGGCAUUAACCACGAGCGACAGGUGACAACUCGAGCCUUAUCAAAUACAUGGUAAAUUUUUGUGUGACAUCCUCUUAUUUAGUCAUCUAUUUUAGCAUAUUCACUGAAUAAAACAGCAAAAUAAUUGCACUUUUAUAGUGGAAUUUACUAAAAAAAUUCCCAUUAUGGUAUCAUAGUGUGCAAAAGUCUUGAGUCCAUGUAUCACUGCCACCCAUUUAUAAGAAAUCGUGCAUGUCUACAAAAAAGGCAGCAUGUUGAAGCCAAUUUAAAUAAAUAAAAUUAUUUCGUCUUUAACAGCUUAUGCUAUUAGACUAGGUGGUUCACCAGUUACGAUCAGUUACCUUUGAGUUGGUUUUGCAAUCUGGUGAGCUCUAAAAUGAGAGGGUCGGAACGAGAAAGAGGGACUUCUCCUCCACCAAUUUCCUCCAAGCCAUGCAUUUUCUGGGCUCUGUUUAUGGCAAAGAAAAACAAAUAGCUUCCUUAAGAACAAUAUCAAAGACAAAGUUUACAGGUUCAGUAUAUGUAGAAUGAAAAAAAUGAAUACUGAUCCAUAAAAAGAGUCCAUACUUGUAACGAAUGGACCGUAAAGAGAGGAAUGGAUUUCCCUCAUUUUGAAGCAAUCCUGAAAGGAACAGAUCAGAAGCCGGCCAAGCCGGCUAGCCACCCUUCUUUUUCUUCUAAUUUUGAAAUAAUUACCGUUGCUGGUCUCAUUACACAUGGUAAUUAAUUCAUACAAUUUUUUCAUUAAUUCCAUACGAGAAAUUUCCUAUCCUUUAAAACUUGAACAACUCCAGAGACUCGGUGUUAGACUCCAAAAGUUCAAAUGAGCUGUUGAUUUUCAAAAUUGGUGUUCUCAAACGAGUCACCAUUUUUUGCGGGUGUCUUGAGAAAAUUUUGAAAAAUAGUCAAGAUGGUAGGUGAAAGCAAAACGAAAAUUUUUAUUUUAUCAAAGCUUCUUAUUUACAUAUUCCUAAUUAAAUAAAGAUUAACAAGAAGUUCUUCUUAAAUAUAAUUAUAUUCUAAGCCUGAGGUGUCUGCAAUGAUCAUUAUCUGAAAAGCACUUGGUUUUGGAGUAAAUCAAUUGCUUAAGCGUUAAACCCUCCUGAAGUUAAUCAAAACAGUAUAUGGAUAUGAAACCAAGAAAAUGAAAUGCUCAUAUACUGUAAAAUUGAAAAGGGUUCAAAUGAAGUGGCUUAAAAGUAUAUAAAAAGGUAAAGAUUAAGCCCCGAUUUUUGCUUGUAAGUAUGGAUGAAAAUGAAAAUAUUUGAACUCCAGCUAGCUACCUAGUUUUGAUGGGAUAUUGCCAAAUGGCAAUUUAAAAAUUGUUAAGAGGAAACUAUAUAUUUUUUGGUGAGACUACAAAGGGAAGACAUUAUCUCUACCAACACCAAGUAAACUACUCUUAGAAUAAUUGAUUAUUGUCAAUGCAGAAUUGAUUAUCUUAUAGGAUUAAUGGGAGGAUUAUUCCUUAAUGGAAUUGCCACUUAAUUAUGUUUAGAAAGUGACUUUGAAUUAUUUGUUUUAAGCCAAGCUGCUAACCAUAAAAGCCGGUUCCUUAUCCUUUUGAGUAGGUAAACACUUUCUUUUUUUUCUUUUUUCUUUUUUUUUAAUGAAUACAAAUAUACUCAAAAUAUUUGGUACUUUGGACUAUAAAGUUUGUUGUCUUCUUCGAUCAUCUCUAUUAUAAUGCGUUAGACAUAUUUAAAGAUUUCAAAAUGUGUCAACUGAUGAAAAGCACGCUCUAGUGACCUCUAUAGCGGACUAUCUGCAAAAAAUAUAUAUAUAUGAAAAUCGACAAAGGCCAUACUCGAGCCUAAGCAUAAACCACACUAAAAUUGAAUGGUGCUGAAUUGAUACAGACCCAUAUGCACAUGUAAACUUGCCCAUUUUGAUGACAAGCAAAUUAUAUCAUUCCAAUUUUUCCUAAAGCUAAUUAUAAAGUACAGUAGUGAGAUGAUGAAACUAAUGGAAGAAUUUAAGAGGGUAUUAGUCAUAAUCAUAUAAUUGUAAUUAGACCAAAAAUCAAUGAAAUUGAAAACAUUUUAAGACCCUACUUAGUCCUCCAAAUUAUGAUGGAUUAUGAAAUUAAUCCAUAAAAGAUGAUUAAUUCAUUUACUUUGGUUUUUUCUUGCCACUUUUGAUAGUGAAAGGGCUAUGUAGAGCAUUAACAACCACAUAUAUGCUUGUUGUUCUCACUCAAACCUUUAAUUCCUAUAUGAAUAUUUAUUCCAUGAUACCUAUUUAGCUCAUGUGUACAGUUUUUAAAAGAUCAUGACCUUCAACAUGCCAUACGACGGAAGAACAACACAAUGGUGCCUAAAUUCAUAAGCUUAGUUACAUAAAAAGGAAGACACAACAAAUAUUAGCCCAAAGGCUAGGAAACAUUUCUACCUGAGUAUGGUUUAAUCAGUAUGUAUUCGCUAUUUAAUUGAGACUUAAACAUGUAUAAAUAAUACGUAUAUCAGUAAAAAAAGUAAUAGAAAACGCUGAAUGCUAUAUGCCGAGAGUAUUACCCAAAGAACAUCAUAAAACCGGCCCAAUUGAGAUGAGCGGCCCACUUUAAUCUAUUGUUCAGUAGCAAUUUGGCAUCUAAGUUUUAAAAUUAAACAAAUUGAUCUCCAAUAUUUACUAUAAUUGCAAAACCAUCAAUAAUGGAAACUCUACCAAUCUGUAUUAAUUCAGCACGUGACUUUCUCGCAUCAUUUUACUUAGACUUGUGCCCAAAAUUUUAAAUGUCUCGUGUUUCAUUAAGGCAUGUCAUAAUUUAAUAAAAAAUUGGCGAAAUUUUGUUACUUGUAUAUUAUUGUUCAUCACCUUGUUGACAAAUGUUGAGCCGAUGGCAAGUAAAUCAAGUUGAAUGUAAGAUGUAAGUAAAUUGAAAUAAAAUUCAAAUUCAUCUAGGAAGUGAAUGAAAUUCAAAUUUAAUUCGAAAGUAAUUUAAAUUACAUUUAAUUUAUAGCGAUCCUAAAAUUUUUAAACCAUACUCCAUGUAAAUUUGCUAAAAAAUGGUGUAAAUUAUAUUGAAAAAUUUGUUGUGCAAAAAUAAUAAACGUUAAUGAAAUAAUUUAAAAAAUAAAAAAAAAGACAAGUUAGACAUCUUUUUUAGAGAUAUACGUUUGAUGCACGUUUAACUCUUUUCCAUAUCCAUUUGAACCAUUCGAUAUAACUACCAUGUAGUUCUCGAAACGAUCUUCUAAAUGACGUAGGUGAUUUGUGUAUUCGGCUAAAGUACGAUUGUCGACGAAUUUUAAAGUUAGCUGUUAUCGUAAUUCUUGAAAUACUAGUUUGUAAUAGUCGACUUUGACGCUCCGUAACUUUUGCUAUGGUUGGCCAUUUCAUGCGUCAUUAAUGAGCGAAAAACUAAGCCGUGAGCAAUUCGAAAUGGUUUUAAUAAUGUAAUAUUUUGACUUCGUUUGAUAUUCCAUAAUGAGUGCAUCAAAGUAAACCGUGAAGAAAACAGUUACAAAUUUUUGAAAAAACAAAAAAAUAAAAAUAAAAAUAAAAAUAAAAAUAUUAUGGGAUCAUUUGACCCCAUAUGGGUCCGCCCAUGCAUAUACUAUAAAGAUAGAUAGACAGGUGAUCAAGUACUAGUGACUUUGAAGUCUUUCAAAUUUUGAGGUGAACAAGAUACAUCAGAAGUGUGAGUUUCGGCUUUGAUUUCUCCAUUUGCAGAUAGACAGUUUCUGAGUUUCUCGUGGUUUGAGGUUCAUCAAUCAUCCCUUCUAGAUCCCUCCUCCAUCUGUAAGUGAAGUUGCAGGUAAGCAGACAGGAUUCUGUCAAAUAGAACUUGUUGAACAUAAUUUAGGAACCGCAUUCUUAGGUCAUUUUCAAAGACAAAUGAGUUUAAAGGCGAGAUCCACAUAAUUUUGGAACCUCAUUCUUAGGUCAGUUUCAAACCACUGUACAGUUUUAUUCAGGACAAAGGGGCAUACUCCGCAAAGGAAAUAGUGGCUAAUGACUGCCCCACUCGGCCAUUUUUUCAAAAUGGUCUUUGACCGGAUUCAUUAAUAAAAAGAGAGAGAGAGAGAGAAUGUAAACUAAACCCAAAGGGUUGAAAAUACCCUCAUUUGGAAAGAAGAGAAGAGGGAAAAGAAAAAAAAAAAAAAAAGGGGAGUCUAGACCUAGCCCACUUCGACCAAGACUGGACCCACGUCGAACAGCCGGAAAUCGCCAUUUCUGGAAUGUUAGAUUUUUGUAAAUAAUUACUCUCCAUUGUAAUAUGUGGAAGUUCAAAUGUUUAGGGUUUGAAUAUGAGUUAAAUUCAAUUUUUAUGGUUAAAAUGGAAGAAAAUGUCGAAUUUGAGAUUAAGAAGUGGAAAAAAUGAGACGAAACUCGUCGAAAAUGGAGUUUUUCGACGACCCCGUAGGCACCGAAUGGUCCGUUACAGACUCAUAUUUUCCAUAACGGACCACGUAGUUCGGACCUGGAUCGUCCGGUCCGGGCGGGCCGGACUUUUUUUUUGUUUUUUUUUGUAAAGGAACAAAAUUUGAAUCUUAUAAUUUAAAAAAAAUAAUUCUAAUUUAAUUCGUUUUCCAUAAUUUAUUUUUCAUUUUCAAUUUUUUUCUUCUUUUAAUUUUUUUGCUCAUUCAUGCAUGUAUUUUUUCUUGAAUUUAAUUUAUUUUCAUUAAUUUAAUUCAAUUUAUGUAUUAUUUAAUUUUUAUUUACUCUUUCUAAUGUGCGAGGAAAUGAUUUUAUUUCUUACGUACACAUAAUUUGAUUUGUUAAAUUUUAAAAUAUAAAAAAUGUUGAUAAUUUCUUAUAAAUGUCUUUAACGUGUAUUAUUUUUGCAGAAUGGAGUACCACCUAGACAAUGUCAUGAGAGCUCAUUUUGAGAAAAGUUACGUUGUAUCGGUAUUGGAAGGACUCGAUGAGGAACAUAUAGCUAUACUCCGUCGAUCAUUCCUAUGGUCCUUCUAUCCGUUGAAGGACGUGCAAUUUUUCAGUCAGAUUAUUAAUUCCUUAUUACUUUGGCUUUGAAAGCCAGUUGAUGUCAAUCGACCUUUGAAUACAACUGUGACUAAAUAAAUAAUUAAAUAAACGAAAUAAAUAUUAAAUAAAUAAUAUACACAAGCAAUUAAAAUAAAUAAUUAAAUAAAGCAAAUAAAUAUUAAAUAAAUAAUUAAAAUAACUGUGAAUUUCAUUUUGUAAGAUUGUAUAUUUAGUUUCUUUUGUAAUUACCAAAUAAUUGUAAAUUUUAUAUCAAUAUUGUACGUUUAAUUUCUUCUGUAAUUACGAUGAAGAUUAUUAAUUAAUGAAAUAUUUAAAUAAGAAAUCAAAUUAAAUAUAAAUUUUUUAUUUAAACAAGUGAUUAAAUAAAUAAUUAAAUAAAGUAAUUAAGUAUACAUAACCAAUUAAGGUAAUUAAAAAAAUAUUUCAUCGAGAAAUUAAAUUAAAUAUUAAUUUUUAUUUAAAUAAAUAAUUAAAAUAAUAUUUAAAUAAGGUAAUGAAAUAUGAAAUAAUAUUUAAACGAGAAAUCAAAUAAGGUAAUGAUUAAAAUAUCCAAUUAAGAUUAUUAAUUAAUGAAAUAUUUAAAGAAUAAAGUAAAUUAAAUAUUUGUUUUUUAUUUGAGUAAGUGUUUAAAAUAAAUAAUUAUAUACACAACCAAUUACGAUAAUUAAUUAAUGAAAUAUCUAAAUAAGAAAUCAAAUAAAAUACUAUUUUUUUAUUUAAACAAGCGAUUAAAUAAAUAAUUACAUAAAGUAAUUAAAUAUUAAAUAAAUAAUAUACAUAAAAAAUUAAAGAUAUAUUUAGAGGAGGAUUAAAAUUAAAUAUUUUUAUUUUUAUUUAAAUAAGUAAUUAAAUUAAUUAAACAAUAUACAUAACCAAUUAAGAUAAUUAAUUAGUGAAAUAUUUAAAUGAGAAAUCAAAUGAAAUAUUAAUUUUUUAUUUAAAUAAAGUAAUUAAAUAUUAAGUAAAUAAUGUACAUAACCAAUUAAGGUAACUAAAAAAAUUAUUUAAAGGAGAAAUUAAAUUAAAUAUUAGUUUUUAUUUAAAUAAAUGAUCAAAAUAAUAAUUAAAUAAGGUAAUGAAAUAUGAAAUAAAGAAAAAAAGGUAAUAAAGACUAAAUAUACAUAACCAAUUAAUGUAAUUAAAAAAAAUUUAAACGAGAUAUUAAAUAAUUAAAUAAUGUAAUGAAAUAUUAAAUACAUAAUAUACAGAACCAAUUAAUAUUAAAUACAUAAUAUGAAAUUUUUAUUUAAAUAAGUGAUUAAAUAAAUAAUUACAUAAAGUAAUUAAAUUUUAAAUAAAUAAUAUACACAACAAAUUAAGGAAGAAAUUAUUUAAAUUAAAUAUUAAUUUUUAAUUUAAAUAAGUGAUUAAAGUAAUAAUUAAAUAAAAUAAUGAAAUAAUAAAUACAUAAUAUACAUAACCAAUUAAGAUAAUUAAUUAAAUAAAUAUUAAUUUUUAAUUUACAUAAGUAAUUAAAGAGCAUGUCUGUUUCUCAUUUUCAUGGUAAAAAUGCAUUUUGUAAUAGUGAUUGUUGAAAAAUGUGUGGUUAAAAAAUAAAGAAAAGUUUUAGUUUUGCGUGUAAUAUUAUUUUAUUGAAGAAUGUAUGGUUGAAAAUAAGAGAGAGAGAAAUGUAUUUUGGGAAAAAUGGGUGCCAAACAAGGGCUAAAAUAAAAGAGGCGUGGCAGAGGUGUGGGAGGUCUCGGAGGGGAACGAAGAGGACCCCUGGCUUUUUUAAACUGUAAGCAUUAUUUUAUGUACAUUAUGAUUCGUAGUUGUAAAAUCACUGUUGUAACUUGUUACGAAUGUUCUCAAUCGUUGUAAGAAUUGGUAACUUUAAAUCCUUCUUAAAUAAAAUAUUGAGCGACUCCGCAUUGAAGAACCAAGGCAUCGCUAGAUCAUCUAUUCGAAUUGGUAACUCUAGAUCCUUUUUAAUUAAUAAAAUAUUUAAAGGAAUAAAUUAAAGUAAUUAUGAUUUAGGGAAAUGAAAGUUUAUUUCAAUAAAAGUUUUAUGAUUUAUUUCAGUAAUUAUAAUUUAGGGAAAUGAAAGCUUUGAUUACAAAAUUUAAAAGCCGUUAAGUUCGAUUUGUGCGGUCUUUGAAAAUAAAACCAUUGUUCGACGUCAUCAUGUUAUAUCGAUAUCCUGGAAAAUGUUACCAUGCUUAAUGUUCGACUUCCAUAUUUGUUAGAUAUUCUCAUGUACCCGUGUGAUUUAUGUUCUAUUUCGCUCAUGAACUUAUCAAACUCUUCAAAACUGUAAGCUUCCGCGACUUUCCUAAACAAUAUACAUAACCAAUUAAAAUAAUUAAUUAAUGAAAUAUUUAAACAAAAAAUUAAAUUAAAUAUUAAUUUUUUAUUUCAGUAAGUCUUUAAAAUAUAUAAUUAAAUAAAGUAAUUAUGAUCCUGUUUGAUUACGAUCCUAUGAACAAAUUAGAAGAUCGUGUACUCGAUCCAGCCUGUGAAUUCCCACCAGACUCAUGUCUCUGUCUGAUUACAAUCCUGUGAACAAAUUACGUGUGUAACGGUGAAACCAUGGUGAAUAGCAUCUAUCUCGAGAAUAAUGUUUAGAUGUAAAAUGAUUGAUAGAGUUUCGACUUAUUGUGAACUAAUGAAUUUCAUUCUCUAAAUAUUUUAUGAAAGUAGAAGGUAGUAAUACUAGUUAAGGAAUUUUAACAUUUUAACAAGCUCUGUCUUUCGUUCUUUUCAAAUUACAAACAAGUUCAUUAAUCAUUUAGGUAUACAAGCAGUUAUUUUUCUAUCCAAACCACAACUUAUAAGUGUUUAUUAACUUUAAAAACAACAAAUAAAAGAAAGAACAACGAAAAAAUGACUUGAAUGGAAAUCUGAGACUUGUGAAAGAAAAGAGAGAAAUAUGCAAUUCAGGUAAAAAUUAGCAGACUAACACGUAAAGGCGACUGGCGAUUCAUUCAGAAGGGCAGACAAGCGUCAAAUGUUAGGGAAAUGAAAGUUUACGUCGAGGUUUCUGAAACUUUAGACGUGAUUUGUUGACGUAGUUUGUUAAAUUAUGAUUUGGAUUGUUGAAAAUAUAUGUUUUUUUUUUUUUCAUUUCAUAUAAUUUUGGAACAAUUUUAGUUUAGUUUAGAUAUCGGAUGAGAACUUGUGUUGUGAACUUGUUAAACUAUAGGCCAAUACUGAUAAAUCUAAUUUACUAUCUACGAUUAUUUUAUUUCAAUAGGCUGGUUGUAAUUUGUAUUGUUAAAUUGGUAUUUUUCUGAAAAGUAAAAACUAUAAAUUUUUUAAGUUAAUAAAAUUAAUGUUUUUGUUGUUCUUUCUUUUAUUUGUUGUUUUAAAACUUAUUAUUUACUUAUGAGUUUUGGUUUGAAUAGAAAAAUGACUGCUUGUAUGCUUAAACAAUUAAUGAACAUAUUUGUGGUUUGGAAAGAAAGAAAGACAGAACGUAUUGAUAGUGUGGAAAUGUCAAAAUUACCUAAUUAGUAAUACUACCUUUUACUUUCAUAAAAUAGUUAGAAAAUGUACUAAUUUUAAUUCCCAGUAAGUCGAAAUUCUAUCAAUCUUUUACAUCUAAACAUUAUUUUCGAGAUAGUUGUUACUUACCGUGAUCUCACUAUUACACACAAAAUUAAUUCAUAGAAUCAUAAUCAGAUAGACACAUGAGUCUGGUGGGAGUUCACAUGCUGGAUCGAAUACACUGUCUUCUAAUUUACUCAUAGGAUCGUAAUCAGACAUGAUCAUAAUUACUUUAUUUAAUUAUUUAUUUUAAAGACUUACUGAAAUCAAAAAUUAAUAUUUAAUUUAAUUUCUUCUUUAAAUAUUUCAUUGAUUAUUUUGUUUAUUUAAUCAAUUAUUUAAUCACAGUUGUAUUCAAAGGUCGAUCGACAUCGACUGGCUUUCGAAGCCAAAAUAAUAAGGUAUCAAUAAUCUGGCUAAAAAAUUGCAUGUCCUUUAACGGAUAAAAGGACCAUAGGAAUGAUCGACGGAGUAUGGCUAUAUGUUCCUCAUCGAGUCCUUCCAAUACCGAUACAACGUAACUUUUCCCAAAAUGAGCUCUCUUGAUAUUGUCGAGGUGGUACUCCAUUCUACAAAAAUAAUACAUGUUCAAAACAUUUAUAAGAAAUUAUCAACAUUUAUUAUAUUUUAAAAUUUAACAAAUCAAAUUACAUGAUUUAGUACGUAAGAAAUAAAAUCAUUUCCUCGCACAUUAAAAAGAGUAAAUAAAAAUUAAAUAAUACAUAAAUUGAAUUAAAUUAAUGAAAAAUAAAUUAUAUUCAAGAAAAAAUAUAUACAAAAAGAAGAAAAAAUAAAAAUGAAAAAUAAAUUAUGGAAAACGAAUUAAAUUAGAAUUUGUUUAAAAAUUAUAAGAUUCAAAUUUUAUUCCCUAUAAAAAAAAAAAAGGCCAGGCGAGUCCGUAACAAACUACACGAGACUGUCCGGAAAACUUUUUUUCGAUUUCAUUUUUAUUUAUUUUUGUAAAUAUUUAAAGAAGAAAUUAAAUUAAAUAUUAAUUUUUUUUAUUGAAGUAAGCGUUUAAAAUAAAUAAUCAAAUAUACUUAACCAGUUAAAUUAAAUAUUAAUUUUUUCAUUAAUUUUUUUGAAUAUUUUAAGAAGAAAUUGAAUUAAAAUAAUUUAAUUUUUUUUAUUGAAGUAAGUGUUUGAAAAAAAAAAGUUUUUUUAUCAUAUUAAAUAAAGUAAUUAAAUAUAUAGUAGUGAGAAUUGUUUGAUUUUUAAAUUUUUAACUUAUGGGUAUUUUUGUCUUUUUCAAACAAAAAUAUCUUUGUAAUUGUAUAAAUUAAUUAAGGGUGUUUUUAUCUUUUAAUCAACAAAAGGUUAUUUUGAUAAAUGGCAAAGUUUUUUGAUUAAAGUUGAAAUGUGGCAUGUUGACAUGGCCCAUUUUAAAAGUACCCCAUACGACGCAUGGGGUACUUUUCAAAUUGGCUUGGUCAAACAAAAAUGUUUUAAACUUUGACUAAUUUAUUAUUAUUAUUAUUUUUUUUUUUUUUUGCAUUCACCACAUUGGCCUCUUGUAUUGAAAAAGACAAUUGUGCCCUUAUUUAUGUUCCACAAUUACAAAAAUAUGUUAAUUCUUUGAAAAACAAUAAUACCCUUAAAAAUUUAAAUAAAUUCAAUCACUUCCAUACGUAAAUUUCAAAAUUAAUUUUGCUUAUCAGUUUCUCCAAUACAGUGAAAAAGAAAUUUUUUUCUUCCAUCUGCUAGAAUAUUGAAAUCUCACAAAAUUAUCAAAGGUUCAACAAAAAAAUAAUACUCACAGUUGGCAUUGAAAAUUGGUAAGUGUAAAUACGUAUUUUUAAUUUUGUUUUAGUUAAAUUUACUGUUUGAAUCUUUAAAUCUUACUUUGACGAAGGCAGAUGAAUUAUUACAGUAUUUAAACACAGAUAUAUAAUUUUUUAUAGCAAAAAGGAAAAAAAUUCAUCUCUGUUUGCAUAUAUUUUACAGGAAAAAUUUAUAGGUGUCUGUAAAAUAAAUAUUUAAACAUUAUUUCGUUGAAAAAGGAAAAAAAAUAAAAAACUUCAGCGUAAGUUCCAGGAUGAAAACAGUAGGUCCGAAAAUUCCCAGCCGGCCCAGAUAACUGAGCUGCUGGUAACAGCCGGCUGUUCGGUUUUUUUUUUCUUUCAUAUUUAAUAAUUUAUUUGUUCAUAUUUAAUAUAUGUUUAUUAAAGUAAAUAUUAAUAAAUAUUUAAUACUAAUUGAAAUAAAUAUUUUUGAAAUAAUUAAAAUAAUCAAUGAAUUAUUUAAAGUAUAAAAUUAAAUUAAAUAUGGAAUGAAAUAUUUAAAAAAUUAUACAUUAAUUCCUUAUUUUUAAUUUGAUAUAACAUCAACAUGUGUCCCAAUUUGUUACUUCGGUAAAUUUCAAAUGAAUGAAAAUGUUUAGUGGGAAUGGAAAUGGACGAGUGAAGGAGAUGGGGUUAAAGCAAUUUUUAUAACAAGGAGUACAUCGUUUCCAGAAAUGUACCAUGAUAUACAAAACAUGCUUAACUUCGAUCCCUCUCAGUACGAUAUGAAAUUGAGAUUUUUGUUUCAUAAGCAUUCAACCAUUCCAAUUCCACCUAUGAAAUUUACUUCUGAAGUGGAAAUGAAACAUCUAAUUAAAUUGAACCAAGGUCGAAAGUCGACUCCUAUUUGCGUAACUUUAUUGGGGAAGAAUGUCCACGAGGGUAAACACGAAAUUUCAAAUGAAGAGAAUCGUAAUGUAAAUGAUGUUUGAUAUACAAUUCAGAUUGUUUGUGAAGAUUAUGUGGUUAUUCCCGAGACCACUGCUACUCACCAUGAUCACACUGUUACGGACAGAAUUCCAUCGAUAGUUGAAGACAAUGAGAAUGAAAAUGCAUUUACAAACGAUGAUUUGAUUGCAUUAUCUCGUAGGAGACAUAAGUCGGGUGGGAGCUCACAUGCCGGACCGAGUACACGGUCCUCUAAUUGUUCGCGUGCAGUUCCCAAUGAUGAAGAUGUAUAUGUCGAGCAACUAUUCGAAUUAAAGAAAGAAUUGUAAGAAGUUGUGUAUCGGAUUGCUUUAAAACAUAACUUCGAGUUUAAAGUGAAGAAAUCAAACAAGUCGACGUACACAAUUAUCUGCGUUGACGACAGUUGUCAUUGGCGUUUGCGAGCGACUAAGAUGGACACGAAUGAGUUCUUUGUAGUUCGUAAGUAUACACGGGAACAUACUUGCGAAGUAGGUAUUCGUCGAAAUGAUCAUAGGCAGGCCCGAUCAUGGUUCAUUGGUUGAGAAAUAAUGCACAAGUUCCAGGACCCUUGAACAAUCUACAGACCUUCAGAUAUCAUUAAUGACGUUCGACGAGAGUACGGGGUGAUCAUGAGCUAUCAAAAGAUUUGGAAGGGUAAAGAAUGUGCAUUAGAGGAUUUGAUGGGUUCGACCGAGGAGAGUUAUGCUAAAUUAGCCAGAUAUUUCAUUGUUUAAGUGUUUGUUUCUUUAUUAUUUUAAUUUUUAAUUAUUUUAUUUCAAUUGUUUAUUUAUAUGUAAUUAAUUAUUGAAUUGAAUUGUUUAUUUUUCUGUUUAUUUAAUAUUUAAUAGAUUAUCUAAAUUAUGAUUAUUUUUAUUUACAUUGACCAGGUAUUGCUAUAAUAUGGGAAGAAUUAACAUUGGGUCGGCAUUUUUUAUUGAGAAGGAUAACGAUAAUCGCUUCAAAUAUUUCUUUAUGGCUCUUGGACAAUGUGUUCGAGGAUUUCGAAAUGCAAUGUGACCCCUAAUCUUAGUCGACGGUACAACCUUUAAGGCGAGAUAUGGGGGCAAGUUGAUUAUUGCAACAUGUUAAGAUGCGAACAUCCAAAUUUACCCUCUUGCGUUUGGUAUAGUCGACGGAGAAAAUGAUGUAGCGAUGAGUUGGUUUUUCAUGAAGUUGAGGAAAGUAAUUUGGGAUGUCGAAAACCUUGCAUUCGUUACCAAUCAAGGGCAGUCAAUAAUAAAUGGUAUCGCUGAAGUCUUCUCCGAGUCAUAUCAUGGUUAUUGUAUGUACCAUAUACAGGGAAACCUGAAGACUAGGUAUCGAGGCAAGGGCAUCGUUGCGUUAUUUAGGAGAGCUGCAGAAGCUUAUAGUUUUGAAAAGUUUGAAAAGUUCAUGGUCGAAAUAGAUAGUAAAUCGCAUGCUACAUGGGAGUAUCUAACAGAGAUGGGGAUUGAACAUUGGGCACGAUCACAUUUUCCAGGACGUUGAUACAUCAUGAUGACGUCGAACAAUGCAGAGUUGCUUAACGCUUUAUUCAAGAAAGAUCGAGAGUUACCAAUUCUCGCAAUGAUUGAGAACAUUCGUGACAAGUUACAACAGUGGUUUCAUGAUCGAUGUGAGGAAUCACAGAGUUGUGAAAGUGUGCUAACCCCGGCUCAAGAAGAUAAGGUCUUCAAGACUCUAGAUGUGGCGAGAAAUGUAUAUGUAGAACCAUUGGAUCAGGUUCGCUUCUCCGUGAGACGUGCACGUAAUUUCGGAUACAUCGUGGACUUGAAUGAUAACACGUGCAUGUGUAGACGGUUUCAGUUGGAGAGUUUUCCGUGUACAAAUGCAGUGGCAGUGGCUAUGCAUAGAGGAUUUUCACCGCACCUUAUGCAGUGUGUAUUACAUGACUGAUUAUUGGAGAGCAGCGUAUGCGAAAACAAUAUUUUCUGUACCAAACGAAGUUGAGUGGGAAGUUUCCGACCACAUUCCCUCACUGAAUAACUUGUUGCCACCAACAGUUGGAUCACGUACUCCUAGGCAUACACGUAUGUCUAGAAUACCAUCUAUCGGAGAGUUUCCCCAGCCUCGUAAAUGCGGUAGGUGCGGUGCAACAGGGCAUACUAGAAGAUAUUGUACAAGUCAGAUUCCUCUGCAUGACUAUGUAACGGAUGUGUAAUUUUAAUAACUAUUGACAAUGUAAUUAUUUAUAACAUUGACGUUAAUUAUUUAUACAUAUUAUUUAUAUUAAUUAUUAGAUUUAGUUUUUUUUAAACAUUUUAUUCAUUACUUUCAUUUGUUACACACAUUAUUUAUACAUAUUAUUUAAGUUAAUUAUUUGAAAUCGAAGUUUUUUCUAGACAUUGCGUUAUCCACAAUACACACAAAUAUUAUAAAUAAAUACAUAAAUUGUAAAAUAAAUAUUUAAAUAUUACAUAAAUAAUUAAUAUUUUACAAUUCUUUCGUAAUUACAAAUGAAUGAAUGAAAUGUACAAUGUUUAAAUAAAGGUAAAAAUAUGUACAAUUAUUUACGGAUCCCUAUUAAAUUCAAAUAAAUCACAUACUAAUUUAUUUCUCCAAUUUUGUAUCCAUGCCUGGUUGAUUGCAUCAACCUUAUGUGCAACACUAAAAAAUUCUAUGUAUUUGAUGACGAACAUGCCGCAAUCACCCCUACAAUUAAACAAUGUUGUAUUAGUACAUCGAAAAUUAGUUAGAACCUAAGAUGUAAAUGACAAAAAUAAAAUUACAAACACUUACGGUAUUUGCUGCCUCGUCGUCGUGUUCCGCACGAUGGUCAAUCUGUCCUGCACAGUGAUGUUCGCUCGUCUAGCCAUCAUGGGAACGAUCACAGACACCGACUCUAGAUUUUGCUCGAGUUGACCUUGUGUUAGGCAUGAAUGAUCGGGGUCGUACACAUACAUAGUGGAGUCGGCGAAUACAAUUUCCAUUGCAAUAUAGUGAUGAUUCACACAUAUUGGCAUGUACAUAUGCGUACAACCCUCCCAUGGCUUUCCUCCGACACUCGACCACAUCCCUAUGACCCACUCCAUCAUAUAUGUUGACACCGUGUACUCGUUACCCAUAACUUGGAACGACUGGUACUCAAUGUCAACGGCACGGAUGAACUCGGUGUUCAAUAUGAGUCUGUCAGGAAUGUUGAACGAUUUUGGAUAUCUUUCAGCUCGAUCUCAUAGCAAAUCCAUGACCAAAUCGAUGUGCUACAUCAAGAAACACCAAUAAAGAAAGGAGUUUAUCUAUGAAUUUGAUUCAAAAAUUUGAUUUUCAACAUACAUAAUAAAUAACAAUAUUUUCAUUUCACUUACAUCGUCGGCGAGCCAAGCCCCCGAAGUGCUGAUGUCGUGGAACCACUUGUAAGCAGUUGAGAUCGUCUUCCGAGCAAUCGUGCGACUGACCCUAAAAAAAUAAGAACAUAAUUUUUAGUUACAAGAAGUAUACAUGUGUCAGCGUCUACGUACUAUACUAAUUCUAUAAAAUACAAAACUUAACCAGACUUUAUUGCCCUCCACUCUGUCUCAAAGGCUUUCCACAUGGUGUGGUCCACCUCCCUGAAUAAAUUCGGGUGCGUCCCGUCGACGAACCUUCUCCUCUUCGCCUCCACGGUAAAGAGAGAAACGACGUAUUGUGAUGGCACCCUCAGCCCUCUGCCGACCACCCGCUCCAGCACGUCAACAGCCAUUGUCCUCUCCUCAUCCGUCUUGGGAACCUCCAUCUCCCCAGCCAUCGGGACGACCCCCUUGCCCGUUAUCGGGACCACCUCAUCCGACACAAAGACAACGUCGACGAGUCUGGCGUCAUCUCGGGUACCACCUCCACCUCCGGUACCCUCUCCUACUCCGGUACCCCAUCGGCAUCACCGGAUAUCCCCUGCAUGGGUACCACCUCCACCUCCGGUACCCUCUCGACGUCUUCAGGUAUCCCCUGUACGGGCACCCUCAUCUCUGCCUCGGGUGACGUCAUCUCAGGUACCACUUCCACCUUCGAUACCCCCUCAACGUCCUCAGGUAUCCCCUGCACGGGCACUCUCACCUCCUCAGGUAUCCCCUCUGCCUCGGGUGACGUCAUCUCGAAUACCACCUCCACCUUCGAUACCCUCUCCUCCUCGGGUAUCCCCUCGAUGUCCUCAGGUAUCCCCUGCACGGGCAUCGCCUCCUCCUCGGGUACCCCCUCCACCACAAGUAUCCCCUCUCGCUCCUCCAUCCCCAUCGUGUCAUUUAAAAAUGAAUCAAAUGCAGCAACUGAUGGCCACGACGAGUCAACAUACGCCAUUUGACCCCCUCCCCCCGAUAACCACCGACCCCUCCGUCACGAUAGCCGCCAGUCCCUCCGUCCCAAUAGCCACCAUUCCCUCCGUCACCCCCUCCAUCCCGAUAGUGACCUAUACCUCCACUAGCUCCUCCAUCUCGAUAAUCGCCCGUCCCACGCAGGCCUGCUAUGUCACCUCGUAUCGCUGCAACCUCAACAUGAAGGUCUCCUAACCCAGCUCGUAAUAUCGCGACAUCAUAUCGUAACUUUGUCAUGUCCCCGAACUCAGCUCGUAGUGUCACGACAUUAUCCCAUAACUCUGUCAUGUCUCCUCUCAUCUCCAUCAGGAGUUCGAACAAAUCAAUCGUCGAAGCACGUUGACUAGGUGUAGGAGGUGAUACUAGACGGCCCUCCUGAAAAAAUAACUAUUACAAAUGAAUAACCUAACAAAUAAAUUAAAAUGACAAUCGAAAAAUUAUUUUUAAGUAACAUACUCUAUCUCGAUCAAUGCUGGACUCAGGCAUCUGAACCUCUGGCGUAGCCGGACGUGAUCUUCUCGGUAGAGGUGACAUCCUCGCCAGACGUGAUCUCCUCGGUGGAGGUGACAUCCUCGACGGAGGUAGUACUGAACGACCCUCCUGAAAAAAGAAAUAUUACAAGUGAAGCACUUAAUUACAAGAUCAAAAUGAUAUUCAACAAAUCCUGCACAAUAACAUACCCUGGACUCAGGCAUAUAAUCGUCAUGCGCAGUCUGAACAGGCAAUUCACGAAUAUAAAACUGACUCUCCUCCUCGAUCGACGGUGCCAAUUCAGUGAGAAUUUCAAGCUGACAUUUUGACAUGUCACAGUUAAUGACUAUGUAUUGAGAUUGUAAAAUGACAUACAACAUAAAUAGCAAUUGUAUAAUACGUACCUUAGGAUCGUCGAGGAGAGCCGAUAACUGUCUGGCAAGCGCCUUGUCUUGUGCUCGCCAGUGAUGCAUCCGAGGACAGCGUGUCUCUCCUCUUCUCACAUACCGACUGGCCAAGAUGGGGACAGUCUCGUACACCCAUAUCUGCAGUAAUUGCAAUUAUUAUAUAUAAAAUUUAAUAAAAAAAGUGUAGGUAAUUCAUUAACUUAAACAUAUACCUGCAGCACCAACGGCAGUCCAUAUGCAUCGUACUUGCGCUCGGGCUUAUCUCCCUUUAGCAUCGAAAACUCCCUCCUAAACAUGCGUAAUGUAUCUAGAAAACAUCUCCGGUCCCAUGGGUAGUUGUUGAAGGCAUCAAUAUCAUCAACAACCUCCAAAUGGAAAAUGUCAAUCGAUGUCUUCUUGUGAUGACACCGGAGUACGGUCUCAAUGAUAAGCACCAAGCCCAGCUUCAGCCUAUCAGACAUCUGAUCACAUCUCCUUAAUGCAUCUCCCAAUUGUGCUAGAGUAACCGUCGUCUGUCCACAAAAAUAUUCAUUCAACAGCCUCCUGUUCCUCGGAACACAGGCCCUCGCCUCUUCUUCGUUCGUACAUCGCAGUCCAGUGACGAGGGCAAACUCAAAUAUGGAGAACGUCGCUACCUUGCCCCCAAGAUCAAAAUAGAGGGCGUCUCCGUCAACUGGCUUCAGCAACCGACAUAGCAGGGCAUCGAGCAGCUGCCCAGACCACUGUAUAUCACGCAACGAAUACAAUGGCCAUAAGCAUGAUCGACAUUAUAUGUCCGCGUGCUCGUCAUCCAGCAAAUCUAAUACCAAAGCGAAGUUGGUAAAGUUACAAUUUGACGUAACUUUACCAAGAAUCUGUCUGACAGCGUCGUCCUGAUAAUAUUCCAUUCUGCAAAUUUUCAAAUAUUAGAACUCUGUGCAAAUGAUGUUUGAUAAACAAAAAUUUUUGUUCAUAGGUAAUUGAUAAACAAAAAUAUUACAAAAAUAUAAUAACACAUUGCUAUUAUAUGCAAUAACCUAUCGAUAAUGAAAUAAAGAAAAUGAACGUAAAUUACUAUUUUCCAUACACUUAAUUUGCUAAUUUGAUUGAUAUUACUUAUUUAAUAUUUAAUUAUUUAUUUUAAUUAUUUCACUAACACUUAUUUUAAUUCUUUACGCAUAAUGCUUAUUUCAUAUUUACAAAUUUAUUUUAAUUACUUUGCAAAAAAUUAAUUUUAUUGCGAUUUUAAUUUUCAAAUUUAAUUGCUUAUUUUUAUUAUUUUACAAAUGUUUAAAUAUUUUAAUGAAUGUUUAAAUACUUAUUUUAAUUCUUUACGUAUAAUGUUUAUUUCAUAUUUACAAAUUUAUUUUAAUUGCUUAGCAAAAAAUUAAUUUUAUUGCUAUUUUAAUUUUCAAAUUUAAUUGCUUAUUUUUAUUAUUUUACAAAUGUUUAAAUAUUUAUUUAAAUUCUCUAUAUAUAUUACUUAUUUAAUAUGUAAUUAUUUCUUUUAAUUAUUUUACUAUUACUUAAUAUAAAAUAAUUAAUUAAUCUAAAUUAGCAACUAAUAAAUAUUUUGAUAAAUAAUAAAACAUUUAUGUCUUACAUUUCAAAUAAAUAAUUUUAAAUACAUAAUAUACAUUAAAAUUAAACAAUUCAAAUAAAUAAUUAAAUAUUAGAGAACACAAUAAGAAAUUAAUAGUUAUUUAAUUAACUUCAAUAAUUACGAAAAAUAAUUAAAAAAAAUUGUAGGCCCACGACCCAAAUAACGAGCGGCCCAGUCAACUGGGUCAACUGGGGUGCCCAAUUGACUGGGCGCAAACAUGCUUUUUCUUCGUAUAAAAAUCUUACCUUCUUCAGAGAAAAAUGGCCAACUAGGUUUCCUGUUUUUCUUUUUUUGUCGGUGACUGGGUCGACGGUGCUAUAGUAAUUUUCCACUCUCCUUACUGUCUUCUAUUUCUUUUUCAAAUGGUAAGGGUAAAUUUGGAUUUUUCUUGAUUUUUGUUGGUUUUCAAGAUUUUAAACAUUUUUGCUUUUUUUUUUUAACUGGUCAAAGACCUCUUUGGAAAAAUGGCCGGGUCAACUGGCCAUUGGCCACUAUUUCCUCUACGGCACAUACCCGGUGUAAUGUUCUUGUCAUAAAUAUAUCAACCUGGCCCUCAACCAAUUUGUUUCCUGAAUUAUUCUUUUUAUAGCAGGUCUGAUUUAAAUUAUUAUUUCAACACCACGUUACCUUUAUUUGGUUUAGUUAAAUAUUGGAUUUUUAAUAGGUUUUGAUAAAAAUUAAUUAAACAAACGAAAAAUUGAUAAAAAUUACAUUCUCACUAUAAAUGUGUAGUUGAAACCGAUUUUGAGGAAAAAUGAGCCCGAUUUAAGUUCAAACACGUAACCUUCUUUUUUAAUUCGUGGAACGUGUCUUAAAAGAUAUGAAUCCUUUGCAUGAAACUGUCGAUGAUUUUCUUUAUUUAUUGCUCAAUUACUUUGGUGCUGGACCCAUGUUCCUUUUUACGGAUGGAUUAUCAACGGUCUGUCUUUGAUGCAUUAUGUGGUUUCGUCCCCACCAUUACUUGCAUGCUAAUGAAGUAAAAUUAUGGGAGGCUUUGAAUGCCGGAAAUGGAAACGCGUAGAAACUUUGGUUGAAUCAUUUGGUGCAUUUCCUUUUUCCUUGCGACAUAUUCUGACCAUGCAUCAUGGCCUGAUAUUUGAACCUCUAGCCAGAUAAUCCAGUAGGAUUUUCGUAAGUUGUGCAUCAAUAUUGAUAUCGUAGUGUCAAAUGAGGGCAAGCUAAACUUUUUAUGAUAUUAAGCUACCAUUAUUUGAGUGAUCCAACUCAUGGAGCAUAAGAGUGGCCUUAUUGCUCACCAACAAUUCCUCCCGAUCAACAUUACGCUCUUGUGAUUGGGCUCAUGACAUCUCUGAUGCCUUUUAAUAGGAUCGAGUUUCAUCGAUCUCUGAAAAUUAAUCCGUGUCUAGUGAGAACAAACUAAAUCUUUUAUGACAUUAGAUAAUCUUCAUCUGAGAGACUCAACUCUUGAACUUAAAAGAGCAAUCUUAUUACUCUCCAACACAUUUUAUUCUUUAGCUCUUCCUAAACUAGUUAAGCUUUUAUAUUUUUUAAUUAAUUGAAGGUCAAGUUCCACAUUUCCUAUCCCAACUUGUAUUUUUCUUUAUUUUAGAAUGAAUAAAUGCUCACCCUUUUUUUGGUUUGAUUUCAAAAAAGGGCUAACCCCAUUAUACGGUAAAAUCAAUCGCUUAUUCUGAUCAACCCAAGCAGAAUUUUUAUAUUGGAGUCAAGAAUUGUGCUUAGACAAACACUAAAUAUAAAAAAAUUAGUACCUACGACCUUGUUGAUUAAUAAUCUCAAUCUGGACUCUUUUCCAAAUUUUAGAAAUAGUAAGUCCUGUCAAUGAAACGGCAGUGGUAGUUGAAUAUUGGCCCCCGUUUGACAUCAUUAUUUGAAAAUUCUUUUUUUUUUCGUAUUUAUUUUCAAUCAUACAUUUACACGAUAAACUAUGUUGCAAGUAAAUCCAAUUUUUUUUUUUUUAACUAUCCGUUCUCCUAAAAAUCACUAUUUAAAACAUUAUUUUUUCCAAAGAAUACAUUGUCAAAAAGGGGCUUAAUGAAUUAAAUGUAUGCUUGAUAUACAGUACUUACCAAAAUCUUAUUCAUGUUUGCAUGUUGAUCAAUAAACAUGCUAUAAGGACUAACAAGAGCGCAUGAUUUAACGUCGCCAAAGAGAAAGAGGCGGAAAUCUAAUUACAAAGAAAACAUAAGAUUUGUUCGAUUCACCAAAUACACAAACAGGCGCGUGCAAUACAUAUGUAAUAUGAGGUAAUUACACAGCUAUAUUUAUUGCAGUUGGACUCCAAUCUGAUUUCAGCUUUCAUUUUAUUAUAAAUUCUUCUAACUUCUUGAUCAGUUCUUCCGUGCUUAUUCCUUCUUCUUCACCAUCUAUAAUUUGUUGUGAUUCUCUGAUCAAGAAGAAAAAAAGAGAAGAUAAAAGAGGAAAAACUAUUAUAUUUCUUACUUGAAUAGAAUUAUACAAUGGAGUUUUACAAACUCUCAAAACUCUCUCUAAUCUCUCCCUUUUUUCCUCAUCUCCACACUCUAUUUUUCUUCAUCUCAUGGGACUUGUUUCUCUUUGAGGCAAAAUCUAUUUAUAGAAAAUUUCAGCAAAAGUAACUACCUCAAUUUGUGGCAAAAAUUCUACCAAUUAAAUGAUAAAAUGGAAGUCAACAAAAGUGGCUGCCUUCAUGCAUGUGGAGGCUGGUUUUAAAAAAUUUAUUAUAUACAUGGAAGCCUUCUUCAUUAAGAAACCAGAUUUGUGGUUGUCAACCAAUCACAAAGGCGGUGAAAGAGUUUAAUCCAAUUUCUCCUCUUUGCAUGUAGGUUGCUACUUGUUUCAUGCAAUACCAUUCAUGGUGGUUUCUUCUUCAAUAAAUAGGCACUAGUGGUUGAAUUUCAAAAUCUUCAGCUUGAAGAAACUGAAAAAAUGCGGUUGGACUUAUCAAUUCUCCACCUCGAGUUGCAUCCAAAUCAGUUGUUAUUUGACAAUCAUCUCAGCCAUGUCUCUGCACAACUCUAGCUUCUCUCUUGGGAACCACCUUUGUUAACAUAUCCGCUGAAUUCUCAUUUGUGUGAAUCUUAACUAGUCUUAGCAAUUGUUCUUCCAUCACCUCUCUUAUGCAAUGAUAGCGGAUGUCGAUGUGUUUUGUCCGAGAAUGAUACAUUGAAGUCUUACUUAAGUCAAGAGCACUCUUGUUGUUACAAUAUACUUUGUAAUCUUUCUUCUUGAUUCCUAAUUCUUGGAAAAAUCACUUUAAUCACAACAUUUCUUUACCAACUUCCAUCGCUGCAAUAUAUUCUGCUUCUGUUUUAGAUAAAGAAAUACACUUUUGUAGUUUUGACUGCCAUGAAACAAUUUUCACUACAAAAGUGUAGAAAAAUCAUGGAGUAAAUUUUCUAUUAUCAAGAUCUCUAGCCAUAUUUGAAUCCGUAUAACCUUCCAAGAUUGAAUCAGCUCCCCAGUAGCAUAGACAUAUCUUUGAUGUACCUUUAAGGUACCUGAGAAUCCACUUGACUACCUCCCAAUGUUCUUUUCCAAGACUAGAGAGAAAACUACUGACCAUGGUCACUUCGUGAGAAAUAUCUGGCCGGGUAAAUACCAUUGCAUACAUUAGAUUUCCAAUAGCUAAAGAGUAAGGUACCAAUGACAUCUCAUCUAUCUCUUUCUUGGAUAAGGGGCAUGAGUUCGUGCUCAACUUGAAAUUGUUGGCUAGUGGAAUGCUCACAGGUUUGGCUUCAUGCAUGUUGAAUCUCUUGAUCACUCGUUCAACACACUUCUCCUCGGAUAACCAUUACCUUUUAUUCUUUCUAUCUCGAGUUAUGUGCAUUCCCAAAAUCUGUUGAGUUGUUCCUGAGUCCUUCAUGUCAAAGGACUUGGAGAGUUCCUUAUUCAGCUAGUUGACUUUUGUUGCAUCUUGUCCAAUUAUUAACAUGUCGUCUACAUAUAAUAAAAGAGCAAUGAAGUUGUCAUCUGGAAACCUCUAGAUAUAAACACAUUGAUCUGCAACAGUUUUUUUGUAGCCUUGGCUCAGCAUAAACGAGUCAAACUUUUUGUACCACUACAUUAGUGUUUGUUUAAAGCCAUACAAACACUUUUUCAGUUCGCGAACGAAGUUCUCUUUUCCUGAAACUUCAAAAUCUUCUAGCUGCUUCAUAUAAAUUUCUUCACAUAAUCACAAUGAAGAAAUGCAGUCUUGACAUCCAUCUAUUCAAGCUCUAGAUUUUAACUGACUACUAAUUCAAGAGUAACUCGAAUUGAGGUCAUCUUUACAACAGGUGAAAAAAUCUCAUCAAAGUCAAUUCCCUUCUUCUGAAGAAAUCCUUUGACUACCAAACGGGCUUUAUGUUUCAACACCUUUCCGCUACCAUCUUUCUUAAGCUUGAAAACCUAUUUAUUCCUCAAUGCCUUCUUUCCCUUCGGAAGCUCAACCAACUCAUAUGUUUGAUUCUUUUGUAGUGACUCCAUCUCAUCCUACAUUGCUUGUAUCCACUUAUCUUUGUCCACGUAAGUUUGUGCUUCCUGAAAGUUCUCAUUCGUCAGUGAGCAAAAUGUACUCUGAUGCUGGAUAUCUUGUUGAUAGAAUCGGUCCUCGUUCAUAUCUUCUUACAUGUGGAUCUUUGGUUUCAAAAGUUACAUCAUCAUCUGGUUGAUGUGGUGGUCUUAUAGCUUCCAGUGAAGAGGAUUGUGAAUUCCCCUUAUCAAUAUCCUCUUCUUUAUCCUCAUGUUCCUUCUGGCAUUUCCUCAUGCACAUCAUCAUUCUCUAUGGUGAUUUGUGCUGAUACUGGAUUUGGAACAAUAUUUUGGGCACCAAAGGAGAUAUUGUGAGUUUUCAAUGUCUUCUAAUGUCGGGUUUUCAUGGAACAUUACGUCCCUGCUUCUGAUGACCUUCUUUGUCUUUGAGUCCUAUAAUUUGUUUUCGAAUUCCUCAUCUCCAUAGCCUAUAAGGAUGCAUGGAGUGGUUCUUGUAUUUAGCUUUUUAUCUUAGCUCCUUGGAUACAUGUGCAAAGGCUAAACGGUCGAAUACUCUCAAGUGAAAGUAGGAGGGAUAUUUACUAGACCAUACUUUCUCCAAAAUUUAAAAAUUUAACGGUAUUGAUAGUGAUCUAUUGAUCAAGUAGCAGGUGGUUCGAACAACUUUUCACCAAAAUGGCUUUGGCAACUUAGCCAUAUUUAUUAUGCUUCUGACCUUUUCCAUGAUCAUAUGAUUCAUCCUCUUGACAACUCCAUUAUACUGUGAGGUGCGUGAGACUAUUUUCUCAUGUCGAAUGUCGUAUCUUCUGCAAUAGGCAUUGAACUCUUUGAAAGUGUACUCAUCUCCAUUAUCUAUACAGAGACAGUUUAGCUUCUUUCCUAUUUCAUGGUCUACCAUAGCAUAAAAUGAUUUGAAGUUACCUUACACUUGGUCCUUCAUCUUCAAGAAAUAUACUCACACCUUUCAAGAAGUAUCAUCAAUGAAUGUCAAAAAAUACUUGUUACCACCUAGUGAUUCAACCCCCAAGGGACUACAAACAUGAAAGUGUACCAGAUUAAGCAACUCUGAUCGUCUCAUCAAAGAGAAAUUGAAGGAGACUCUAUGCUGAUUACCAAAUAGAUAGUGACUGCAAGGAUCUAGCGCAGCUUCCUUGGCAACCGUGAUUAGCUCUUUCUUUGUCAAAGUAAACAACCCCUUCUCAUUCAUGUGACCAAGUUUUUGGUGCCACAAAUUUUGAGAAGUUUCAUGUUCUAUUACGUUGAGGCUAUCCAUAUGCAUUUUUACAUGAGUCUUGUAUAAAGUAUCACAUAUAUAUUCUCGAGCGACAACCAUAGAACCUUUCAUUAUUUUCCAUGUGUCAUUGCUAAAUUGAUUGAUAUAGCCCCGUUUGUUAAAAGCUAUCCGUGAAAGUAUAUUUAGUCGAAGAUCAGGUACAUGUCUAACAUUCUUCAGGAUUAUUUUGCACCCAAGAUUUGUUUGUAUCUAAACAUCACCAAUUUCCACGAUCUCAGAGGAACUAGUAUUUCCCAUAUGUACUGUACCAAAGUUUCCAGCUUUAUAUGUUGUAAGAAGUCUCUGCGUGGAGGGGCAUGAUAAGAUGCUGCAAUGUCUAUUAUCCACUCAAUAUCUUAGUUUGAGACGUGAAGACAUGUCUCCUCAUGGAUGGAACAGAUGGUCACCUCCCUAGAAAUAGUGAUUAGUGUCUCUCCUUCCUUAUUCUUCGACUGCGAAUUGUUCUAACCUUGCUCUCGUAGCAAUUUUUGACAUUUCUUCUUCAAAUGGCCCUCCAUUCCAUAGUAAUAGCACUUGUAAGCAGGCUUCCUUCCAUAUGUGGAUCUACCCUACUUUUGCUUUUACCUCUCUCCUAUCUCAAACACCUCAUUACUGUCUUUCCCAGUUCUCUGUGACAAAGGCAUGUAACUGAUCUGUGUCGACGUCCUUUCUCCUGGUCUUUUCAUUAAAUAGGGCAUCCUUAACCAUAGACAUGAUAAGUUAGCCAUUAGGGGUUGAGUUGCUAAGAGAUACUACUAGUGUCUCCUAACCAUCAGGAAGAGAACUUAAACGUAGUAAAGCUUACAUUUUAUCCCCGAGCAGCAUCUCCACAGAUGAAAAUCACCAAGCUCUAAAAUUCAUUGGUGUGCUCGACAACGGGAUUUUUACUCUUUAACUUCAGAUUCAUCAAACGCCUCAUCAACAGGGCUUUAUUUCGAGCGGUCAUGGCCUGGUACAUGUUAUCCAGAAUCUUCUAGAGGACAUGCAUUUGUCUCUUGUGCCACAUGGUGAAAGACAUUAUAGUCAAUCUAUUAUCGAAUUUGUUUUUCUAUUUAGCUUCUUCCACUCUGUUUUCUUGGUAGGAUCGGGGUUUACACCUUUGGCUUCCAGAGGUUCAUACAAAUCCUCACAACUAAGGAGGUCUUCCAUCCGAGGCCUCCACAGUGUAUAAUUGGUGGCGAUGAGCUUGAUCAUGGCUCUUGAUAAAGAUUUCUCCAUUGACAUGUUGGCUUGAAAAUGCUAUAUCAAAACCAAAGCUGUAUAAAAAAAAGUACAAGGGCCAGUUGAUAUACCUUGCUCUGAUGCCACUUGUUUUGAUACUCCGAUCACGAAAAAAAGAAGAUAAAAGAGGAAAAAAAUACUAUAUUUCUUACUUGAAUAAAAUUAUACAAAGGAGUAUUACAAACUCUUAAAAAAAAAAAAAAAAAAAAAAAUCUCUCUAAUCUUUCCCUUUUUUCUUCUCCGUACUCUAUUUUUCUUCCUCUCAUGGGACUUGUUUCCCUUUGAGGCAACCUCUAUUUAUAGAAAAUUUCAGCUACAAGAACUGCCUCAAUUUAUGGCCAAAUUCUACCAAUUAAAGGAUAAAAUGGAAGUCAACAAAAGUUGUGCCUUCAUGCAUGAAGAGGCUGGUUUUAAAAAUUUUAUUACAUGCAUGGAAGCUUUCUUCAUUAAGAAAACCAGAUUUGUGGCUGUUAACCAAUCACAAAGGCAACUGAAGGGAGUUUUAAUCUAAUUUUUCCACUUUGCAUGUAGAUUGCUACUUGUUUCAUGCUAUACUAUACAUGGUGGUUUCUUCUUCAUUAAGUAGGCACUUGUGGUUGAAUUUCAAUAUCCUCAGCUUGAAGAAAUUGAAAAAUGCAACUAGACUUAUCGUAAUUAAUCCACUUUCUUCUUCGUCAUCCUCAUCUUCUUCCCUACUCUCUACAGUCAGAACCCUACUGUCUCUUUCUUCUACUUCUUCUUGUUUUUCCUUGUGGUCCUUCUCUUCCUGUGAAAUUGCAAGCUUUUCUUUAGUGGCAUAAAUCAGGCCUGAUGCUUCUUUAUCUUCAGGAGGCGUAGCCUCUUUCAAAUUAGAAAUUGGGUUCAUGUUUUCGCUAUUUAAGGAAGAGUUGAAACUCAGGCUCUUGGCAAAAAAUCCAAGAAUACCCUUACAAAGAAGGAACUCGUAUUUUCUACUUAGAGCAUGAGAGAAUAUCAAUGGUGAAAAUUGAACAUUAUAGGAGAAGCUGAAAUCGAAACUUGAUGUGUAAGAAAAUACUAAAGAUAAGAUAGACAUUGGAACUAGAAUUAGUAAUAAUGCUCUGAUAAACUCAUCAUACUUACGAGUUUCUGGAGCUGUUUCAAUCAUCUAUUCAUCAUUUUGAUCCAUCUUGUUGUUGGUCCUGAAAGGAUUGUAGUGAAUGAGAUUAAUGACGCGAUAUGAAGUAAUGAAGAUCGCAAUAAGAAACAAUAUUUAAAAGUUAAGAAAUUAACAAAGAGAGUUAAUUGCGGAAACACGACGUUUUAUUAAUCAACAAUACGGAGAAAAAUACAAGAACUCAGCAUUCUUACCUAAACAAAACUGAAAGAGAAUACCACUAUUUAUAGGUAUAUCGCAUAACAUAAAGAUAAAAAAAUGUAGAAUAAGGAAAUAAUAUAUUUUCAUAAAAAUAAUGUGAAAUAUAAGGAAACAAAUUUUUCCAUAUGAAAAUAAAGAAAUAAUUUAUAUUUCCAAAAAAAAUCAUCCUAAUUUGGGUCACAAACCUAACAAUCUCCACCUUGACCCAAAUUUUGGUGCAAUGAACGAAUCUCUAAGAUUUCAAAUCCGUCUGCAUCAAAAUAGCCCUCAACACAAUAACCAAAACUCUCCAACAAAACUGUCGUCUUCUACAAGGCGUCCACAAGCAACACCUGAACCCAAAUCCUAGAUUCUCAAAAUUCCACCAAGGAAUUACUAUUUACCAAACAGGAUCGAAACACACCCUGUAACAAAAACCAUACCACAUGUUGCAUCAGAAGGCCCAUUGCUAGAACUGUCGCCUUUAAUGUUCCCAAAAGCAUCCUAAACAUUAUUGACACCACAGUACCCAGGCUCUAUGACUCCAACCCUAGCAAAUGAACACAGUGUAUCCGCUGAAAUUGGUGGCAAAAUGAAAUCACCAAUGUUCUUCUGAGUAAUGUUCUGAAUCGAUUCAAAGCCCGUCACAAGAGGUACUGUACCAAACUGAAUAUCCACCACGGUACUGAACUUGUCCCAAUAUAUCUAAAUUGAUUAUGUGCUUCCUUGCAAGAUGUACAACUGAGACCUUCUUAGUCCUUCAUGUACAAACCAGACACUCCUUCGGACCUUCAAAACUCCACCUCCACCAAAAAUUUUAUGCCUUUUUGCAUCCAGGGUACUCAGAGAGAUAAGAUUCCUUUUCAGGUCAGGAACAUGUCAAACCUGAUCAAUUGUUCUGAUCAUCCCAUCCUGCAACUUUAAUCCGACUCAAUCGAUUCCAGCAAUACGACAAGAUUGGUUGUUUCCUAUCACAACUCCACCUUGCUUGACAGCCUCAUAUGUCCAAAAGAAAUUGUGAUUGGAACACAUACGAUGAUAACAUGCUAAAUCGAGAAUCUACUCGUCGUCCGACCUAUAUUCCAUGUCAGAUACCACGGUCAACUUCACAUCUCCUCUGUCUGAAAAAUCCUCAACUGCAUUUGUUUCUUUUGAAGUCAAAGGUUACGCUCCACAAUUUGUAGCUAAAUCACAUUUAGUCUGCAACUUAUCACAUUUCUUCUGAAUAUGUCCUUUACAUCUGCAGCAAAACAAAUUACUGUUAUUCUUCGAUCUGCCCCUCCAUUGACCAGCAUGAGAUAUAAGAACUUCCUCAUCCCUCGAUAUAGCACUAACUAAAUGCUUCAACUUCUCAUUUGAGUGUAAAGUAUCAUAGACAUCGUCUAUAGUCAAAGUAUCCUGACUAUACAAAAUGGUGUUCCGAAAUGACGUAUAAGAGCCGGACAACGAACACAAUAGGAUCAAGGCAAGAUCUUCUUUACUUAACUUCCAACGUUUCCAAAUCUACGACAAUUUCUUUGAACACGAUAAUAUGGUCUACCAAAGACUCUCCUUUCGCCAUGCGAUGGGAAUACAACUUCUGCUUUAGAGCCAAUUUAUUGGUAAAACUCUUGGUCAUACAUAACUGCUCCAGUUUCAACCACAAAAAAAAAAGUUGUUUUUUCAUUCAAGACAUCCUGCAGAAUAUUAUUGGGUAAAUGAAGAUGAAUCAGCGACAAAGCCUUCCAAUCCCUCUAUUGUUUCUUCUCCGUUGUCCAAUUAACUGGCAUCUUCUCAAAUCUCAGUAGCGCAUCGUCCAAAUCCAAUUGCGCCAGAAUAACCUUCAUCUUUACUUGCCACAAAGAAAACAUUGUAUUAUGAUCCAGCAACGAAAUGUCAUACUUCAUGGUAGUCAUAUCUGAAAAAACCUCAUCCAAUCUUCAAAAGAAGAACCAAGCUCUGAUACCACUUGUUGGACCCGAAAAGAUUGCAGUGAAUGAGAUUAAUUAUAUAAUAUGAAGUAAUGAAGAUUGUAAUGAGAAACAAGAUUUACAAGUACAGAAAUUAACAAAGAGAGUUAAUCGCAAAAGCAUGACGUUUUAUUACUUGUCUAAAAAAUUCAACAAUUCUUGUCUAAAAAAACUGAAAGAAAAGAACACUAUUUAUAAGUACAUGGCAUAGCAUAAAGAUGGAAAUAAUGUGGAAUAAGGAAAUAAUAUAUUUUCACAAAAAUCACAUGAAAUAUAAGGAAAUAAAUUUUCCCACAUAAAAAUAAGCAAACAAUUUAUUUCAAAAAAAUUCACUUAGUAUUCAAUUUAUAAGUGUGAGGGAAAACCUCACCUCUUAAACUAGCUUUUGGGGUUAAGAAUGUCCAAUAUCACCCAACACUGGUAUCAGAGCCCAAUUUAUCAAUAAGUCACCUGCCCAUCAGUUUCUGAGAUACGAGAUUGUACGAGGAUGAGAAGCGUUUGGUCUCCCUCAAGCCCAGUUUUAUGAGGGGGAGACGAGUUUGAUCUCCCACAGGGCCGAUGUGUGGGGGAAGACGUGUUUGGUAUCCUGUAAAGUCCGAUGUGUGAGAGGCAGAUUGUUGGGGUUGUCCCACAUUAAUUGUGGAUAGGGUUGGUAUUCAGUUUAUAAGUGUGAGGGAAAGCCUCACCUCUUGAGCUAAUUUUUGAGGUUGAGAAGGUCCAAUACUACUCAAUACUUCUCCUCUGUAAAGUAUAAACCUAGCUAAGAGAGAGUACAUGAAGAACUAGUGGCGGCAAAUGGCUUGGAAUUUGUUGGAAUAUGCACGGGUUGGACCAUAGAACGUGUAUACAUAUUGAGUUCAAUAUAAAUUUUUUGAUCUUUUGACAGGAUUUUCCUGUUAAUCUCAAAAACAACUUUCUACUUUUCAGAAGUGAAGGUAUCAAACUACCUAAACUAUUAUAUUGAAUGCCCUUAAGUAUCGGGAAGGGGCUCUGAAUGAGUAUGUGGAGAAGUCAAUUUCUAUGACAAAGGUAGAUUUUUCCAUAACAAAUUAAAUACAAUAUGUAAUUGGAAAAUGAGAAUAGAAAUUUCUAGAAUUCACUGUAAAGCAGCUUUUUCUAUCAUUUUUUCCCCUCUUUCAACAUAUAGCAGGAUAAAAAUCAAACAUAAGUGACAGGGACAAGCUCAAAAUUUGAGCAUUUUAUAUUCAUAUUUCCAACCUUUUUUAACUUAAAACCCUAGAGUUAUAAUCAACUGACCUGAAACAGAAACAGGAAAGUCAUGUGAUCGAAGUUGUAUGUACUAAAAAAUAAAAAUAGACAAAUAAAAAGACAUUGCCGUCACUGAGCGAUUUUGUAGUGAACGAAGGAUUCGUGGAGUAAAGUGUAUGGUUCUUGACUUAUGUUAACGAGUUCUAAAAGUUCCCGAUGAAUUAAAUAAUAACAUAAAAUAGGAUCUAAUAUUUACAGUUUCUUCAAUCGAAUCGAUUAGAGUCUAAUUAAAUUUGGAUAAGAAAUGUAAGUGAGCGUCUGAAUUUAAUUUUUUUUGGUUAUACUAAAGUACUUCAACUUUCAUAUAAAAUUUAGUAUAAUGUGUUUGUCGAGAGAUAUAUUAAGAGAAAUGUAACUGAAAUUAGGCCCUGUUUGAUUACACUAUAUUUUUCAUGGAACUUGAAAUUCGAAUUCUAAUUUUCACUUUUGGUCUGUUUGAUUAACAUAAUUUUCGAGGGAAUUGAUUUUCCAUGAUUUUCUAAGUACAAAUCGGUAAAGCAUGAAAUUCCACCUUUUAUUUUCCCAUGGGGUAGGUAGUUUUUGGAAUUCCACCUUUUAUUUUAUUUUAUUUUAAUUGUUGACAAUUUGAACAAAUUCUAGGAAUAAUUGUAAAAGAUGAUAGUCCUUAAAUUGACAAAUUCUAUGUAAAACAAAGCUAAACGAACACCAAAAUAUAGAUAAUUUUUUGAUCUUUUUUUUUAGUUGGCAAUGGAAACAAAUUCGAGGAAUAAUGGUGGAAGUGAAUAUUCCUUAAAUUGAAAACUUUCAUGAAAAUUAAUGUCAAACGAACACCAAAAGACAUUUUUAUUUCAACAUUUUUCACCUAAAAAAUUAUACCAAUCAAACACUACCAAUUGAAAAUCAUCAGUAAAACAAUUUUUAGGCAAUUCAAUUCCCUGGAAUUCAUUUUCUUUCCACCCAAAUUUCAUCUUUACAAUCAAAUAGACUCUUAUAUUUAUUUUUAAGUAUCUAAAUGAAUAAAGGAAUAAAGGAAUAAAGGCCAAACUGAUAAAUGCAGGCGUAAUAUUCAUAGGUUUCUACAUUUUCAAAAUGGAAGUUUUUUAAAUUUAUUUUUGAAAAUAAUUUGUUUCCACAAAGUAUUAGAAAUAACGCUAUCUAUUGAUGAAAUCCAAGUUGAUUGGACCAAAUACAUAUUUCCUAAAGGAAGAAUUUGGCAAAAUUGUUAGAAGCUACAGAUUUAAAUGGUUUGAGCCUUCGGAACGAAAUCUAACAAGAGCUCAUUUGGUCAGAUUUCAGUUUUUAACAUUUUGUAGAGAAAAUUUUAAAAAAUCACAAUUUACCAGCUUUUCUUUAAAAGUUUGUCUAAUAGACAAAAUAUUUCUUUAAAAUUAUCCAAAUAUAUUCAAAACUAUUUUUUAGUCUUUUUACUUUUUUCAAAGCCUUACCAAACGAACUCUAAGCAACUUUUAAAAUAAAAAAUUAAAUUACCAUUAAAAUAUGUUAGUUAAUAUAGCAUAUAAGAUGUCAUAUCAAUUAAUAUUACAUAAGACUAUUAACAAGCCUUAUAAGAAUUGAGCGAUCCCAACUCUAAAGUAAUGAAUUUUGUCGCCGUUAAAGGUGAUGUGGCAUCUUUCGACUCAACUUGAAAAAAUUAUGAAAAGCUAAGGAAGUGGAAGGUUGGAAUCUAGAUUGUGCCCGAACUCGAAAGGUAGUAUGCAAGCCUGAAGUGUAUAAUUAAUAAGAGAGAAUUUGAUUGUUAAUCCCCCUAAACAUAAGUUCGGGCCAUGUCACCCCUAGGAGAGGUCGACUUGAGCUCGAACCCUGUUUCACCUAGCUAGGUUCCUUGUGUAGAACAGGGAAAUUUUUUUGAAAACUUAUUUUUUUACAUUUCAGAUUUUUUUUUUUUUUUUUUUUUUUUUUUUUUUUUUUUUUUGGUAUGAUGAUUUUGCAUAUAAAAAGGCAGUGUCACUACAAUUUUUCGACAACUUCUGUAAUCGUCACUCUUCUAAUCGUUUGAUUGAAUUUAUUUCUAAUUUCACAAUUUGUUCAUCGUUGGUAUUAUUAUACUAGUUUGAUAAAGAGUUUCUACUAUAUAAUCUCUCUCUAUAUAUUUUCUAUUGCAUUGUUAUAACUCAUAAUUUACGUAAUGCUAGUUCAUCAUUAUAUGCUUUGAACAAAAAUAAUUUAUUCAAUUUUUUGCCAAACUUUUAAAGAUCUAAUAAAAAGGUCAGUCAUAUUAUGAUGUACGAUAAGAUGAAAGAAAAAUUAAAGCUAUUUUUCACGAAUAUCAAGGGUGAUAUUUCUUUAGUCUUUGAUGCUGCAUAUCAUGUUGGCAGUAAUGGAUGCAUAUAUUUGAUAGCAUUGUAUCUUGAUGAUGAUAAUUUGACUCUUAUAAAAAAGUUAUUGCUAUUAAACCCAUUCUAUCGGAUGAAUCUAAUCAUCAAGUUAUUUUUAUUCAUGAUGAAUGGAUUAUAUUCUUUUUAUUUUAUAAUAUGUUGAACAUGUUUUCGUCUUCUAUGCUAUAAUUUUUUUUUUAAGUCUUCUUACAGUACAAGGGCGAGGAUCUCUGUUAUCAAAGAAUGUAUCGCGAUGAAAAAUACACUUUGAAAAAUAUUUUUCGCUGUGUACCAAUCUUUUUAUUAGCUACAAUAUUCGAUCCUAGUCUUAAAUUACAUGGUGCCGAACGUUAUUUUUUGUUAUAUUCAAAAUAAUAUAAAUUUUAUAUUUAAAAUAAAUGUAUCAUCGUACGAAAAAUAUCUAUAUUAUUGAGUAAUUCGUACUUCGGGUCAAACUAUGUAUAUUUAAUUUCUUGAGUUCGAAGUCCAUUUAACAGUACCACAUAUGUCAAAUGCACAAUUUAUAAUUCUUAUAAGAGAGGAUUUAAUUUUUAAUUAUGACCUUUUUAUGUUGACAUGGAUAAGUUGAAAGUGAAAGACAAGUAAAUUUAAGGAUAAGGAUGUUUUUGCUACUUGGUGCUUGUUUGAAUCUUAUUAUAUUUUUUUUAUAAUUUGAAGUCGAAGUAAUAAUUUUCAUUUAUUUAUUAUACAUAUACUCAUUACUACUAAUAAAGAAAAUAAUAAUUGAUUUUAUUUUAUUGCCAAAUUCCCUCCAAUUUACUUUACCAAAAAUGCUGUAUUGUAUUUCUUUUAUAAUAAAUUUCAUUAUUCUCUAAUCUAAUUUUCCUUUGAUGGUGUUGAGCUAGCCACUUGGUUUUGGUCAUCAAAUUUAGGGAUAGUGACGAGGUGGGGACUAUUUCCCUUGUUCCCGUCUUCGUCCUACCCUAAUUAUUAACUGGUGUGGGAAUAUUUUGCCUUAUUUGGGACCAGGCACUGUGAACGAGGUCAAUAAUUUUAUCAUAUCUAAUUCAGAUUCCUAAAUUAUUAUUUUCUAUUUUAUUUUAAUAAAAUUUAUCCAAAUUUCUUUUGCAUUUUCAAAAUCAUGUUAUUUAAAAACCUUUUUCUUUCUCUAUUUGAUUCAUGAAUCUUUUUGAGUGGGAAAACGUGCGGAAAUAUAUGAAUCAUUCCGCCUGGACCCUCUACCUUAGGUUGUUGGCACCUUACGUGAAUUUGGAAGCUGGGCCUCAAAUCGUAGUAUGUAAUGACAUAUUCAGGAUUGGAGUUCAGUUAGGACGGAUAUUAAUCGUUGACUAUUGACCAACGAUAAUCAAUGUCUGUAAUAGCAAGGUCGUGAACUCGAUUAGAAGCAAUGACGGGACUAGAUGCACUACUAGAACUACAAGAAUUAGGUAGGGACUUUCGUUUUCGUUGAAAAAAUCGUCCCAUAAUCUACAAAAUGCCACGAAUUAUAAUUCAAUUAAAAUUGGUUCAAAAAUAAAUAACACAUUACACCUUGAAAAACAAAGCCUCAAUAAUCAUUUUUUAACUAAAAUUAAUUAAACAGAUAUCAAUAUAUUAACAAAAUCAAUUAAAAUUGAUUCCAAUUUAUCAAUUAAAAAUUUUCAAGUUACUUAUAAUAUGCAAAAUUCUCCAAUAAUCAUUUAAGUAGGAAUUAAGUUGGAAUUUUUCUUGAAUUAUUUAUCACAAAUCACAUUUAUAACUCAUAAAACAUAAAUUAAAACUCAUAAACAAUAAAUUAAAAAUGAAUUAAAAAAAAUGAGAAAGGCCAGAGGCUCAAUGACACUGAGAUCGGAGAUGCCGACUCUAAUGGCAACUCGUUGAAAGCAGCAGCAGGCAGGGGCGGAUUUAGGUGGUGGGCAGCUAAAUUCACUGGGAAGAAUUUUUUUUUUUUAAUAAUAGAUAAAAAUUUCAGGUUAUAUAACUGAUAAUUCAUUUUAUUUUCAAAUCCCUCCUAAUUGGUUAGAGCUUGCAUUUAUAUAUUGCGAGUCUUUGGUUCGAGUUUUUCCCGUCUAUUUCAUUGUGCAAAUUUUUUAUUUCUACAAUAUUUACCAAAAUUAAUUCCUUAAGGAAAAGAUUCGAACAUAUGAUCUCUAGUUAGGAUGAUUGGAAGUUUAACCAUUAUGGCAAUGGUUGAAUUUUGAAUCUAAAUUUAACAAAAUAAUAUAUGUUAAGACUCUAGACGAGUCAAUGACUAUUUUUUUUUUUUGGUUUUUGUCGUUUUAAAUAUUUUAUGCUUUAAUAAUCUAUAAGAUAUGACUUAUGAGUAUUGAGUUUUAAUUUAUAUGUUAUUUGAAAAUUUGUCUACUGUGAAUUGUGAUAUUAAAAAUUAAUUUCAGUAUCGUGAAAUAUGAAUAUGUGAUUUAUGAAAAUUGAAAAUGAGAAAUUGGGGAAUUUAUCAUUUGUGAUGAAUUGGUGUUGAGAAUUGGAAAUGAAACUUUAAUUAUAUUUAAUUUUUGAUUAACGUUCAAUUCUCAUACUAAUAAUGGCAUGAUUUUUUCAACUAAAUCUCAAUCUAGUUCUUGUAGUAGUGUAUCUAAUCUCUCGACUACUUUUAGUCAAGCAAACGAUUUGUUAAGCAUUAAUAACACAAAUAGCUUAUGUAUCAUGUAAUUUAUAUUAUUUCGAAUUGUAUUGAACUAUAAUAUGAUAUAAAUAUACAAUUUUUUACAUUUUAGUAUAUUUACAUAUAGAUUGAAGAAUUUUUAAUAUUAUUUAAUUUAAUAUUAAUAAACGACAUUGCUAUACGGCUAUUGACUAUCGAUAGUCAACGGUCAACGGUCGUCCUAGUUGAGUCGAAAUCCUGGAUUCGCCCCUGGCAGCAGGUCGCAACUCGUAAGUGAUGAGUUUGGAAUUGCAAGGCCGCAAGAGGGAGGAAGGGUUUGUGGUGGAAUUGGAAAAUGUAAUUGUUGAAUUGGUUGGGUAGCGGAGUUGGUUGUUACUUUGCUCAUGGUUAUAGUAUGGUUUCCCACAGAUGACAUCAAUCUGUUGAUCUCAUAAUAUGUUGCCAACAGAUAUACUGGACCUACCCGCAUGCAUAUAAGCCGGGUCCAACACGCAAAGGCACGUGGAUGGUCUAGAAAUAGUAGCAAAAAGGGGGUCGUGGGAGCAACUUAAAGGUGCGGGAUGAGAACGUUCGGAAUCCGAUGAGAUAUUUGCAUAACGAUUGUACAAUAAUUACCAAUCAAUAUUUGUAGAAUGCAAGUAUGAAUUCAUGUAUGUUGUAAGAGAGUAAAAUGUAAAUAAUGUUGUACUUGUUCUUGUGUUGAAUCUUACAUUACCCUUGUGAGAGAUACAUGGAGGAGUAUUUAUAGUAUUACAACUUAGAUCGUAGCCCUUGGUUGGGAGUACACGUGGCCUCAUCUCGUAAGUUUACGUGUCAAAUUAUAGGCAUCACAUUUGACUUUCUAGCCUGCUACACAUUUAUUAAUUGGCGGCUCUGCCACUACAUUGAGAAGACAAGACAAGACAUUUGCACUCUAUGAUGGGUCUCCCAUCAAUCAAUCAGGAAGUAUCCUUGUUUAAGACUGGAUCUUUGGGGAGGAGUGCUGCUUAGAGCCUCAGGACCUCGGAGAAGAUUGGGCCUCAGAGAAAGGGCCUCGGCUACAAGGUCAGGUUCGGCGUCAACACUUGCAUCACAUCUGGCCUAGGGCCUCGGAUAAGAUGCCAUGUGGUUUGGAAGAGGUGGGCCAUGAGCCCAGUGGGUCGGCCAAGUGUCAACACAUAACAAUAGUCCCCUAAGUCCAAGUAUGAUCAUUUAUGUAAUGCGUGGACUUUUAUUAUGGUGACGCGUGUGGGGUAAAAAUUGAAAGAAUUUUUUGUACCUCAACUAAUAGUCUCCCAAGUCCAAGUAUAGAUAUUUAUAUCAUGGUUGGAGUUGAAAAUGGUGGUGUUGCUGUGAUUGGAGAAGGUGACGAAGAAGCCGAGGCGGUAAAUUGGAUCGAACCAGCCGAGACUUACGAAGAUGUAGCUGAACUGCAAAGAAGCAAACGAAGAAGUCGAGUCAGUGAGUGGAUCGAACCUAUCGAGGCUUGCGAAGAUGUGGCCGAAUUGCGAAGAAGCAGACGAAGAAGCCGAAGUGGUAAGUGGAUCAAACUUGUCAAGGCUUGUGAAGAGAUGAUUGUCUUCGAUGUUUGUGUCAAUGAUUUGAGGUUUUGUGCAUGUUACCAAGAAAAGGCAGUCAAGCCGUUUUGACUUCCAAGGCACGUACGCCUGCUGCAUUAAAUGUGCAAUGAUGGCUACAGCUGAGGCUUCUAAAAGGAGACGCGUUUGGAGAGGUGCGUGGGGAGCACGUUUGAAUCGGAGGCGUUGAUUUUGAAAAUGGUUUAAAUUCUACGCCUCGAAUUUGGUUUGUAAUGAAGGGCCCAAAUUUGAUGAGCCUUGAUCUGAUGGCUGGUGUUCGUCCUGGACUUGUAUAAAAGGUAGGAGACUCCCAUUUUUUUUACCUUUCUAUCUCUGUAAUUCUCCGUGUUUUUUGAAAAUAUCAUUUUUCGACGUUGAAGCUUUGCUCCAUUCCCGUUUUUCGGCAUCCUUCAAUUUCCUUAGUCGAUUUUGUAGGUAUUUCUUGCGAGAAUAAAUUGUUUUGCGAUCCUUGUCCAUUUUCCAAACUUACUCUGAUAUGGAGUCCACUUCAAGUAGGGGACAAUGACUGUCGCAUCGUUUGGGGAGGGGAUAGUUCGUAGGGGGCUCCGAGGUUGAACAUUAUGCUAUGACCGAGGAGCCCGUAAAUUACGAGGAGGAGUGGGGUGUGUCUAGGAUACCCUCAAAUAUGACUCAGAAGAGGUUGGGGAGAUAAGAGAGAGGAACUGCGUGCCUCAUAACAUAGAAAUUUUAGUCCCCGAGACCGAUGAACGAGCUUGUUAUUCGAGGCCUGGAUGUGUCAUAGUUAGUGAAUAUUUGUUUAAGGCGGAUAUGCGUCUUUCUCUGCACCCCUUCUUCAGGGUAGUGCUAAGGAAUUUUAUGUUGUCCCCAACCCAGAUUUUACCAAAUGGGUGGAGCCAGUUGGUGGGGUCUUACUUCCUGUGGAAGGAAGUGUCGAUGGGGGAGGAUAUGCCUUUGCAUGUCUUCCAGACCCUCUUCCAGCCCAGAGUCUUGGGUAAAGAUGAGUCGAAGGGGUGGUACUACAUUACUCCCUGGGGGUCACACGUCCCUUUUGUGGUAGGAUUGUCUUCUUCCAUUAAGAGGUGGAAGGAGUCGUGGUUCUGGGUUUGGGGCAACUAGCAGGCAGUAGUUGGGGACAAAGCCUUGGCUUGCACGAUACCGACCUAAUACUACGAAGCUCGUGAGUCCCCCAGCCUAAGCUGUACUUUACAUUCUGCUGAGCUUUCUGGAAUUUUUUGCUAACUGUUGUCGCAUGUUUUGUUGACUCGAGUACCAGGCACCAGCUCCACGAAGUGGAGUUUGACAUCAUAGAGGACAUUUACAAGCGUCCUCUGAAGUUUCACCACUUCGAUCAUCUCAUUGACCAAAGCCGUUAUUUCCUUGACUUCGAACUGAUGGCUUGUAAAGGUUAAGGGUAAGAAGUGCAUAUACUUUGUGAUGGAAAAGUUUGCUUAUUGAUGUCGACCUCUCAUCUGUUAUUCAUUCGUGUUGUAGAUAAGUUCAAGAGGAGGGAGUACCCCGCCCCGACAUGGCUACCAUAAUGAAGGCCACUACUACUGUUGGGGCCAGGCCUCUAAAACCCGGGUCAAGCAGGGCAAAAGAGGUGAGAGGCAAGGUGGAGCGCCUCUCCAACACUAAUACCUCCCAGGUUGCUGAGGAAGAGGCUCCUAAGAGGGAGAAAGAUAGCAAGCCUCGGGGAAAAGAGAAAGUCCCUGAGAACUCCCAGAAGAAGAUGAAGCUAGUCCACCUCACCAGUUCUUCGAGAAAGUUUGGGACUUCAAUUUCCCAAACCAGCAAGGACUCCCGACCACCGAAACUCAUGGACUCUGCCAUGAAGGCGGUGAAGGUGGAAAUGGUCUAGAAGGUCGAGGCUGAGGAGGCUGUGGAAGAGGCAGCGAUGUUGACUGCGUUGAAAGCAGAAGAGGAGGUUGCACGGCAGCAGCCUGUUAGGACCCAGGGAAAAUCCCCUAACUUCUUGCCUGGGCGUGACGAAGAGCUUGCCCCAGGGUUGUUGGAGGCUCUUCCUAAGGAGGUUCGAGGUACUGCAGCCAAUUUUUAUAAAUUUUGGACUGAUAGGUGGGUGCGGCACGCCUCGUCCUACGACGUCGUCGACCUCUCGAAGGCCCUAAUGAGCCAAAGUGCGAGGACAUUUUGCCUCGCAUUGGAGUGUAGGGAGGUCCUCACUGACUUCCAAACGAGGACCAUGUCCUCAGAAAAGAAGAUGGCCUUUGCUGAAGAGGAGUUGAAGAGGUUGAGGCCCGAAGCAGAGGAGACAAAGGCCCAAAAAGUUGAAGACGCUACCAAGUUGAAAUCUGCUUUAGCCCAAAUAAAGGCCUUGAAGAAGGAGGCAUAUGAGUCUCAGUGUGAGGUGGCCUCCCUCACUAAAAAGAUGGAGACAUCGAAUAAUCAUCAGAAGGUUACUGCCGAGGCCCUGAAAAAAACAAACCUUGAGCUUGCUGGGGCCAGGGAUGCAUAUAACUUCUUGAAUGACCAAAUAAAAUGGCAUGUUAAUGAACUGGCCAAGGCAAGGGAGGUAGCUAAGGUAGCGGGGAGGAGGCAGUUAAAUAGUUCAUUGUCAAUUUCUACAACACCGAGGAGUAGCAAAGCUUCUGUACAUACUGGAGGAUCUUUGGCUACGCUCAAGUGAUAGAGAGGGCUGAGGAACUUUACCUAAGCUACGACUUGUCUCAACUUAGGUUCGAGUUUGUGGAUGAGGUACCUCAGACCCCAGCUGAGGAAAUAGUAGGGGAAGAAGCAGCGGAAAGAAUUGAAGAGGGGUUUAAAGCUCAAGCUACUGAAGCUCCUGCUACAAAAGCACUCCCUCCAUCAUCCGAAGCUUAGUUUAGGAUUCCUUUUUAGUUUAUAUCAAUGUACUGGCCUUGAGCCCACCUCUUGUAAUGUAUUCAAUAUCAAUGAAUGCCAUGUUUUGCAAAAUUUUAUUUUCUUUUCAAUAUCAAGUGCAUGAACCUCAGUAAAUAAUCGAGCAUAAGUUUGAGUUAGCUAUCUGAACUUGACAUCUCGCUUCAAGAUGAGCUAAUAAUCAAGCCAUAUAAAUGAUGACUUAAUGUGUUGUACUUAGGUUCCAUCACUUUGAGAUAAACCACGAUGUCCAAAUUGCACUUAGGUUAUUUGACUGGAUCUUUCCAUUGAGUUCGAAUUAGGGAGGUAAAAUGAUGGUGGAUGAGAUGUGCAUGUCGAGGCAUGUGGAGCAAGUCUUGGAGUUCAGGCGAGGUGGCCCCAAAGUUGGGGAUCAGGACCUCUCCUCCGAGGCUCCCAUACUUCCCUACAUGGUGGAUAGUGCAGCCAUGUAGAGGCUUCUCCCUUUGGCGUUCAGCCUUGCCAAAGGAUGGCAUGUGGAGUGAGUCUCAAAGUUCAAGCGAGGUGACCCCGUAGUUGGGGAUCAGGGCCUCUCCUCCGAGGCUCCCAUGCUUUCCUACAUGGGGGAUGGUACAGCCAUGUAGAGACUUCUCCCUUUGACGUACAGUCUCACCAAAGAAAGACAUGUGAAGUGAGCCUCGGAGUUCAGGCGAGGUGACCCUAGAGUGAAGGAUCAGGACCUCUUCUCCGAGACUUCCACGCGUCCCUACAUGGUGGAUGGUGCAGCCAUGUAGAGGCUUCUCUCUUUGGCGUUCAGCCUCGCCAAAGAAAGGUAUGUAGAGUGAGUCUUGGAGUUCGGAUGAGGUGACCCCCAAGUUGGGGAUCAGGACCUCCAUCCCAGGCUCUCAUACUUCCUUACAUGGUAAAUGGUGCAACCAUGUAGAGGUUUCUCCUUUUGGUGUUCAGCCUCAUCAAAGGAAGGCAUGCGGAGUGAGCCUCGGAGUUCAGGCGAGGUAACCCCAGAGUUGGGAAUCAGGACCUCUCCUCCAAGGCUCCCAAGCUUUCCUACAUGGUGGAUGGUGCAGCCAUGUAGAGACUUCUUCCAUUGGCAUUUAUCCUCGCCAAAGGGAGGCAUGUGGAAUGAGCCUUGGAGUUUAGACGAGGUGACCCCAGAGUUGGGGAUCAGGACCUCUCUUUCUAGGCUCCCACGCUUCCCUACAUGGUGGAUGGUGUAACUAUGUAGAGGUUUCUUCCUUUGGCGUUCAGCCUCGCCAAAAGAAGGCAUGUGAAGUGAGUCUCGGAGUUCGGGUGAGGCAACUCCAGAGUUGGGAAUUAGGAUCUCUCCUCCAAGGCUCUUACGCUUUGAGAGUCGUAUCUAAAUUUAAUGACAUUUUAUUUGAGCUGAAAAUCAGUUACAUAAGCUAGGAAAAAUCCUCCAGCGAUGUAGUGCAAUCAUUGGUAAUAAACUUUGAGAUGCUCAAUGUUCCAUGGACGAGGUUGUGCCUUGCCAUCCAUGUCUUCAAUUAUGUAGGUACUGGGUCGGAGUUCUUCUUUAACUCUGUAAGGACCUUCCCAGUUUGGACCCAAUGUACCUUCUCCAGGUCUUUUGGAGGAGAGAAAGACUCUCCUAAGGACCGGGUCAUUGAUUCGGAAGGACCUCUUCUUCACCUUGGAAUUGAAGUAUUUGGUCAUUUUCCUUUCAUAAGCAGCGAGCCUCAGCUAGGAGUCAUCUCUUCUUUCAUCAAUGAAGUCGAGGUUGAACCUCCAUAGCUUGUCAUUAGAUAUUUCACUGAAGUGUAGGUAACGCGGUGAUGGUAAGCCGACCUCAACUGGGCUCAUGACUUCAGUUCCAUAGGCCAUGAGGAAAGGAGUUCCCCCGUGGGAGUUUUGGUGGUAGUUCGGAUCGCCUAAAGCACUUGAGGCAGCUCAUCAACCCAGGCUCCCUUUGAUGCAUCCAGUUUUCUUUUGAGGACAUGUUUGAUUGUCUUGUUUACGGUUUCAACUUGGCCAUCGGCUUGAGGAUGAUGAGGCAUUGAGAAGUACUUCUUGAUUCCAAGUUCUUCGCAAAGGUUCCUAACCUUUUUAUUGUCGAACUGCCUUCCAUUGUCUGAAACUAUGGAGUGAAAAAUUCUGAACUAGCAUAUGAUAUUCUUCCAAAAGAACUUGGAGGUGUUUGCUUAUAUGAUUUUUGCUAGCAGUUCGGUCUCAAUCCACUUCGCAAAGUAAUCAAUGGCCAUAAUGGCAAAGUUUGCGCCUUCUCUACUUUUAGGUAAGGGACCUAUCAGGUCCACGCCCCACUUGGAGAAGGGCCAUGGGCUGGAUACGGCAGUUGCUCCUGCGAGGGUUGCCUCUGAAUGGGAUAAAAAUGUUAGCACUUGUCACAUUUACGCACAAAUUGAAGCGCAUCAUUUUUCAAGGCGGGCCAGUAGUACCCUUGCCUUAGUACCUUUUGUGUCAAUGCUAGUCCUUCUGAGUGAUUACUACAAACACUUUCAUUGAUUUCCCUCAUAAUGUAAGUGGCCUCGUCUCCCCCACGCAACGAAGAAGUGGGGAGGAGAAGCUUCUUUUGUAGAGUACGUCAUCAAUGAAGAGGAAAUGAGCUGACCUCCUUCUUAGCUUGUAGGCCUCAUCUUUGUCAAUGGGCAGGACCUCGUCCUUUAGGUAGGCUAUGAUUGGUUGCAUCUAGGUAGGGGUUCCUUCAACCCAGGGGCUUUGAUAGAUGGCGUAAGGAGGUAUUCAAUUGGAACUAUUGCAAGUAAUUCCAAGUCCUUGCUGUUAGCGAGUUUAGAGAGCGCAACUGCAUGUGCGUUCUUGAGGCGAGAGAUCUGUAUUAUUUCGACUUUUUCAAAAGAUAGGAGGAGGUUUAUCACCAUCUUCAAGUAGGAAGCCAUGGUUUUAUCCCUAGCUGAAAAACUGUCAUUCACUUGGCUUACCACCAGCUGGGAGUCACUGUUGAUACGUAGCCUUCGUAUUUGCAUUUCUUUGGCUAAUCUGAGGCCUGUGAGGAGCGUCUCAUACUCAGCAGCGUUGUUGGUGGCCUUAAAUCUAAACCUUAUGGCUGAGUUCAACUUGUGACUUCUGGGCUGACUAGAACUAUUCCAACUCUCGAACCUGCUCCAACCGAACCAUCCACGAACAAGUUUCACGUGGGGGGCUCAACAAGUUCCAUAACCUCUUCUAUCUCGGGUACAUUGGCAAACUCUGCCACGAAAUCAGCUAAAGCUUGGGCCUUGAUGGCUGUCCUUGUCUUAAAGAUAAUGUCGAAUUCGCUUAAUUCCACUGCCCAUUUCAGUAGCCUUCCUGAGGCUUCUGGCUUUUGUAGUACUUGCCUCAAAGGGAAGUUGGUUAACACGUGAAUGGUGUGUACCUGAAAGUAGGGUCUCAACUUUCUAAAAGUCAUGAUCAAGGCUAAGUCUAGCUUCUCCAUAUCGGGUUAGCGAGUUUCUGGAGAUAGGAGUAUCUUACUGGUAUAAUACACGGGGAAUUGGUUGGUUCCUUCCUCUCUAGUUAGGACCGAGUUGAUGGCCUCAUUGUAGAUGGCUAGGUACAACUGAAGGAUAUGUCGGGCUUUGGCUUGGAGAUGAGGGGAGCCUACCCUAGAUGCCUUUUCAGGCCUCUUCACAUUCCUCAUUUCAUUCGAACUUCUUCCCGACUUUCAAUAUUUUGAAGAACGGGAGGCAUUCAUUGGUGGCCUUGGAGACAAAGCGACUGAGGGCUACCACUCGUCCCAUUAGGCUUUGGACUUCCUUGGGUUUCUGGGGUGAUUUCAUCUUGAACAAGGCAUUGAUCUUUUUGGGAUUGGCUUCGAUCCCUCUUUGGUUGACCAUGUACCCCAGGAAUUUAUCGGAAGCAACGUCAAAAGUGCACUUGAGAGGGUUGAGCUUCAUUUGGUACCUCCUGAGGGUUCGAAAAGUGUUAUCUAGGUGCGUUACAUGGUCGCCCGCCUUCAGGCUUUUCACAAGCAUAUCGUCCACUUAAACUUCCAUUGUCUUGCCGAUGAGGUCCACAAACAUUUUUUUCACAAGCCUUUGAUAGGUGGCCGCGGCAUUUUUCAACCCAAAGGACAUCAUUUUGUAACAGUAAAAGCCUCUGUCAGUGAUAAAGGAGGUGUUCUCUUCAUCGGCCGGGUGUAUGGGCAUUUGAUUAUAGCCCGAGUAGGCAUCCAUGAAACUCAGGAGCUCAUGUCCGACGGUGGAGUCUACCAAUUGAUCAAUUCUCGGAAGGGAGAAGCUGUCUUUGGGGCAUACCUUGUUGAGAUUCGUAAACUCGAUACAUACCCUCCACUUACCGUUGUGCUUCUUGACUAGCACUAGGUUGGAGACCCACUUCGGGUAGAUGGCCUCUCCGAUAAGCCAUUCUUGAUUAGCUUCUGUACUUCUUUCUUCAAAGCCUCAUACCUUUUUGGGUUGAGGGUUCUCCUCUUCUAUCGAUGUGGGGCAACCUUAGGAUCUAUCUUUAGGUGAUGACAGCUGACCUUGGGGUCUACGCCCACCAUGUCCUUAUGCCUUCAAGCAAAGACAUCAAGGUUCUUGCAGAGAAAGUCUUUCAAUUUUUCUUUCAUGUCGUUGUCCGGGCCUAUGCCUACUUUCAACACCUUCGCAGGGUCGCGAGGGUCGACUGGGAAGCUUUCUAGUUCCUCAACCGGAGUUGUUUGGGGUUCAUGUUGAGUUACACAGGGAUCGAUCAUGGAGAGUUCUUCCUGCUCGAGAGAUGCGUCGAUCAUGUCAACAUCUUCUCGUUCAGGAGGGGCCUUGCUUGGCACGUCUGCUAUAUCUACAUCAGUCAGGAUGGUAUGUACAUCCCAGGGUUCAACCUUUCUAAUAGAGCUCAGGUAGCAUUCUCUGGAACCUCUUUGGUCACCUCUCACUGUUAUCACCCCGUUUUCGGUUGGAAACUUCAUGCAUAAGUGGUGGAUGGAAGUGACGGCCCCUAACUCCUUUAGGGCUGGUCUAUCUAAGACUCCGUGGUAAGCUAACCGACUGUCUACAAUAAGGAAUUUCAUAAAGUUCAUAGUAGUUUGGGGAGACUCUCCCAUCUCUAUCGUCAACGUUAUUUUUUCUCUCGGAGUGAUACUAUCUCCGGUAAAUCCGUAUAAAGGAGUGGUGGUGGGCGUCAGCUCGUGGUCUUGGAUUAUCUUAUCAAAGGUGGGCCAGAAUUGGAUGUUAACGGAGCUGCCAUUGUCUACUAGCAUUCGCUUGAGUCCAUUUCGGGCCACAAUGGCCCUUACCACAAGUGCAUCACAAUGGGGGUAGUGAACCCCUUUAGAGUCCUUUUGGGUGAAGACGAUGGACGGUACUUGGUUCUUUCAAGAGCUGCUGUCCAUGAUAUAACUAGUUAGCGGGAGGCGUUUAGCCUCUCGAGCGUAGUUUCGUUUUGCGUUUCGGGUCUCACCUCCCACGCAGUGGCCUCCAAAUAUGGUAUCUAUCUCGUGAAUAGGGGCCUCUUCUUGUGUGUGGUGAUUUUUCCGAUGCCUAUGUCCUUCCCUGGGUCUUCCCGCAUCACGUUCCCUUCGACAGGGGAUACCUCUCGCUGGCGAGGCGUCGCCUUCUCACGCUUAGGUCGCCGGUUGUUCAUAGGCCGGGACCUGUUUGCUUUUAGUGACUCGUUCCUCCUGUCUUAAGGGUGUUCCCGUCAGUUGCGGUAUGCAUACUCCCGACACUCUGAUGUGUCAUGACUAUAAGAACGGUGGUAUGUACAAUAGUUAAGGGGUUCUGGUUAGGCCUAUUCCUAGGCCCCAAACUGCGCCCCUGGCCUCCUCCUUUUCGGGGGGCCUGUUGUGUUCCUACUUGUGGGUAGGUGGUGGUUGGGUUGACAUCUUCAUAUGCCAAAAUUAGGAUUGCGUUCAAAGUGGUUGUGGCAAGUGCUUGCCCUGAAUUUUCAUUACCCAGCAGGUUCAUCUGGUAGUCCAUCAAGUGGGAGGUCGGUCCUCUGGCUCACUGUCUCUAUUGAGGUGGGAGGUUCCUGCUGGCCCAAUUCCUGUGUUCAAUUAGCUCCUCAUUGAUAAUCUCUCACCUCUUCAUUUUCAAUAGGGCGUCAUAGGUGGCGGGAUCUUGGUUUUGCACGUCCUUCCAAAACAAGGUGUUCAUAUUCAAACCUCUCCUUAAGGUUGAUAAAGCCUCACGAUUGGUGACUUGCACGCAGUACAUCAUUUCGUUAGUAAAGUGUGAUAAAAAGCUUUUUAAGGAUUCCCUAUGCGCUUGCCUCAUGUCUUGAAGGAGCUGGAUAGGGACUUCUCCCUCUUUGCUCAUCGCAAACCUUUUUAGAAAGGUGUUCUUGAAUUCUAGCCAACUCCUUAUGCUCUCAGGUGACAGUCCACUAUACCAAAUUUCAGCCGCUCUGCUAAAUGUCAAAUGAAAAGCCUUGCACUUUAUAGUUGGGGUGGCACUUCUAAGGCUCAUAUGAGUUUUGUAAGCGCUUAGGUGUUUCUCCGAGUCGCUUCUCCCGUCAUACUUUGGUAUUUUGGAUAUCACAUAAUGGCCCGGAACUUGGGCAUUCCUUAUUUCCCUUGAAAAUGGGAGAUUUUCAUCGUUGUUGUCCAAGUCACAGGACCUUUACUAUUCAUCUGAUUCAUUGUUCUCUUCGGCUUCAUACCUGGGUGGCUGAUGAGAGGGUUCAGCUUGGGUCCUGACCUCCUCUUCCCUCUUUUGAUGCCUAUUUCUAGGCGGAGCAACACAGAGAACAUUUUCUUGCCUUUUCUCCGAUUGACGAGUCAUUAGAGGUGGGCACUGUGGUCUAUUCCAAGGCUCGCGUUGAUGUUCCUGUUGCCUGUGCCUCGGCUCCGUAGGGCUAAUUCUGUCAAAGACGCUGUUAGACCUCAUAGGUCUUUAUUUUGGCUUAUAUGCUGGUGGAAAGUUGUCCUGGUUAUACCGGGCCUCGAUGGGUCAGCUAGCAGCAUAAUUGGAGGAAACAUCAACUUCUACUUUCCUCUCCAUGUGGCUCCUGCCUCGGCUGUAUUCUGGCGGUAUAGCCCUUUGGCUUUGAACUUUCUCAUCUUGGUCGUAAUGUUCUUGGGGUGCAUAGGAAGGAAUAGGGAAGCCUACUUGGCUCUGCAUUUGGGCCUGAGUUCUCUAAUGGCCAUGUUUUGGCUAGCAACGUCCCUCAUGUUUAUAGCCAUGGUGGCCAUCUCUCUUGAUAGCUGAGCGGUCAUCUGCAUGCCACCUCUUUUGUGGUGGUGGUGAGGUCGAUGCCGAGCUGCAGGGAUAGCUGCUGGUGGGGACAUCCCUGCAUUUUCUCUUACCCUCCUAGGGGGUACAUCCUCGUCUGAACUCAUUCACCUGUUCCAACUUCAAAUUAUUGCUAAGUUAUGGGGCUUCCACUUGUUUUUUUCCAAGAACAAAUUAUUUUUCAAAGGGGAUGCUCAAAUAUUCUUUUCGAUAAACUUUCUCCACAUGGUUGCUCGUGGUUAUAGUAUGAUUUCUCACAGACGGCGUCAAUCUGUUGACCCCAGAAUAUGUUGCCAACAAAUAUACCGGACCCACCCUCGCGCACAUAAGCUUGGUCCAACACGCUAUGGCACAUGGAUGGUCUAGAAAUAAUAGCAAAAAGGGGGCAUGGGAGCGACUCAAAGGUGCGGGACGAGAACGUUCGAAAUCUGACGAGAUAUUUGCAUAAUGAUUGUACAAUAAUUACCAAUCGAUGUUUGUAGAAUGCGAGUAUGAAUUCAUGUAUGUUGCAAGAAAGUAAAAUAUAGAGAAUGUUGUAUUUGUUCUUGUGAUGAAUCUUGCAUUACCCUUGUGAGAGAUAUAUGGGGGAGUAUUUAUAGUAUUACAACUUAGAUCGUGACCCUUGGUUGGGAGUACACGUGGUCUUAUCACGUAAGUUUACAUGUCAAAUUAUAGGCAUCACAUUUGACUUCCUAACUUGCUACACAUUUAUUAAUUGACGGCUUUGCCACUACAUUGACAAUACAAGACAUUUACACUCUAUGAUGGGUGUCCCAUCAAUCAAUCAGGAAGUAUCAUUGUGUAAGAUCGGAUCUCUGGGAAGGAGCGUUGCUUAGAGCCUCAGGACCUCGGAGAAGAUUAGGACUCAGAGGAAGGGCCUCGGCUCCAAGAUCAGCUUCGGCGUCGGCACUUGGGCCACGUCUGGCCUGGGGCCUCGGAUAAAAUGCCACGUAGUUCGGAAAAGGUUGGCCAUGGGCCCAGUGGGUCGGCCAAGUGUCAACACAUAACAGUUCCCAUCACGAACUAAAUUGGAAAUUUGUUUUUUGUAUUGAGGCAUAUAUGAAUUUUUCUGAAUUACUUUGUGAUUGAACUUCGGGUCCAUGCUACAUGAAAAUGAAUUUGGGCCAAAUUUUUUGAAAAACAAGAGGCUAAAAAAAAGGCCCAAUUCAUAAACCUAUGUUAUCUUUCGAGUUUCAUUUCUGCCUUUGUAAUUCAAGUUUCCUCCUUCGGCUGGCGGGAUCUCAACGGCAACUGUAAAUUUCGACCACUCGUACCGGCUCCGCCACUGCUGUUAUGCAAUUCAAUUAACUAAAAAUUCAACAACUAAACGAUAAAAAAAAUGUAAUACUUAAAAUAUUUAUAUGACAAUCAAUUAAUAAGAUUGAAAAAUGUUCUACACGAUCAUUCAAGAAAUUUUAAGCCCUUGAUUUGAGUUCCAUUCUUUUGGAAAAAAUAUUUUUCAACAGUGUUUUGACAUCAUUUCAACCACACAUUCUUCAAUGAAUAUUACACGCAAAUCCAAAAUUUUUAACCCCACAUUUCCCCCUUUUUUUAACUACACAUUUUCCAUCAAUACACUGUACAAAAAUUUAUUCUUCAAAAAAAAAAUGGGGGUCAAACAAGAGCUAAAAAAUGUGUCGCUAGGACGCAAAUAUUUACACGUUUAGAGUGUUAUUUGGAUAUGUUCUAAGUACUUGUAAGUUGUGAAUCAUAUGAAAUAUAUUGAGUGAAUAUUAAUAUUAAGUUGCACAUUAUACAAAAUCUUUGAAUAAAAGUAUGUUUGACGAAUUUAACUUAAGCGCUUGUUUGAAAUUGCUUAAGAAGCUACUAUAAAGUUGAGGAGUUGAGGUCAAAGUUAAAAAAUUAAUUUUCAUGACAUAAUUUAUGAAAUUCACAAAUUUUUAAUCACACAUUCAUCAUAUUUUAUCAAAGUCUCGACAAUCCUUAAAUUUUAAAAUUUGGAUAAAACUUUUGUGCAGUGGGACCAGUGGCGAAUCCAGGAUUCAAGUUCAACUAGGGUGGUUUGACCGUUGACCGAUGAUCGUUGACUGUCGAGGAUCGUAAUUGUCCGAUCGUUUAUUAAAAUUUGGUUACAUAAUAUUAGAAGUUAUUCAAAAUAUAUGUAAAUGAACUAAAACGUCAAAAUCGUAUACAUAUGAAAAUAUACUUCGAUACAACCCAAAAUAGUAAAAAAAAAAUAUACGAUACAACCUUACUCAGUUACUCUGUAACUGUAAACUUAGACAACUGUAUUCUACGGGGUCUCAUAAUUUGAAAGCGUUGCAAUAUUGCUUCAUUCUCAAGCUGUUUAAAAAUAGCUUUCUCCACGUAAAUCACCAAAUUGUCAUUUAACCAGAUAUCACCCAUUUUGUUACGCAAAUCACUCUUGAUUAGAUUCAUAGCAGAAAAUACCUUUCAACACUUGCAGUUGCCACAGGUAAUAUCAAAGCCAAGGUGAGCAGCCUAUAAACCAAUGGAAAAUAAUAGGAACUUCUAGUUUCAAUCAACUUCUGAGCUACACAGGAUAUACUAUUGAGAUUAAAGAAAGCUUUUUCCAUUCUCACAAGCAAAAGAAACUUAUCAAGUUGAGGUCUAAAUAGUAAAAGUUCUUCACUAUUGAAGUCCAAAGGACAGAACUGAGCAAGACGUAGCAAUUUAUCCAAAUCUUUUGGACUUAAACAUGAAAUGCAAGUAAAGAGCUCAGUAGUUGUUUCUGAAAAUCGAUCAUUCAACUCUUGCAAGAUUGAGUCUAUCACAUGACAAUACAAAUCAACAUAAAAGCGAUGAAAAUAAGUCACCUGCUAAGCUACACGCCUAGGUCGACCUUUCACCACUACAAUAUCCUCCAUAUUAGGCACUAAAAUAUGUCUAUCAACACAAAACUCAAUCACCCUACUGAGCAAAGUAUCCCAACCAUUCUCUCUCAAGUUCUGCAAUGCACACUUACACAAAUUCAAUAACCUCAUAGCAUUCUAAAUAUCCUAAUCCUUUUUCUGUAAGGCUUGUGAAAGGUCGUCUGUAAUUGCAAGAAUUUCAAACAUAAAGUGAAGACUGAACACAAACUCAAAAUCUUGCAUAUUGUUCGUCUGUCUUAAGGCCGAAGAUUUUUGAUCUGAAUGUACGCCAUCUUCUGAUAUAUUCUCAAGAACAUCUAUAAUAGCAUUAAACAUAUUAAUGAAAUGAGUAACUGUCAAUAAAUGUGAGCCCCAUCUAGUAUCACCUGGGCGUGCCAAACUCAUUUCUUGAAAUUGACCACUUCCACCAGUAAGUUCCCCAGUAUUAAGUUUCUCCACAAUAUUAGCUUAUUAACUUGUUUGAAGAGCAUCUACACGCUUACAUGAUGCACUAACCAAAUUCACAAUAAUAGCAAGUACGUCCAAAAAAUCACCAACCAUACAAUUCCUACGUGCCACAUAUACAAUUGCCAACUGAAGCUGGUGAGCGAAGCAAUGAACAUACAUAGCAUGUAGGUUCUCUCUAAGAAUUAAAGCUUUCAACCCAUUGAACUCACUUGACAUAUUACUUGCUCCAUCGUAGCCUUGACCUCUUAGACUAGAUAUACUCAUCCCAUGUGUAGAAAAUAUUACAUCAAUGGCAUCCUUCAGUGAUUGGGCACAAGUAUCAGUGACAUGGGAUAUACCCAAAAAAUGCUCCUUCACUCGCCCACUUUUAUCAACAAACCUUAAAACAACUGCCAUAUGUUCUUUCAUAGAUUUAUCACGAGCCUCAUCAACUAAAAUUGAACACAAAGAAUCACCAAUCUCAUUGAUAAUAGCCCUUGUCGUCUCUACAGCACAACAAUUAAUCAAAUCCUUUUGGAUGGUUGGUGAAGUCAUUUGGUAAUUUUCAUGAGCAUUACUAAAUAAUAGUUCUUUAAUUUCUCACAACGAGCUGCAUACCAGUUCAAUACCUCAAUUAGAUUUCCUCUAUUAAGAGACUCUUUCGAUUCAUCAUGACCACGAAAUGACAAUCCUUGCAUCAAGAGGAGUCUAGUACAAUCUAGCACCGCAGUCAACCUGGUCCUAUAACUUUGUUGUUGACUACUACUUUAGCUAGAAAUAACGUAAGAAAUACUUUGCUUUUGAUUCAUCAAGUUGGUACACUUUUCAAAAGCUUGAUUAUGAGAGCUAUCAAAGAGACCGACAUGAUCUUUCAAUGUCUCUUUGUGCUUUCAAUCCCUAAAGCCGGUCUUAGUAAAUAUAUGUCCAUCCCCUUGACCCCCUUUAUCAGGUUUGAACAGGUAGCAAUGCAAACAAUACGCCGCAUCCUUUUCUAUAUUGUAUUCCAACUAAUGAAAUUCGGAAAAUCAUUCUUUCCGAAAACAUCUACUAUCAUUCCCCAUCGGUCUUCUUGGAAAAUUAUGUUCAUAUGGUAGACAAGGACCCUUCUCCAAGUAUGCCAUCCUAACAAUAUCUCUAAUAUUAGGAUCAUAUGAUUCGAUAGGGGGGCGUAUCCCUGGAUCAGAUACAAGACCAUCCACAUUAAAUUGAGUCCGAGACUUCUUUGUGUUAUUCAAUAAUUCUUAUGCUCAACUAGAAUCAGUUUCGGGACUAGACCCACAACUAGAAGUAGAAGAAUUGGGUAUGGACUUUCAUUUUGGUUGAAAAAAUCGUUCCAUAAUCUGCAAAAUGUCAUCCUAAAUGUAAAUUCCCAAAUCAAUAAUCAUUCCUAAUAUCAUAUUCCCUCAUCAAAUCAUAAAUUACUCAUCAUAAAUCACAAUUCGCAAAUACAAUUUCGUAAACAUAAAUUCACAUAAAUUACUCAUCAUCAAACACGGGGAUUGAAACCUAAUGUCAACAAGUUUCUUACUGGAACCAGACUGUACAUUUAAUUUCAUGUUUUUUGUUCCAUUUAUAGCAUUCUGGAGAUAUUCUUUAUGUUUCACUAAUACAUUAUCGCAAAGAUCCAAUUCCAUUAAAUUGAUGUCAAAUUCUUUAUGAGAAGGUAAUUCUAAUUCUGAGUGUCAUUUUUGUUUUCAACUUUUGUCCCCUUCAUUUUUGCUUAGUUCAGUGCUCAAUAGUCAAUACUAGACAGUGAACAUACAACUUAAACAGGAAGUUCAUGUCUCAAUUUCUAAAUCUAAAUAAUCAAAGUGAGCACCACUUCUGGUGUUUGUUCAGCAACUACCAUGAAAGCUAAGCCCAGAACUUUAGAUUGUGAGAAUUCUAGUGAUUUAUCUUAACGCAAUUCUAGUGAUUUAUCUUAACGCAAGAGUUCUAUCUAUUAGUCUUUGCUUGUAUUAAUUAUAAAAAUGAGAAGAUUUAUGUGAUGACAUGCUUCUUGAUCAUACUCUUCAUUUAUAAGAUCUUCUACUUCGCCUCUUGCUGCUUGUUUAUUUAACAAAUUGAAAUCCCUAGUAAAAUAAUUUAACAUUUUUCGACAACAUAUUUUUCUAUGUACUUAUUGCGUAUUGUGUUUGUUUACUAACUUAUAGUGACAUGACUUCAGUCUUCACGUAUACGACUAUCGAAUUUUUUUUUUAACAUAUUCAAAAAUUACUAAAACGAUUUAUUAACCUCAAUAUAUUGUAUAAUUAAUUCUACAAUGUAUGUACCCAAAAAAAAAAAAGAAUAAUAAUAAAAUUCUUUAUUCCCGUCUUCAAAUUCUCACUUUUCCAUUUAUCACUUCAUUGCUUCACAAAUCACAGAUUCACAAGUCAAGAACAUAAAAUUCCAACCCCAUCGCCAUUUGCCUCUCACUGUCUCGCAAACUCAGGAAAUUGGUUCACAGGAGCAUUACACUUCAAAUUCCUAUUCUUGAAAUUUGUUAGCAUUUUUAUGCACAUCAACACCAAACCCAAAAAAAUAAUAAUAAUAAUAAUAACAAAGAGUGAAAGAAGGAGUCACCACUCACCAGUCCGAAAUUCUAAUGCCUGAAGUCUGUGGUGUGAAUUUGGAGCAAGAAGAAGUGAGAUUGAGGAAAAAUGUUUGGUAAUUUGGGGAAAAUUCACAAUUCUUGGCGCUGAUGCCUGUUGCCUUUCGUCUUUUGCUGGCCUGAGGCUGGGAUUGAAAAAUGAAAAUGUCAAGGGCAAAUAAAAUGGGUUAUGGGUAACACUAACGGGUUGGUUAAAUUCAUUUGGGUUGGGCUAAAUAAAUUAAAUAACAAUAGCCCAAAAUUUAAUAUACUUAAGCCCAAACCCAACCAAAAAAAUAAAAACCCGACUGUGCCUUCAGUCUUCGUCUUCCUUCUUCAGUUCUUCUCCAAUGGCACAACUGCAGUUUGCAACUCCUUAGUCCUUACUUACUCGGCGACUUUGUAGAUUUCGACGGAGCCAGCACGCGCGGCCGCGCCCCUCGUCGAGCGCUGGCUCCACGCCUGAGUGGGACAAUAUAUUAGACUAGAGCUAAUGCCUAAGAAUUAACCUAUUUGGACAGGGUGAAUUCUAGGGCCUGGUGCCCCUAUUUUUGGCCUUAGAAUUCAUCCUGGCUGUCCAGAGGAUUGAAUGCGUAAUCGGUAUAAACAUUCAAAUAUAUAUAAUUAUGAAAACUUAGGACAAAUACAAUUCUUUUUACCGUACCGUCGAUCAGAUAGAAGGAAGAAAAGAUGGAGUACAAAAAUGAAAAUUAAAAAUUAAAAAAUUCCUUGACUUUGUCUUAGUUCUAUGUUUUUUCUCUAUCAUUCUUUUCCAGACCAGCCAUACAUGUUAUAGAGAGAUAUUCGGGUAGAACGGUCGUAUAGUCUAUGUGCAACCGUCCAAUCCAGGUAUUUCUCUCAAUAUAUUGGAAAAGCUUAGCGUCCAAUCCGGGUAUUUCUCUCAAUAUAUUGGAAAAGCUUAGAAACUUUACUUAUUAAUUUUCAUUUAUUAAUUUGUGCGUUUUCACUUAUAAGUAAAAUGAAAAAUUCUGUUUUCAUGCUUAUCCAAACUUGUUUGGAAUGAUGAAACUCCAAUAAUGUAAUUGUAACUUUUUAGAAACUCUUAUUUCCAAUCAUAGAUAUGCCCAACUUGUUUUUGGCAGUACUAAAAUAAAAUGUUACUUAUUUCAAUUUGUAACUUGUUUAACCAAUAACACAUUAUUUUGACACUGUUUAGAUUAAACAUACUUAUUCACUUAUAUUAAACUUUUUAAGCUUGGCCCAAACAUGGCGUACCUCAUUUGGGUACCAAGGAAAUGUGUUGCAAAAUUCUGCAACCCACAGUGUUUUCAUGGCAUUUGGCUCUGCCUAUGCUCGCCUUCUCUUUGCCGAAUAUUACUCACUUCUCACUUUAUUUAAGCCUUGACAGCCCAACAACAGCUACCACCUGAUAUCCUACUCAGGCUUGAGUCCGUGUCUUUCUCGGGACAUAACUGAACCCGCGCCCUGGUUCUCUGUUUUUCUCAGGUCAAGUUCUAACACUUGUCUAUAUGUUUAGUUGCCAUCUGUCUUUAGGGCUUGUUUCGUUUGUGGUGUCAAUACAGCAUAAGUUGAGGUUCGUGAGAAGUUUUUCUUUGUGUGAUCAUUGUUCUUUUCGGGUUGUGAAUGCUUGUUGAGCCAUUGAAUGUGGAUGGCUUUCAACUUAGUUAAAGCUUUUUAUGUGGGAUUCAUUUUAGGCUUUGAGUGCCUCGUGUUUCUUGUUUUUCGAAUUUGCCUCGUGUUUCUUGGCUUUUUGAAUUUUUGGAACGUUCUUUAUCUGCGCCGUUGGGUAAAAAACCCCUUUUAUGUUUUCUGUUUUUUUUCGUAAAUUUAGUUCAGAAAUCAAUUUUGUUGUUGUCUUUUCUAUUUUUAAUCUUUUGUUUAGCCUGUCAUUGUUCCUUUAUUAAUUUUUUGUCGAUUUUUCCUGAAGCUAGAAUCAUAUCAGAGUGCUGUAGAAUUUUGGGGUUCUCCAAAUUGGUGUACAAGUUAUUUGUAUUUGGGGAUGAUGACAUUCAUUAAGCAAUUUCAUGAAGGGGUCAUUGUAACAUUGCACUUUUGGUUUAUGACAUAUGAUCUUUUAUUUUUCAGUUUCAUCAGGAUGUCUGCAAAUUAUCAUGUGUUCGUGGAAUGGGAAGAGCGUAUUAUUUCUAAAGAAAGGGGCAACCGAGUUGUUCAUUACUAUUUGAAUGAGUCCAAUGGGAAUUCAGUCCUUGCCAUUGUGGGGACCGAAAAGAGUUUAAGGCACAUGAUCUAUGUUCUUUCGGAGGACUUUGUAAUCAAUUAUGGGUGUACGACAACAGUCCGUGCUGGCACAAAAUGGCGAGCAAGACGAGAUGUUGUGGAAUGGCUCAUGUCAAUAGUCUCAAGAGGCCAACCAAUCUCGACUACUCCAGGUAUGUAGGGUUUUAUUCCACAGACUUAUUAAUCUUUAAUGACAUAUGCAUAUUGAAUUUAAAUUCUUUUAGUAAAUUCUACUCUCCUUUUUAAGCUCUUGAUAAGGAGUUGGUGACAUUUUCCGAACCACAAUCAGGUACGGGCACUUUGUUACCUUCGGUGAUAAAGCUGAUUGCAUACGAGAAAUCUGUUUUUGUUCCGAUUAAGCUUAUUGCACUUGUUCUACUAUUUACAUUCUUUGAACAGCUCACGCUCGGCAUUUGUUAUAAGCCAUUAGCUUAUAGCAGCCUUUUAAACUAGUGUGAUAAAUUGAUGUCUUUCAAGUAAAUGGUGAAGGUCUAUCAAUCCCUUCCUCUCGAAGUUUCGAAGUGAAGGUUGAUUUGUAAUUAUUGAUCUUAAAUGAAUUUGAGAAUAAGAAAAGAAAAGAAAAUGGAGCUUUCAUUAGAAUUACAGUAAUGGUUUUAUUUUUUAUUUUCCAUUUGUGUUAGAGUCAUAAUGUGGUUGUUUGGAAAAUUGAUAGAUGUUAUUUUUUAACUCAUUUGGUCAGAAAGUAAAGAAAAGAUAUUUCCACUAGAUAUAAGUUCUAUUUAAGAGCCAACCCUUAAGUUCUUAUUUUGACACUUCGCAUGUUUAUACCAACCGAUAGUUCGCGACGAACUAAUGGUUUUCAAUACGAGCCUUCUUGACGUAGUUCAGCUACUCCUUGCCAAUUUCUUCAAGUUGAUUAUGUGAGUUAUAUUGUACCAUUCCAUGCUACUCUCUCGUGCUAAGGUCAUAAAUUAGUUUCACCAUUUUAAUGUCUCAGUUCAGGUUGAUGCUUGUCACCCUAUUUCCAGUGACCUCACUACUGAUUGCCAUCACGAUCAUGGAACUCUUCUUUUCUAGAUCAUUUAUUUAGUUAUUCUCUUACUUAAAAGGAAGUGCAUUAUAAUUUAUGAUAGCCCUUACGAUGCUUACCGACAUCACUUAUUUGUUAGGAGGGCUAGUUUGCCAGGCUUUCUUGUGGACCUCAAUAAGUUUAACACGCAGGCUUACACACGCACACACAAUCUCUCCGUGUGUGUCAAAAUUGAGGAUGUUAUGAGAACUUGAAAAUUGAGAAGAUUUUCUUUAUUGCAUAUCUGCUUAGAACUUAUUAGUUCUCAGCACCUUGAAAUAAUGUAAUUUUAUGGGGGGAAAAUUAUAACCUAACCUGAAUCCAAGAUUUUCUUUACAAGUUAAAUUUUAUCUUUCUAUUCCUAAUCAAGCUUUGCUGAAUAAAUGUGUUCAAAAUUAGUAAGUCAUCAAGCCUAUAAUCCAAGUGCCAAUUUCAUACUCAAAAUACCUUGGCAAAGUGUAACUUCCAUAGAGUCUCGGUCAAAAAUAUUGUCCCCUUUUUAUUCAAUUGACACGGAGUGACAGGCUGCAGAUACCUUUAUCAAAAUCAGUGGGCCCCAGAUUUGAGCGUUAUAACUUGGAGCCACCACAAUCAUCUUUAGAGCCAGAAGUAAUCUCAUCUGUGGGUGUACUCUCUACCCGAUUUCGACCAGUUCUUGAAGUGCAUUCUGUAAUUUUAUUGAACUUUUUAUGCAAAAUCACAAAAGCCACUGAUUAGUGAAAGAAAGCUAUAGUGAUUGAAUUACAUAGGUUUUGUAUUUUCCUUGCAACAGAUACCGUAAAUUUGCUUUAGAGAAAUUUUUGCAAACAGUUUUAAGCCAUUUUUCCCUUCCGUUCCCUGGCAGAUCCAAAAAUACUUCGCUCAAAACAAUCUCUGGAAUCCAGUGGAAUCGGGAUGUCUAGUUUCUUUAAUUGUUUGAGCCGCCAGGGGGAUGAAGUGGUGACUAGAUAUUUAAUUCUUGGUUCAUUUUUUAUGAUAUUUUUGUGCUUAACUGUGUACUAACUUCAGAUUACUAAUAAAGGACCUUCAUUUCAGAUCCAAGUCUCAAGAAAAUUGAAUGUCAGAAAUCCAAAUAUCGAGUGGAAAGGUGAUGCUUGGAUCUGCAGUAAACAGCUUAAGCAUUAUCCAGGUUUUUGCAGAAAUGGAACUGAGAUAGCUGUAAGCCUCAAAAUGCUUUUUGUAUUUGCGGCAUGUUUGGUUAAGCUUAUAUAGUUUAUUUAUUAGUAAACAAGUUAGUUUGGAAAAUGAUCAUUUUUUAGUGAUCAAAAUUGAAAACGAAUAAUUAUCUAUUUGAAGGUAAGGGUUAUUUUCAGUUUUUCACAAAUUAAUCAUUUUCUUUUCACUCGUUACGAAAAAACAAUAAGCCCCCAUUUGUUUCCCAUUCUUUUUUCAUUAAAAUGAAAAAUAUAAUCGUUAUCCAUCACAUCAAGCCAUCAAAUUUGAAUUUCUAUCUCUUGUGUAGGACCCAUAACAACUAUAUUUUUCAUUCUUAUUUUUACAAAAAUGAGAAAGAAAUGCCCCCUAAGUUGCAUAUACAUGUUUGAGACAAAAAUUGGCUCUAGAGUAACUCUACUAGUUUGUAAGCCUAACCAAACGAGUUCUUCAUAUACUUUGUAACAGCUUUCAAAACCCUCAUCUUGAUCUUCAGGUUUUAUCCUUUGUACUGAUAAUGGGUGAAGAAAGAAGUCACUAUCUUGGUUAUCUGGAAGACUUAUAUGAGGAUAAGAAUGGCGAGAAAAUGGUUAAUGUGCAAUGUUUUCAAUUUAGGGAGGAAGUCAUCAGUAUGAUUCCUCAUGUAAAUGCACAUAAAAGAGAAGUUUUCAUCACACCGCAUAAGCAAGAGAUCAGUGUAGAUCGUGUUGACACUCUAGCUGCAGUUUUGACUCCAAAUCAUUUCCAAAAAUGUUGGGCUAAUUUUGUGCAAGGCUUGCCGUUGGGAAUUUUUAUGUGCCAUAAAGAAUUCAAAAACGACAAGGUCAAGUCCUUCUCUGUAAGUAAAUUACAUGGUUACUACAAUCAACCAAUCCUAUCUCAUCUGGAUUCCAGUUUCUCCCGGACAAGAAAUGAGGGACAUAAACUAAGUGAAGAGGCAGCAAAAUGUGGGCCACCUAUCUUGAGAUUGAAAAUCAAAAUGUCGAGUAAGGAACCUAUUGGUAUUGAUCAUGUUGGGCCUGAAGCCCAACUUCAAGUGCCGUCUAAGGUGAAUGCAAAUAUAGAGCUUCUUUGUGAGGAUAGCGGCAUGUGAGGCUGCUGGUUUAGGUGUACGAUCUUGCAAUCACUAGAAAAGCGUAUGAGGGUUCAAUACUAUGACGUCCUUGAUGUUGAUGGACCUGCAAAACUGGAAGUAUAUGAAUCCUUCAUGUUAUUGCUUUUGUUUUGUGUACUUGGAGGAUGAAAAUUAUCCUUCAUUAUUAUUUAGGAUGAAAAUUAUCCUUCAUUAUUAUUUUUAUAUCUCUCAUACAACUUAAGAAUCAAGACAUGGUUUGUAAACAGUGAUUACUACAUGAUAAAAUAAGUUCAUUGCAGGGAAACCAUCAGGCUGACUUUUGUCGGGAAGACACAUUUAUUGACCUAUUUACAAAAUUAUUUGUUUAUCCAUUUGCACUUUGUAUACAGGAAUGGUAUCCGGCAUCUAGAGUUGCAGCUCCUGAUAGAUUGGGCAUGAGAUGUGAAGGCCGCCUUACUGUCCGUCCUUGGCCUUCUGAGGAGGAUUCUUCAGGCAGUCCUUUUGUGGUUGGAGCAGCUGUCGAUGCAUGGUGGAGUGAUGGUUGGUGGGAAGGUGUUGUGAUUGGAUGCGACACCAUUCAACUAGAUAACAUUCAAGUUUACUUCCCUGUUAAGUAUCAUAGUUGGCAAAAUAUGGUUUUUCCUAUCAUCCUUGUUACUCUUAUAGGCUUGAUUUUAUAACAACCAGUAACUUUAUCUCCAACUGUGGUAAUAAUCAUAAUCCCAAACUUGCCAUUCUAUAAGCUUUAUACCGCCAUUUGAACCACAUAAUGCCCCUGUUUGAUCCCCAUUAAAUUACAUUCUAUUUUUCUCUCUCCUAUUUUCAAUCACACAAUCUUUCAUAAAAUAAUGUUACACGUAAAUCGAAAAUUUUUCCUUCUUUUUCAACCACUCAUUUUUUCAACAAAACACUAUUCCCCCCAUUUUCAGUACCAAAAAUGAGGGCCAAACAGGGGCAAUAAUAGCUACUUGAUAAAUUGAAGGAUGGGAACAUUCUUCCUACGAAGUUUAUCUUUCCACUGCACUCGUUUUGAGUGCUGAACAUAAUAGUUAAAUGAAUAAAUUUGUCCUUUUUCUAAAAGCUUGAGCUUUUAGAUGAUGUGGAGCAACAUGGUAUACAAAAGAAUCUAAGUCUCUUUGCCACCAUUUUUGAACAAUUGUGCAUGUGUCUGGCCAUUGAUGAGAAAAUGGAACCAACCUGCACAUGAAGGGGCGAUUUGAAGACAACAUACAAAUAUUUGUCCUCUCUUAUUUAUAGCUGAAACUUUUACAAGAGGUAGUUCAACGUUGGGUUAUUCAUGCCUCGGCCUUAGAGGUUCUGAUUUAGCUUCUACUUUCUUGUAGGUGAGAACAAGUUUAUGACUAUCCCAAGGAAAAAGACAAGGACUUCAAGAGAUUGGGUUGAUAACAUAUGGGUGGAUAUAAAGCCAAAGCCUGAUAUAAUUUCUUUCUUAUCUCCAACUGUCAUCCUGGUUGUGAAUCUUCGAUCUUUCCCAACUUCGACUGGCCCAUCUAAACCUAAUUACAAAGCUCUCACUUCUUCAAAAUGUGAAGGCUCCGAAGAUGAUAAGUUGCAGUUACCAGAUCCAAUCACAUCUAUAGGUGCUGAGAGGCUUAACAUGUGGAACCGAGUUGUUAUCAAAGACGACGAGGACAGGGUUCAUACUCUUGCUCAUGCUGCAGUCAAGGGGAAAGCUGUGAAGAAAUAGUGAUGUUACUUGAAUACAAAUAAGAAACUGCUAUGGAGUAAUUUUGAAUCUGUAACCUACUCCUGAAGUUGGCAAAGCUAUUUAGUGUUUUGUUGUUACUAGUUGCUGGUAACUAGGAUGUAUAUUAGAUGUUCUGUUUUAAAUUUAGAAUAGACAGCAUUUGGUGCAAUCAUGUCAACUAGUUUUGAGUUCCGCUUUUAAUAUAAUAUGAAGUAGUUAUUUCUGUUGUUGUUGUUAUUAUUAUAAUUAUUAAUAUUAUUAUUGUGAAAGCGAUUAUUUUAAAAGUAAUUUUUAUUUUUAUUCUUAUUUUUUGGGGUUAAAAGUAGGAAAGAGAUGGGUAAAUGUGAAAAAUGACUUUAUUUUAAUUUUUUAAGUGUAAUUUGAGCGUGGAUUAGAAGUGAUUUUCAGAGAAUCAAAAUAAAACAAGGGCUAAGUUUGCACACUUCGAAUAAAUUAUGGGCUUGUUCGGUAGUGAUUUUUAGAAUUGAUUUUUUGACCCUUGAAAAGAAAAGUGGGUCUAUCUGUGAAAGAAGAAGUAAAUUAUGAUGGCUUUAACAGUGAAAUAAUGGUCAAAAAAUUGAUUUUUUGAAGUGAAAAAUCAGUAUCAAAUAUGUUGUAUAUGUAUCUUGAUGCUGUCCCCAAUGCAUUUUGGUACCAACGAAAAAGUAGAACCAAAAUUAAAUUAAAUUUAAUAGUAUCAUUCAUGUAUCUUUUAUAAUAGAGACCCUAGAAUACAAUGAAGAAGAGAAUUUGAUUUCACAAAAUAUGUGGAUAAUAAAUAUGUAGUAAUUUGUCCAUAAAUUAUGAGGAUAUUAUUAUGAAACUAAAACGAGCAUUAAAUGCUAGUUUGGAUUAGCCUAAUGAGUGUGGGUACUAUCGCCUUAAAAGUAUGUUUGACCAAUUUAUUUAUAAAUAAAGAUGUAUCAUGAUUAGGUGGCAAUGACUCACUUGCUCAUUGUUCAAUGAAUUAAAGUGUAACACGACUUCAUUGUGCAAUAAAUAUGAAACUCGUUGCACCUAAUCAGUGAUGCAUACUAAUGAAUGAUGAUUUAUAACAUUAUUCUAAAUUGUCAUUUGACUUUGCCAAGAAUGUUGUGAUUCUAUAUUAAUUGUCCAAGAUUUAAUUGGUAACUAGUCUCUAAUAGAAUAUCGAAUAAAUGUGACACAUUCUCGCAGUCAGAACAAAAAAAAAAAAAAAGUGGUUGACACUUUUCAAUCUUUCAAUUAUCACACAUUGAAGCACUGUUACUCAAAAUAUAUGACAAAUAAGAGUUUGGCUAUGUAAGCUUUCAACUAGUGCACUUUCAGGUAACCUUUAAAAGUGAGAUUAUAGACAUAUUCAAAUCUGUAAAUUUAAAUCUUUACAUGACAAAUUUUCUAAUAUGAAUUGUAAUUGAAUUUCACAUGACUAAAAAUUAGAGGGAAAAAUUCUCAAACCAUUUAAUUACGUGCAAAUAUUCAUAUUAACAUUCCAAAUUCAUAUACAUUUAUGAGCAGUACUACACUACCAAAAGAAUUUCUAUAGAAACUCUACAAGCUACUCACAGUAUGGUGAGUUAGCUUUUUUUUUUUUUGCAAUAUUUUAUUACAUGGGGUCCCAUGUCGGACUCACAUCCCAUGUGAGUAUCUGUACACACCUUGUGAGAAAGUCCCCCCGUACGUGCAGACUAAUUGUAUACUUAUAUAUGUUGAGGACUUAAAAUCUUAUAUUUAAAUAUUAGGGAAAUCAAACCACACUCCCUCAAAGGUCAGGGAGUCCACCCUGAAAUAUUUGAAUUCAGAGAGCGGUAAGUCAAUAAUGAGAGUACAAUAUUAUCAUUUAAAAAAAAAAAAAAAAAAAAGAAGAAAAAAAAGGCAAAUUCUCCCGCUAUCCUAAAAUUGCAAGUCAUUUGAAUCACUCCAAAAGAUUAACAUAAAAGGGGGAGUAAAUUCCUUCCUCUUCACAUUCCCAAAGAAGAACAAUGGCUUCAAUCAAACCCUCAACUCGCUAUGCUAACAGCCUUAACAGCUCCACAAAAUCUGACCCUUCUUCAUCCACCGAGUUCCCAACAUCACGCACCACCUCGCGCGCCGUCACGAAAGCUACCUCCAAUAAAAACGUCACUGCCACCGACAACAUUAAUCUGAGCUUCAUGGUCAAGAAAUUUAUGGAAAACAAGAAGGCAAAGAAUUCAAGUAAAGACCCAAAAUUCAUUGUGGCAGCUGAUUUUUUAGCCGAGGAUUUGAAAAAGAAUAGUGCCAAGAAGGCUACCGCCUACCGGAUUAAGUGGGCUGCACAAGAAGUUAUUCAAGGGUUCAUCAGGGGCAAAAAAGGGAGAUGAAAGCUCGAAGAAGGCGUUGACUGAGGUCAAAGGAAAUACAAGGACUUUGGCUAUGGUGUUGAGGAGUGAGAGGGAGCUGUUGAGUGCAAAUAAGGAGCAGGAGCAGCAGAUAGCUGAGCUCAAGUUGCUACUUGAAGAGAAAAAUGGAGAGGUAAUAUGUGUGUUUCUAUGUGGUUCUGUACAGAAGAAUUUAUGGUUUUAUAGUUGAACUUUGAUGUGUGUUUCUUAAUUAUCUAAGAUGACAUAGAAUCAAGAUUCUUGUGGUAAAAUGUGUGAAAUUUACUGAAAUUUGAAGAUUUCAGAUGAUAGGAGUAAAGUGUACGAAAAAAUGGAAGCUUUGGAACAAAUGGGGAGUCAAUAGCAUGAUAGUUAAAAUAAAAAUCUUUUAGGAUCACUGUAAUUCGGGAUGUAUUGAUAAAUAUGAGUAAAUUAACUGAAAUUUGGGACUUCUUAUGUGUGAGAUUGACUGAUAAUUGAAAUCCCGGUUUUUUCAGUUUAAUCUUCUCUUUCUAGGGGAUCCCUCCGAGGUCAUGAGAUUUGGUUGAGGCAGGUUUUUCUGAAUAUCCCAUGUUUAGAUUUCAUUUAAUGAUUAAAGAAUUUGUAGGUCGAGAAGCUGAAAGAUUUGUGCUUGAAGCAAAGGGAAGAAAUAAAGUCUCUUAAAAGUGCCAUACUUUUCCCAGAUGUGAUGAAUUCACAACUUCAGGAGCUUUUGGAGAAGCAGGGUUCGGAACUUCAGCAGGCAAAACAACUUAUCCCGAGCCUUCAGAGACAAGUCACUUCUCUUACCGGCCAACUUCAAUAUCUUGCCGAGGAUCUAGCUGAGGUAAGCAUUCAUAUUUUGUACAUAUAUCAGAGUAAAAUGUAAGAUUAGCACUUCUUCAAAAUUGAUAAGGAAGUAAUUACAUUGAACUAUUGUCUUCUCUUCUUCAUAAUUUAUAGCUAGGGUUGGACAAUUCUUGAAUGGGACCCUAAGUGAACCGAAAUGAACCAAUCAAGUUGUUCUUCUUAAGUUAAAUACCUGAACGGGUAUUUGAAUAGAAAACUGUGGGGUUCGGUUAUGUUCUGGACGAAGAACUGAAGAACUGAAUUUCCCUAUUUUUUUAAUCUUAAAUUAGCCAAAUUAUUUUAUUUUCUUUAAAUAAAUUUGCUAACUAUUUAAUUUAGCCCAAACCAAAAAUAUAAUUUUCCUAUUUUUAAUUUUCAGCUCAAAUCUAACUUAAUCAAAUUGACUUAUUUUUUUAUCCAAAUCUCUUAUUUUACUGUAAUCUGUUUUUGCCAUUACGAAGAAAUCGAAUUGGAAGCUCAGUUGGGUCUCUCUUUAUUAUUUUGAGCUCGUUAUCUGCCCUUCUCGUAAUUUUAACAGUUAAAUCUAUGAAAAACUCAACAAAGAGAGGUGCAAAAUAUAUCAUGUGAUUAGACUACAUUUUUUUAUAAAAGUUAAAAUUGAACAUGUCAUUUGUUAAAUUAAUGUAGUGUUGUUGUAAAUAUUAAAAAAUUAAUUAUUUUACGGAACCUAGAAAUCGAACUGAACUGAACUGAACCAAACCCGAAUAAUUCAAUAGUUAAAUUUGGACCCGACAGUUCCAUUUACUGAAUACUCAAAAAUUCUAGUUCGAUUCGGUUUCUUUAGAACCUAAUGAAGCCAAACCAUGUCCAACCUUACUUGUAGCUAACUGCUUUCUGUAUAUAAAGCUCUAGGGAUUCUGCAUGUUUGGUGCUAAACCAUUGUUUGGUUCCGAAGUACAUUUACAUGAUAAAAACUAAGACUUAUUUCCAAUAAGAAAUUGGGAUAUUUUAUAAGGAUUCAAGACAAACUAGUUCGCUCAUUAUCCCAUGUCCUUGCUGUUUUCUCUAAGGAAGCAGAAAGAAACAAAAAAACUUUUUACUUCUGUUCUUAAUUGUCAAGAUAUUUACUUUCUUGCCAGUAGCUGCUUGUUGGAGUUUACACACAGAGCAAGAAAGAAAAUGAGAAACUGUAUAUUAUAAUCUUGUUAACUUGAACCAAUAGUAGCUAUUGAAGCUAUUUUGAGUUUGGUCUUCAAUUUUUUCAAGGAAAUUUGCUGGUAAGCCCUGUUGUCAAGAUGUCAGCAGUCUGUUCUGAGGACGUAAUAUGUUGAACAUCAUGUUGCUUAGCUUCCACUUUUUCUCUUACAAAAUAAAGAUCAAGUUUUAUGUACUUUGCCUUUGAAUGCAAUACUAGAUUAGCUGAAAGGUAAGCUGUGCUAAAGUUAUCACACCAUACAGUAGGUACUUUAGAUAUUUGAAUAUGUAACUCUAUCAACACGACAACAUAUCAGCAGUAGCAUUAACCAAGCUUUCGAAUUAGACUUUGAAAUGGCCUGUUGUUUCUUUGAACUCCAGAUAAUGUCAUUGCCACCAAAAUAAAUGAAAAAGGUUGAAAUAGAUUUCCUAUAACCCCCAAUCUGCAGCUAAAAAAUCAUGAAGUUGAAUAGUAGAAGCUAUGUCUAGAAUAACCUGUGAUCGAAAGUUCCUAUCAAAUACCGUAGAAUUCUUUUGACUGCUUUCAAAUAUGUAACAGGUGAAUUUUGCAUGUUUAUCUGUCUUUUGAGUGUGGCAUAGUGAAGUGCAUUAUGAUUCUAUAUAAUAUGGGAUUGGGUAAAGGAUCUCCUAUCCUUCUGAACAAUUAAGUGCUGCUAUUGGUGGAGGAAAUGCCCUAAGCGUCAGCCAUCUUUGUUUUCCUUAAAAGAUGUUGAAUAUAUUGAGUUCGAAAAAGAUGCAAUCCCCCAUUUGUAGCCUUUUAACUUUUAUUCCAAAAGAUAGCUAAGAUCCCGAAGAUCGUUCAAUGCGAAUGGGUUGUUUAACAACGACAGCAACUCUGGUACUUCUGAGCUAUCACUGCCUUUGAUGACUAUGUCAUCAUCAUAAACUAAAAUUUUUUGUAUAUCUCACAAAAAAUGAUGGAUCAGCUUUGGAGUUGGUGAAAUGCAGCUGCAGCAGAUAUGUUUUAAGCCUCUCAAACCGGGUCCUUGGAGCCUGUUUCAAUCAUAGAUAGUUACUGCAGUAUAUUUUUGUUAACUAAUUUUGAGAAGUUGUUGCCUGGUAUCAACUAAUCCUAAUUUCAUUCUGCUCCAUAAUGUUUUGAAUUCAUACAUAACCUUGUCAGAUUUAGGAUCACUUUUGCUUGUGAACUUGAUAAUACAUAUUUGUUGCUGUAGGUGAAGGCUGAGAAAUAUUCAUCGGGAGGAUAUUGUGACGAUCAUGUUAACUCUCCAAGGACACCGUCAUACGAUCAAGAUGAAGCAGCAAAUUCUCUGGUAAACACAUUCUAUCCAAGUGGUGAUCUUAUUUUGGAAAGGUUGAUCUUGUAAUUUCCUAUUAAGAUCAUAGACUCAUAGAUGGAGAGCACAAUCGAGUUCAUAUUUGUUUCAAGAAUUAUUAACCGAAAUGGACAUGGGAACUUUGCAAGUCAUAUUUACUAUUCUCUCAAGCAUAAAACAAUAACAUCGUACUUAAAUAUCAGAAAAUCAUGUCGUAGAAAUGUUUGAAAGACACUCUUGGCACGUUUUCUCUGCUAAUAUUUAUAUGAUUUGUUCUUUUACCACCAACAGAACUCUCAGGGCUAAAGCAUUAACUGUCUCAUAUUUAUCAUGCACAUGUUCUUUUCUUAAUAUAAAUACAAAUUCAACCAAUUUUACUUCAACAUAUAUUAGCAAGGAUAUCUUAGUUUUGUAUAUUGAGCAGUUUGGUAACGAGUUUCAGCUCAUGAGAUUACACAACUCCAGGCAGUCCAGAUGACAUGUUUCUCAAAGAUUUAAAUCCCUGCCUAACGCCUAAUUAUGCCAAGACAAAGUCUAAGGUACCUAUAUUCAAACUUAAACCAAAUCUCUUUGCAUUUCCUUCACUAUCUAAAUCUUGAUUUUGAAUUCAGAAAUCUUAUAUUAGCUUAUACGAAUGGAUAAUAUUACAAUAUCUUAUACGAGUACUCCUUGUAGGAAUUUGAUGCAUAUAAUUCCCCAGAUGAGGUGUUCAAGUCCAAUACGCAAAAUUGCAAUGGAUUUAACACAUGUACCAGGAAGCUUUCUAAAAGUUCGGACCGUAGCCAAUGCUCAAAGACAGGAAGUGGUUCCAUUCGUGUAGCUUGGAGGUCAGAUGAAAGCAAAUGCAACUACAGAAAGCCAAUGAAUAAUAAACUUAUCUAAUACUCAGGAACUUCGAAAUUUUUCUUGAGCAUUUUUACUUUGUUCCAGCAUCCUACUCUCCGUUGCAAAAAUUUGAACCUUUGUAUGGUCAGAAUAUUCAGUUUUCUUGUCUUGUGUUAGAUAUACUGGCUAAAUUGCCCAUUUAAUCAUUUUAACCCAUUUAAUGUGUUUUUUCUAAUAUUAAUAUAAUAAAAUUCAGUUUUGCUAUGUGUAAAGAAAAAGUGCCGCCAGAAUUGUUACAAAACACAUUUAGCAGUUUUUUAUUGGACAAUGACAAAAAAAAAAUAAUAAUAAUAAUAAAUAAAAAAUGAAAAACAGACCAAACAGAGAUGCUGGCAGUAAUUCCUUUGUACAAGGGGAAUUGCUGAAUAAAAUUUUAAACACAACUGGACAAUACACAAAUAAGAUUUUAACAGUUUUUUUCCCUAAACUGGAAAGAAUGAAACCUAUUGUAGAAAUGAACAGAAGGGGGAUUCAUUAGAAACGGUGCUGUUCAUAAUUCAUAAUCUGUAUAAUUGUUAAAAUCCCCAAAACAAACGAAGAAAAGUGCCAACAAGAAAUAACUUCCAAGCAUUGAAACAGAUCCAUUUUCUCAGCUCAUUCAUCCGUUAAUCGCCGUCCUGACAACCUGAUAAAUAACUGCAAAAGUAGAAAAAAUAUAACGUCUGCCGACAAUUGAAUAAUUAUAUUAUUCCCAGUUAAUAGUAUUCAAUUAAGCACAGAGAAGAAAAAAAAAAAAACCUUACAUGACAAUAGUAUCAGAACUGCAAAGAGGACAAGAACCAUGAGUACAGGUUCCCAUUCUUCUUUCUUAGAUGAUUGAGGAGCCAGUCCUCUCCUUGUGAUAUUCUUUUCAAAUUUCGCUGUUUUCUUUUCUGCCAGACUUUUCGAAGUAGUCUGCAAAUCUUUCUUAUCAUCAAGAUUUAAUGGAGUUGGAAAACAAACUUGUAUAAACUGCCCCUUGACAUGGGGACGCUAGAGAAUUUUCAUGAUUAUCCUUAAUCUCAAAUAAAGCCUAUUGGAGAUGCUCUUACUGUCUUACAUAGCAAAAUAAAUAAAUAAGGAAAAGAAAAUUCAGAAUCAGAUCCCCAGGAAACUGCUAUUAAUCUUUAUCUUUUCAUCCCAGGAAAUUCCAAUUGCGUCCAAGCUGUAUAUUUCUUGAAAUAAUAAUUUCAUAUUUAAUGCAAAAACAAGAGCAUCAACCAAAAAUGGAAUAUGUGGAAAUGUAAAAAUAAAAUUAUAUUCCUUAUUCUCUGUAUCAUAAAUUGCGGCUUAAAAGAAAGGAAGAAGAAACUGAAGGUACUCUAAAUUUCGCUUCAGAACUAUCACCGCUCAGUCAUCUAUAUUCAGACAAAUUCAUAUAUCACGUUCUAUGGAUAUGAAAGAAAUGAAGACAUCUACGGAAUCGAUUCUCGUAUAUUAGACUAUUUAGCUUAGCUGGCAAUAGCUGGCAAUUGAUUGUAGUACCGUUAGUUAGUUAGAUGAAGUUAGUUAGUUAAAGUUAGUUAGUUAACUGCAGUUUAGUGAGCUGGGAUAUUCUGUUUGAUGCUGGCAUAUUCUGUUAAUGAACCAAGCUGUAUUUAUAUCUGGAUGUACGACAUUUUUAGAUGAAUGAAUCAUUUCUUUCAUUUCAUAGCUUUCUUCUUCAAUAUGGUAUCAGAGCAUUUCCUUUUUCUCUGAGAAAUCCUAUUUGAUUUGAAGUUUCAUUCAUGGCUUUGAAUGUACCGAACUCAACAUCAAAUAAUCCUUCAUCGUCAGUCAGUAAUUUAGUUACUGAUGAUGGAACCAGCCCGUAUUUUCUACAUCAUUCGGAUAGUCCAGGUCUUGUCCUCGUUUCACAGCAGUUGGUUGGGGACAACUAUGCAUCCUGGAGCCGAUCGAUGAUGAUAGCACUCUCAGUGAAAAACAAAUUAGGAUUCAUUAAUGGAUCUAUUCCUCGGCCUGAAAAUGACCAGGAAUUACUCAAUUCAUGGAUCCGAAAUAACAACAUUGUCAUUUCCUGGAUUCUCAAUUCUGUAUCCAAGGAAAUCUCUGCAAGUGUCAUAUAUUCCGAAUCUGCAUAUGAGAUUUGGAAGGAUCUAAAGGAGCGAUUUCAACAAAAGAACGGGCCACGCAUAUUCCAGUUGAGGCGAGACCUGAUGAAUCUCACACAAGGUCAGUUAUCUGUCAGUGCAUAUUUCACAAAAUUGAAGACAAUUUGGGAGGAACUCAGCAACUACCGACCUAUGUGUUCAUGUGGAAAAUGUGACUGUGGAGGUACUAAAAGACUUGCUGAACAUUAUCACACGGAAUACGUUAUGUCCUUCUUAAUGGGGUUGCAUGAGUCCUUUGCUCAAGUUCGGGGUCAAUUACUGCUGAUGGACCCUAUUCCUCCCAUUAACAAGGUCUUUGCCCUUGUUUCUCAAGAAGAACACCAGAGGAAAGUUAAUGAAGCUAUGAAUGCAUCUGGAUCUGACUCCAUGACCUUUCAAGUUCAAAGUAAUACUAGAAAGGAUGGUGGAUAUUAUUCCAACAGAAAUCAGAAGAAAGAGAAACCUGUGUGUACCUACUGUGGAUACACAGGCCAUGCAGUUAACAAGUGCUACAAACUGCAUGGUUAUCCCCCGGGUUAUAAACCUAAGCAAAGACCUGUAAUGAACAGCCAAGCUGGAUCAAAUAAUCAUGCUGUUGCCAAUCAAGUUUCUGAACAUCAGGUCACUGAUCUUGCCGUGGAUCAAUCACAAGGAAAUGUUGAAGGAUUUGUGAAAGACUUGAUGCUGAUCAAUACCAGCACCUGAUUAAUAUACUAAAUAGUCACCUCAAGGCUGCAAAGAUAGAUACAGAGAUGAACGUUAUCUCUGGAAAUGAAUCAGGUACCUGUUUCUCGAUUUCUGUUAAUCCAUCAAUUACUUCGCCUAAGUACUGGAUAGUGGACUCGGGUGCCACAAGCCACAUUUGUUUUAACCAUUCGGCUUUUCACACUAUGAAUCACAUUGAGAAUACAUAUGUUACAUUACCAAACCACACCAAGAUCCCAGUGCAUUCAAUUGGGACUGUGCAUUUGUCACCGGAAUUGGUACUGAAUGAUGUAUUAUUUGUCCCGCGAUUCAAGUUCAAUCUGCUAUCAGUAAGCUCCUUAACCAGAAAAUCAUCAUUGUGUAUCAAAUUUCUCACUGAUUCAUGUAUCAUUCAGGAUCUGCAAACUAUGAAGAUGACUGGCAAGGGUGAGAGGAAUGCAGGCCUUUAUGUGAUGGAAGUUGAUUCUGGUUCAUUUCAUCAUCCCAAAAGUGUUAAUUCCCCUUGUUUUUCAAUAGUUAAUAAUGUGACUGAUAAGCUUUGGCACAAUAGGCUUGGUCACUUAUCAUAUCAGAAACUGAAUUUGUUGAAGGACCAAUUACGGUUUGAUUGUAAUAGACAAAAUGGUGACAUUGUAUCUCCUUGCCCCAUCUGCCCUUUAGCUAAGCAAAGGAGGUUAUCUUUUGUUUCAAAUAAUCGUUUAUCUGCUGCUGCUUUUGACUUGGUACACUGUGAUAUUUGGGGGCCAUAUCACACCCCAACACAUGGUGGUCAUAGAUAUUUUCUCACCUUGGUAGAUGAUUGCACAAGGUUUACUUGGAUAUAUCUUAUGAAACAGAAAUCUGAUGCUAAUUCUGUCAUUCCCAAAUUUUUCACUCUUAUUGAGACUCAAUUUCACAAGACAAUCCAGAAAUUCAGAUCAGAUAAUGCUCGGGAAUUAAAAUUCACAGACUAUUUUAACGCAAAGGGAGUCAUUCAUCAGUUUGCAUGUGUAGAAAGACCUGAGCAAAAUUCUGUAGUGGAAAGGAAGCACCAACAUCUCCUUAACGUGGCUCGGGCUUUAUUUUUUCAAUCACGAGUUCCCAUUCAAUUUUGGGGAGAUUGUGUGCUAACAGCUACAUUUUUAAUUAACAGAACCCCUUCCCCAAUCUUGAAAAACAACACUCCAUUUUCACUAUUAUAUGGCAAAGCAAUAGAUUACAGUUUUCUAAAGGUCUUUGGUAGUCUUUGUUUUGCCUCAACACUACCAUCCCAUAGACAUAAGUUCCAUCCCCGAGCCACAGCAUGUGUAUUCAUAGGCUAUCCUCCGGGCAUUAAAGGCUAUAAAUUGUAUGAUAUCUCAUCAAAAUCUUUUUUUGUCUCUAGAGAUGUUGUAUUUCAUGAAAACCACUUUCCUUUCCAUUCCAUACCUCACACAAAUGAUCUUAUUGAUCCAUUUCCUGAUAUUGUUUUGCCACACAUUACUUCUGACUCAAUACCCUAUCACUCAAAUCCAUCCACAACAUCCAAUCUACCCUUGGUUGAUAAUGAUAAUGGCCAAGACUCCUCUGAUGAUGAUAAUGGCCAGGACUCCUCUGACCUGCCCAUCAUUCCUUCUACAUCUUUAACCUCAAUUCCAGAUUCCAUUGAGGAACGAGUACUAGAUUCUACUCAACCUUCAUCCUCUCUCCGUAGAAGAUCAACUAGAAUCAGCAAAAUUAUAUUAUUCCCAGUUAAUAGUAUUCAAUUAAGCACAGAGAAAAAAAAAAAAAAAACCUUACAUGACAAUAGUAUCAGAACUGCAAAGAGGACAAGAACCAUGAGUGCAGGUUCCCAUUCUUCUUUCUUAGAUGAUUGAGGAGCCAGUCCUCUCCUUGUGAUAUUCUUUUCAAAUUUCGCUGUUUUCUUUUCUGCCAGACGUUUCGAAGUAGUCUGCAAAUCUUUCUUACCAUCAAGAUUUAAUGGAGUUGGAAAACAAACUUGUAUAAACUGCCCCUUGACAUGUGGACGCUAGAGAAUUUUCAUGAUUAUCCUUAAUCUCAAAUAAAGCCUAUUGGAGAUGCUCUUACUGUCUUACAUAACAAAAUAAAUAAAUAAAGAAAGAAAGAAAAAAAGGAAAAGAAAAUCAGAAUCAGAUCCCCAGGAAACUGCUAUUAAUCUUUAUCUUUUCAUCCCCAGGAAAUUCCAGUUGCGUCCAAGCUGUAUAUUUCUUGAAACAAUAAUUUUAUAUUUAAUGCAAAAACAAGAGCUGAAGAGCAUCAACCAAAAAUGGAAUAUGUGGAAAUGCAAAAAUAAAAUUAUAUUCCUUAUUCUCUGUAUCAUAAAUUGCGGCUUAAAAGAAAGGAAGAAGAAACUGAAGGUACUCUAAAUUACGCUUCAGAAAUAUCACCGCUCAGUCAUCUAUAUUCAGACAAAUUCAUAUAUCACGUUCUAUGGAUAUGAAAGAAAUGAAGACAUCUACGGAAUCGAUUCUCGUACAAAGUGAACAAGUAAAAACUAAAUUUUUGUUUUAAAAAAAAAAAAAUUCCAGAUGCAUUAGCGCAUGCAAAAGGAAAGUUAUCGGGAUAGAAAAAUCUACGGUGAAGCCCAAGUUACCAAAAGAUCAAUGGGGAGGGAGGGAGGGGGAGAGAGAGAGAGAGAGAGAGAAGCCUCUACCAUGAUCUUUCCGCUUGGAGACUGGUAAUGCUACCCGAGAGAGAAGAAGGAGAUGAGACAGAGAAUGCGAGUCUGAAAGACCUUUUGGUAACAGCACGGAAACCUAGGACUUUUGACACAACUUAUUCAGUUAUCCCAUCGUGCGAUGCUUUGUUUAUUUCAAGUGCGUAUUCAAUUGAGUGACUUUUUAGAUUUAAAAAGGUAUUCAAUAUAAAUUUUUUUAGAUUCUUUAAAAGUAUUGAUGUAUUUAAUUAAAAUUUUUAUAAAUUUUUAGUAAGUCUCUAAAAUUUACGGUAUAUUCAAUUGAGAUUUUUAUAAACUUUUAAAAAGUCUCUAAAAAUUACGGUGUAUUUAAUUAAAAUUUUAUUAAAGUCUCUAUAAAUUUUGAGUAUUCAAAUUUUAAUAAUUUCUAAAAUUUCUAGAGUACUAAAUUUUAAGCAAAAAGUACUCUAUAAGAUCUCAAAAUUUGUCAAUCAUUAAUCAAGAAAUUUUGGGAAAAUUUUACUAAAAUUUGAUUUUUUUUUUCAAUCUUUCUUUCAUUUUCCUUCUAUGAUUAAAAUUUAUUUAUUUUUAUUGAUUAUAUUUACAAUUUAUUUCUCUCUCUUAUUGUUUAUCUCUAUUUUCUAUGAAAAAAUUAAAUUGAAUUUUUGUAAUUUUUUUUCUUUUUUUUCAUUCAUUUUUUUGUGAAAAAAUAACUAUUUUUUAUUAAAUGAUUAAAUUUUAUAUGAAAAAUUUAUAAUUAGAUUUAACUAUAUUGAUUUUUAUUUAUUUUUAAAAAUAUAUUAUAUUAAUAAUAUUGAAUAUUAAAUUUAUUGUUUAUCAUAUAUAUGAAUAAUUUUGAUUAUUAUUUAUUUAUUUAAUGUCUUAAAUUUUUAUUCUUUUAUUAUUAUUUUUUUAUUUAUAUGGGAAGAAAAGGGGGCAAAAUGAGGAAUUGUGGAAACCAACACUUCGUAUGUGAGAAUUUCACACCAUUAUACUAAAUCCACUGAAUUCUAUUUCAAAUGAAAAUUUUCAAAAGUUUUUUGAAUUAUAUAAAAGUUUAUAAAUAUUUUAAAAUGAAAGUUCAUAGAAGUUUACGAAAAACUUCUACUAAUUCCAUACAAAUCUAUAUAAAAAGAAAAUCCAUUAAAGUCUUUAAAAGUCAAUCAAAGUUUUCAAAAGUUUCAAUUGAAUACACUUAAUUUUAAAAAUAAAAAUAAAAAUAAAUCGAUUCGUGGCUGGUUCGACUCAGCUCACUAAUUGAAGAAUUGAGCCGAGCUCAAAUCGUUCAUAGGGUCAGUCAAAGCUUGGACAUCUACGCUGACUUAGCUCAUUAUCACCUCCAAGUCGACAUAAUUCACCCUUUGUUUUCAUUUUGGAGAGAAUAACCAAAAUGUGCGUUGUAAACGCUUUUGAGCUCUCACAUUGGCGAGUCUAUGAUUUCCUUGGAGUUCUGUAUUGCGAAGUCAUGAGAAGGAAAAUCAUGCUGCUUGGAGAGAAUGUCUUUUGUCACAAAAAAUAUUUUGAUUAUUUUUUAAAUAUUUUUUUGAAGGAAAUAAUCGCAAGAGGUACCAAGCCUUCUCAAAGUUGUAUCAAUCAGUUAGAUACAAAAUCAUCAAUAAAUAGAUCCAAAAGUAAACAAACAAGGCAUUCGAUAAUAUAAUUGAAUCCAAUAAACUAGAGGAAAUACAAUGUUGAUUUUACUACCAUUUUGUAGUAAAUAAAUUUUUUUUUAACUUGUCACGUGAAGAAAAGCUCUUGUGUAUGUGGGAAUUGAAUACGAGAUAAUUCAUAAUUUAGUAUCUUAAAUCUUUUUUAUAACCAAGAGCGGAGCUAGGGAAAAAUGUUGGGGUGGACUGAAAAAUAAAAAUAAAAAAUCAAUGAAUUCACGCCAUGAAAGAUUCUACAUGCCCCCCAAACAUAGUUGAAAAGGCUCAACUUAUUACACUAAUGACAAAGUGAGUUAGAUACUCAAAUAAGUUUAAACAUAUCAAUCCUAAAGAUGUUUUACUAAAUCUUCAUCGCUUUUCUUGCCAAAUAAAAAAUCUUGACACCUCCCUAUAAAAUAUAAAAUGUCGAAAACAUGGUAGCCAUGAACAAAUAAUGUAUACCUAGAGGCGGAGGCCCGUAUAAUUUUUUUAAGUAAAGAUUUUAGAAUUGUAGUCCAAAUGUUUGCAUUAGCCCAGCUCUAAUUUAAAUCUUAACCAAAGUCCAAUGCUCAAUUAUUCAAAUUGUAAUAAAGACACUACAAUUAUUAAUUACUCUUUUCAAGACAUUCAUGAAAUGUGGAUAUUUUAUUGUCAAAUUAGAUAUUCUAUUUAAUGCAUGUUUGACUAAAAUUUAUUUAUAAUUAUUAAGUAAAUUUUAUUAUAGAUAAUUUGUAUUGAUUAGAUCUAAAAGUAAAUUACUUAUUCUAAUAGUUAGAGACACUAUGUAUUUUUCUAAAUUACGUACGUUUUCAUUCAUUACUAAUUCGAAUUUGUAAAAAAAAAUACUUAUUUUGACCAUAAAGUAUAUAUUAUGAUCAAAAAACAACUUACUAUAAAUUUGAUAUUGAAAAUAAAAAGAAUAUGUGUUAAACAACUUAUUUAUUUAUAUAAGUAAUCUAUAUCAACAAUGUAAAUAACUUUUUUUAAAACUUUCAGUUGUUUGGAAAGACUGGUUGUCAAAGUUAUUAGAAAAGUACUCACUAAUUUAUUUUUUUAAAUGUUCAUUGGUGAAUAUGUAUAUUUUCUUAAUUCUAUCAUGAUUCGGUUAAUUUAUAUUUCUUAAGGUAGGCAUUGAUUUUCUAUUUGGUAAAAAAAAAUACAAAAAUUUAGUGGAAUAUUUUAAUUCGAGACAUCUAAACUUUAUUAUUUUAUUAAAUGUCAUAUACUUUCUAUCAUGAAUGUCACGAAAAUAACCUCCGAAACUCAAUUUCUUGUGGCGUAAGUUCAUUUAAAAAAUUUUAAAUUUCAGCCCAUCCUAACAUCAUUUUCUAGCUCCACUCUUGUGUAUACGCACCAAAAAAAUUAAGAAAAACCUAUUUUCACUACUAUGAGACAUAGGGUCUAAAAAGAACAAGAAGUCAUCCAGUUAUUAAAGGUUUUUAGUCAAAAUACACCGUUUUGAAAAUAUUAUCUAAUAUGGACAUUAGUCUUCUAUAUAUUUUAAUUCCAAAUGAAGUGGGAAAAAUUGGCCAAGAAUAUUGAGAGUUAAAAAUUGGAUUUAUUUCACUUCAUAAUUUUAAUAAUGUUAAGUUAUAAAUAAAUAAAAUUUUAAGACAUAUUUUUCUAAUAAAAUUAAAUAUAGAGCAAGUUACCCAUUUUAAUAAUAACAUCUAUUUAUGGUCAAUAAGUAUUUUUUAACUUAUAAGUAUAAUUAAUAAAUGAAAAAAAAUUUAAAUUUUAAUUACUUUUAAGAUAAUAAUAAUUAUUAUUAUUAUUAUUAUUAUUAUGUCCCUCACCAUAUUUUACACGUAUGGUCAAUUUCAUUAGAUAAUUUUCUUGCUCAUAAGCCUACUAACAUGGAAAUGCUUUCUGAUGUGAAGAGGUUAAAAUAUCAAUUAAUCCAAUUCUGUCAUCUCAUUUGGGUUUUAUUUCUUUAUACUACUGCAGCAAAAAUAAAGUUGUUUUUGGCCUUUUACCUACAAUCUUAAAUUUUAAAAGUUUUACUAUUUUGAGCAAUAAAUUUAGAAGUGGGCUAAUUCUAAAAUUUGGUCUAUUUAAGAAAUUAGGCUGGAAGUGGUCAAAUACUCAAAUAUUAGAGAAAGUGAAUAGUGGGUUAAUUCUAAAUUUGGGCCUAAAUAUAACUUUUUAAGAAAAACGUUACAAAGCAAAAUAGGAAAUGGCCCAAUCCGCCCCUGGUUAUAACUUUAAUAAAACGUUGCUAUAUUGACUAUUGAGGCAUUAGACUCGAUUAUUCUUAUAUGGAGUUCGUAUUUGGAGGCAAAGAUAGGUUGGUUUAUGCAGUUGGGGGGCCAUUGUCACAAUGCUAUUUAUUGAUUAACGUUUAUUUUUGUCUGUUUAUGUGGUAAUAGAAUCCUUGUCAAAAUUUAUUGAUUAAUAAUAUUUAUCACUAUUGGUAUUGUUUACCCACCCCUCAGUCACUACGAACACCCAUAAUCAGUGCAAUGAGAUGUGUCUAUUUAUCCAUCUCUUCACUCGAAAUGGGAGCAGGUCGUACGGGCCAAUCCGCCCCUGGUUAUAACUUUAAUAAAACGUUGCUAUAUUGACUAUUGAGGCAUUAGACUCGAUUAUUCUUAUAUGGAGUUCGUAUUUGGAGGCAAAGAUUGGUUGGUUUAUGCAGUUGGGGGGCCAUUGUCACAAUGCUAUUUAUUGAUUAACGUUUAUUUUUGUCUGUUUAUGUGGUAAUAGAAUCCUUGUCAAAAUUUAUUGAUUAAUAAUAUUUAUCACUAUUGGUAUUGUUUACCCACCCCUCAGUCACUACGAACACCCAUAAUCAGUGCAAUGGAAUGUGUCUAUUUAUCCAUCUCUUGACUCGAAAUGGGAGCAGGUCGUAAACUCCAUCUCAUUGCCUAACAGACUUGUGGUCAUAUAUAGCCUUGUUCCAGUUUAUUUCAUAUAUUGAAUUAUGUUGCUUUUCAAGUAGGAUUAAUCCAUCUCACAAUAAAACUCUAUCGAAAUCUUGUUAAGAGCACUACAGUAUGCAACACAUUUUAAUUGCAAUAAAGGUCUUAAACAUCUACAAUUAAUAUUGAUGAUUGGUGGGUCCGACGCCUAUUUGGCUUCUUUUAUUGACAUAGAUCAUGUCUUGAAUCCACUAAAGUUACAUAAGGCAAGGCGUAUCAAGAUAUCUUUCACUUCGUGAUUGCAAAGCUAAUGUAAUUUCCAUCAAAACCUCGGGAGUAUGUAAUACGUUGAUCAACUCGUGAAAAUUUAAGUCAUUGGAUUGGACUUAAUUUUCAUAAUACAUUAUUGCUAGACUUAAUCCCAGAGCUUCUUAUCACAGAUAUCACCUUGAAUCACUAGUUCUUGUUUAUAUUACGACCAAAACCAGUAGUAUCUUUCACAUACGUUUCAAGGGUUAUGUCUUAAAAGACAAUGCAAGAACCAUAAUUGAACUAGUACUGUGUCUGUGUAUACACAUAUGAAUGCCUGUGUAUGAUCUUAGUCUACCAGCUUGCAUCGCUCUUCCCUUGGUUUCCUCCGUACAAACGGAAGAGACUGAAAGCAGAAAUGGCAGAGAGAAGCACCAUAACAAGGCUUGCAAUGACAGCACUGGCAAUGCCUUCCCCAAUUUGAUUACAGAAUUUCCCAUACCAGUUGCAAACCUUUAUCCACUGCAGUUCACUCUGCCCCAUCUAGGAAAAUACAGCAGAUUGAGCAGCUGCUGCAACCGCAGACAAAGUCAAGUACGCCAUUAUCCGCACAAGUACGUUAAUUUCAGAUGUUAGGAAACGAGCAAGAAUAAAACUGGACGUCCAGGCCCCUGGACGUCCAGGCCCCUGGACGUCCAGGCGCCUAUUUGGCGCCCCCUAUUGGGGGGUCGUCUGACAGUGACAGGCGACCCCCAGUACAAACGGAAGAGACUGAAAGCAGAAAUGGCAGAGAGAAGCACCAUACCAAGGCUUGCAAUGACAGCACUGGCAAUGCCUUCCCCAAUUUGAUUACAGAAUUUCCCAUACCAGUUGCAAACCUUUAUCCACUGCAGUUCACUCUGCCCCAUCUUGGAAAAUACAGCAGAUCGAGCAGCUGCUGCAACCGCAGACAAAGUCAAGUAUGCCAUUAUCUGCACAAGUACGUUAAUUUCAGAUGUUAGGAAACGAGCAAUAUACAUAGAGGUUUAUAGUGGUUUACUCUUAACGUCGCAUCUCUUUUGCACCCAAAGAAAUAGUCUCCUAAAAAUUAUAAUACAUAUAUGGCAUAGUCAAUCUACUGCAAUAAUAUUUGUGACUCGCAAUGAAAAGGAUAAUUGAACAAUAAGAUAAGGCUCCACUUAAUCCGUGAAAUGGACCACUCAUUGUAAAUACAGAGAAGGAUUGAACUGUAAACUUUCCCCCAUCUCAGUACUCUGCCUAAAUUGUAUGGCCCCUUGAAGUUUAGAGAAGGAUUGAACACAUUUAAUGCAGGAUGAUAUGCUUCAUUCAAAUUACUCGUAAACUUUGGCACUAAAAUUAUCUAAUUUUCCAGUUGCCAAUCCCCUAUUCCAAAUAGGAAGACAUCUGAAAGAAAUCACCUUUUUGUGUCUAUUACAUAAAAAUCAGUUUUCUUGGAGUGUGUGGAUCUUAAAUGAAUCUGUCUGUUUGCUUAUUAUUACUCUGGAACAGGGCUUGAUCUUAAAUUAUAAGUAUCAACAUGCCCUAUGGUUAUGAAGUCAAAGACUCGUGACAGAUACAGACAGACUGAAGAAAUUAAGCUGUAGAAGAGUGAUAUUUGGUACCUGAUCUCCAGAGAAAAUGACCCAAGCCAAGGGCUUGUUAAAGAGCACACUUCCUCUAAUCAUACUCAAAACACACCUCAAAACUUGGAUCACGGAAUAGGCAGCAGCUAACCCACUGGCUAUUACCAAGAAUCUGUACACUCAAACAUAGGGAAAUCAUAAUUUAAUUAACAACCCAUUUUUGGAUCAGGGCUUAAUCUAUAAUGAGAGAGAGAGAGAUCUAGAUCUUACACAAGGGCUUUCAUGUCUGUAAAUUUAGCCUUCUUUUGUAUAGUAAAGAUCACUUUAACCUGAGAGUCGGUUCCAAUAAGAACAGCAGCAAGAAUGGCUAGACCACAUACCAAACACCUUAAACUCAGCUCUGCAACCCUAACUCUCCUAUCAAUUACCUUCAAAUUACUUCCAUGAACAUUAUUAAUACUAGUUCCAACACCAAGAUAACUCAUAUUUACUCCUAUUACCGAAGUAGGAAGAGAACCCACAAAAUAUAUAAGCACAAGGUUCACCUACCUACCACAUUCCACCACUUAUGAACACCUAAUCAGUAUACUUUUUUCUUCUGUCGAGUAUUUUUUUUUUUUUUAAUGGAAUGGGAGAGAGGACGAAUGUUCAAUCUUAUCGUUUGAGGAAUAGUGGAAAUUAUGAACCAUAUUUUCCUACAUAGUGAAAGAGUUGGUGUGGAUGAAUGUUUGACAAUUGCACAAGAGUAGAGUUGGUAAAAUGAUUGAAGUGAACACAUUUGGAACGCGAUUUUGUGCUCUGGUGGGCCAUUGCGGGUACACGUUUACACCUUUGUAAUAAUAAUCCUCUCCUAAAAUAAUUUCUUAUGCAAACUAAUCUCUCAACCAUAUGGUAUAGAUUCAAAAUUUGAUGAUAAUAAAGUGUAAUUUAUUGUUAGAUCAUUACCUAACCAUGAUAUUUACUUCAUGUUUGACAAAGUUUUUUUGACAUUAUAAGUUGAUAUUUUCAUAAAAUGUGAGAUUAAAAAAUGAAUAAAAAUUGUGGAUUCAAUCAAAUAUGAAAUUAAAAAUAAAGUUUGAAUUUGAAUAACUUAGAAUCUUAGAAGAACUUUGCCAAACAUGGACUAAAUCAAAUACUUCUCUCCAAAAAUGUAAAAUACAAAAAUAUAAAUUUGAGCACUUACAAAAAGGAUAAAUUUCCAAUAUUAUUUUUUUGCUCGGAGACAAAAAAUUAUGUGAUAUCAAUUAAUGAUAUCAGAACACCUAGACCAGUUCUUAGCGCCAAAGCUCUAAAAAUUUUCACAUUGUUAACAAUGAACUACAUCUUAAGAAUUCUGAAGCUGAUAUCACAUAAAAUGAUUCUAUUAUUGGUAUUUCUGCUUAGUUACGUUCAAGAUUUAGGGCGCAAAUGGCUUGAAAUCCUGCCUGGUUUUUAUCAGCAAUUUUUUUAAUAGUGGGAAAAUAAUAUUUAACAACUAACAUUCGACUGAGCUUAUACUCAGAAUUCAUGAUAUAUUAAUCGGGAAUUUAGUAUGAGAGUUUUGCUAAUGCUUUUACAUAAAAAUCAAAACAUUCUUGGGACAAGACAAGAAGCCCCGCCCGGUUCAAGAAUUGGUGAUCAGGGAAGAUACUCAAACUUGCACGAACCAUGACCUGUCAGUAUGGAAAAAAAAAAAUUAUAUAAAAUGUUGCUUAUGAACAUCUAUCACAUGAAAAAAUACCAAGCACAUGGGAUUCACCAUAUUUUCAAGAAAACGAAGAUCUAGAUUUCGGAAAGUUUAGGCUUCUUUGUUGGCAAGUUCAUAUCAAGACAUUUUUUUUACAUGUAAAGUCUCAACAUUUAAAAGUUCUGAGUUCAAGUUUCUCCACUGUACCUAAAAAAUUAUAUACUUGCCAACCGCACACAUGAGGAGCAUAGUGAAAACAACUUAAAUAACUAAACUCUAACCUCUUGAGCUUAUUGAAGAAGUUGUCCUACAUGUGGACGAGAAUAUUUGUUUGCUUACUUGGAUUUUCAGCGGUUAAAAUUGCAGCAGAAUUGAAGUAGCAACUUCCUCCUUUAUGCUUGAACUUCUGAUAGUAGCUAUUGAAUGCAUAAGAAGCAUGAUCCUUUACUGUAUUUGGAAUAUGGCAAGCUUGGUUUGCCUGUAUCUUACUGCACUCUGCACCAUUGCUACAGGCCCAACCAAGAGCCCUCUGCAGUUCAUCAUCUGGUGUUUGCUCAUCUGCUAUGCACCAGUCCGCGAACUGUCCCUCUAACAUCAACCAAAAAAAAAACGUAAAGCGAAGUUAGAUGACGUGUAAAUGAAAAUCCAGGCACUCAUUCCGAUGCAGCCAACGAGAAGUUAAAUUUCAGCACGACAGAAUUCCGACACAACCCAGGGUAAUUAAUUCCUACGACAACAGAGCAAAUUAUAAAUCUAGCAAGGACGCGUAAUGUACAGAUCUAGAUAUGUGCUUCGCAAGUAACACAGUUCAAUGUUUACCAGAAUUCCACGAUAAAGAUAAGAAGAAGAUCAAAGCUAAUAGAAUCUUCAUCACGGCUGACGGCAUCGACCUGAACUUGUAUCAACUCGUAGACUUUAGAAGGAUGACACCAAGAAGUUCCUGGAUUUUUACAGAGUCUUUGCACACAGCAAGAAAUAUAUAAACCUUCUCCAGAUCCAAGAACAACAGCUUCAGAUGUAAUCCACUUGUAAUACCAGUAAUAUCCUUUCUUUACAAAGUGAAUACUGUUCACCAAAAAGAUUAGUAGCAAUAGGAACAAAAUGAAAUUUAAUAAUGAAGAAAUAUAUAUAUAUCAGGUCGGACGGAAAAUUUUGUUUGUACAUAAUUAUUGCAUAUAAUAGUGUCUAUAAUGUGAUGUGGCAAUCAUCCGAUUAUUAACGUGCGUGUGUGAGAUUUGAAUUAAAGGUUGGAUCCAGUGCUACAUAUAAUUAUAAACAUCAUUAUAUAAACAAUUAUAUACAUAUAACACUUUCCCAGGUUGGACUUGUUAUAAAAUUCGACGAGAUACACUAUAAAGAGGGGAAAAAGAAAAGAUAAAUCUGCGUGGAUAUUUUAAUUUCUGCUUUUUUAACUGGUAAACUUGUCAGGGCAGAUGAGUCAAUACAUAUAAAGAUGGAUAGCCUAUGAUAUGAUUUGCUGUCAACAGAGAGCAUCAAGAUUUUCCUCCUCCUGAAGGAAUCAUAAAAGGGUAACAAGAUUCUUCUGUUUCGCUUUUCCAAAUUGAUUUUGCACUUUUGUUUCUCUACAAGAUCUGAAGAGAUUUUAUUUUAAUCCCGUUUUAGAUCUAGUAAUUAAUGUGAAUGAAAAGAUUCUCUGGUUAAUGACCCACAAAUUAUCCUUUUUACUGUAUAAGUCAACUUUCUAUAUCAUGUGAUGUCUGGUUUAGGCUCGGUACUGCCCCAUCGGGAAAUUAAAAAAAAAAAAAAUUGCAAUCCACACCAAGACGAUCACAAAGUUUGCAUAGCUAUAACAGAUAAUAGAUCAUUGACACAAAGUAUCCUAAACGUAGUCUUCAAGUAACUUAAAUCAUUUAUAUCGUUCCACUUUUAAAAUUUGAGCAUUCAAAUCGAUUAUUCUUUGAGCUUUCUGUUUGAUUCUGUCCAUUUAUUUUGUUAAAUAAAUAGGUGGGGGCUUCGCAUAUGAUGUCAAAAAUACAAUCUUGCGCUUAAAAAAUUUAAAUAAACAAAGAAACGAUAUUAAAAAAGGCAAAAUAGAAAUAUAAAAACAAAACAAAGGAAACAAAAAUUAAAGAUAAAAUAUAAAUUAAAAAAAAAAUCUCUAUCUUCUCCAAACUCCGUUCCUGUCCAAAAGUGGUCAAGAAAACACUAAAAAAAUAAUAAGAAAUAAAUAAAUAAGAAAUCACAAUUGAAGUCGAAGAAAAAUUUCGCCAAAUGCUGAUGCAGAAACAAGAAACAGGGACCCAAAGAUAUAAACAAUGACAAUCAUGAGUAUAAGAUGAAAAUAAUUCUAUAUAUACAUUAUGGUGUUCAUAAGAGUAUUCAUAAUGUACACGUCGAAUUCCAUGAUUGGAGGGAUGAAAAAUUUAUUUUUCAACUCCCUAAUUAUAUUAUUCCACUUGUACAUUAUGAAUACCCUUAUGGACACCAUAAUGUACAUAAGAUAAACACUCGUAAAAAAUUCUAUCAACUUCUUGUUUGACAAAUAAACUAUGCAAAAAAUAGUUGGUGGCGAUUGUCAAUGCUCUUGAUAUGUUCAAUGCAGGAAAUUCCACCAAAGAGUGACUGCAUUCUGGAAGAUCUAAACCAUCCAUGUUCCCACAUAAUUCAUCUGUCAGCUUAUGAGUAAGUUAAUAAAUGUAGAUAUAGCUAAUUAAAAAAAAACCUUUAAAAAAUCAGCAAGUGAAGAAUGCAUCUCUUCAAAAAUUGUGUCCUAUGAAGAGGUUUCAACAAAUCCUAUUAAUAUUUGUCAUUUAGCAUCCAAUAAAGCUGAUUUCCUAACAAAAAUUAGGGCAAGAGAUAACAUGAUUAUGUCCAAAUAAAAAACACAAUUACGUACAUCAUGUGAGCAUGUGCAAAUACAGAAAUAUCUGCACACACACACACACACAUAGGAGCGUGCAGGUGUGAGGGGUGGUUUGACGAUGGGGCAAAGCAGAAAAUUUAAAGUUGCAAAAGCACAAGCGAUUCAAUUUCCUUUAGAAAUUAGAAUUAUUAUUCUUCUAUAGGUAAUUUCAUUCUAGAUUUAUUUAUCAUGGAUUUUAUACAAAUCACGUAAAACAAAGUGCAAGCAACUGGCAUGCAGCUCAAGUUCCAAAUAGACCAAUGCUUCGUUCUAACAUAGUGAUGUAUUACAUCAAAAGAGGUUACAAAAACAUCAACAAUGUAGUUCUUUGUGAGUGAGGCAUGAAUAGAAGGAUGUGAUUUUGGUAAAUCUCAUGGAAAAAGGGUGUCCUUCUACACUAUGAAUGGCCAAAACACCAGAAAAGUAGAGCCUCAGAUUUUAUAUCUUUACUCUUUGUGUCAAACAAUGGUGUAGAUAGGUGGAGGAGGGUUAAACAAUUUAUCAUUCCAAAUAUAUUAGGAUAUCAUGGUCCACUGGGGUGUUGGGAACCUGAAUCCUACGUCGAAAAUAUGGGCUUCCUUUGGUUUAUAAAGGCUUGGAUUCUCCAACCUCAACGGCCAGCUUUUGAAUCUGGCUCUUCCAUGCUCUAUUACAAUGUGCCCAAACCAAACUAAUUUUUCCAUCAUAGCAAGUCGUUGUUCAGUCAUUCAGUUCUAAAUGGCAAGAUGUUAGCUUCACUCUUCAGUUACUUGGAAUAGUUAAUGUACCUUAAGUUAUUACUUAUAACCCAUUUCUAAUCUCACCCAUUCUCCAUUUUUUAAUCUUUUUUGUUUUUUUGUUUUGUUUUUUUUGACAGAAUUCAGCAGUAUAGAUUCUUUAACAGAAAAGCAAACAUCGUAUGACGACAUUCCAAUAAAAUGAGACAUAAAUGGCUAAAACAAGAAAAGGCAAAAAAUAAAAACUUACCCACUUCUUGAAUUAAUUAAUACAACGUAUCCCUAAAUUUCUCUCUCUCUCAAGUCCGAGAUCAAAUGGAGAUCAAUGGAGGAUCAAACUAAUUUAACGGUUGUGGAUUUUGGGAAGACAAAGAUUAGCGCUAGGUUUCAAGAUUUGAUGAGAGAAGAGAAGACGUGGGGUUGGGGAAGAAAGAGGGGAGAGAAGAAGCCAGUAUUCACAUGAAUUGAGACAGAUGGCUUUAUGAAGAAAAACCGGCCAAAUUUGAUCCAGGCAUGUGGCGGAUUCACAUGUAUACACGCAUAUUUCUGUCCGAAUCCGAAAUUACAGUAGCCUGGAAUACAUUCAGCAUUCUGUAUGUAUUUUGUUGACCCCAAAAAAUGUUGUCAACAGAUGUCGGUCCCACUCGCGCACACGUGGGUGAAUGUCCAACACGCUAAGACACGGGGACGGUCUAAAAUGAGCGGUUCAAAGGGCGUGGGAGUAGCCCAGCGACGCGGGACGAAGACGUUUGAAAUUCGACGGGUUGUUCGUGAUUCGAUUGUACAAUAAUUACCAAUCGGUAUUCAUCUAUGUAUAUGUAAAUGUGUAUAAACUCGAUUUGUAUAUUACAAGUAAAUGAGAGAGAGUUGAAUAAAGUGUAGUUCUUUAUAUUAAUUCUUGCAUUGGUCUUUUGAUGUUAUACAAGGGAAGUAUUUAUAGUGAUACAUGUGAAAUGGGAGCCUUUGGAUGAGGUGGCACGUUGCCUCAUCUUUUUGAUUCAAACAUCUUAUCCUAGGAAGGGGGCUUGACUUACUAGCUUGCUGCGCAUUUAUUGCUUAUGCAGAGCCUCCAUACUAGUGACAAGAUUUGACCUUUAUGCUUAUGACAAACGUUCCAUCAAUCAUUCGAAUGAGAUCUUUGUACAGAUGAUUUCUUGGGAGAAGUGAACAUGGAGGAAACUCCCCUGUUCUUCGGAGGCUCCUGCAUCAGUUUCGGGGCUUCGGCCAUUUCACACAAUACUUCCGCUUGAGGGCUUCAGCUACCUUCAACUAGCUUUAGCAUCAUGACUUCGGUGAAAGGCGCCUCGACUAUUGGACUUCGGCUUGAAGGGCAUUGCCCAACUCGGCUGGAGUGCCACGUGGUUCGGCCUGAGUGGGCCAUUGGCCCAGGUGGAUUGACCAAGUGUGACAACAAGCAACAAUAGUCCCCCAAGUCCAAGUAUGAUCAUUUAUGUAAUGCGUGGACUUUAAUGAAGUAAAAAUUGAAAGAAUUUUUUGAACUCCAAAUAAUAGUCCCCGAAGUCCAAGUGUAUAUAUUUAUAUUAGAGUUGGAAUUAGAAAUGUGUUGAAAUUGAAGACGAAAAUGAGGUGGUUUGAGAAAUCGAACCUGCGAGGCUUGAUGGCUAAAUGUUGAAGUUGAAGCCGAGGUGGUUGGGAAAUCGAACUGCGAGGCUUGAUGGCUGAAUGUUGAAGUUGAAGCCGAGGUGGUUGGAAAACCGAACCUGCGAGGCUUGAUGGUUGAAUGUUGAAGUUAAAGCCGAGGUGGUUGGAAAAUCGAACCUACGAGGCUUGAUGGCUGAAUGUUGAAGUUGAAGUCGAGGUUCAAUGGUAAUGAUUAUACCUCGAUGGCUACGCCAAUGAUUUGAUAUUUUGUGCUUGUUUUCGAUGAAAAGACGGCAGACCCGUACGACUUCCAAGGCGCCUGCUGCCGUCGAAUUAAAAACACAAUUAUGAGGACAGCUGGAGGUUCUAGAAGCAGACGCUUGAAUCUGGGGACGGGGUGACUGGAAUGCACGCUUGAAUCUGAGGCGUAGGUUUGAAAAAUCGUUUGAAUUCAACGCCUCGAAUUUGUUCUUCAGUGAGGGUUCAGAUUGACUGAGAUUCGAUCUGACGGCUGGGGCUCAUCCUGGACCUCUAUAAAAGGUAAGAGAAUCCCAUUUUUUAGGACUUUUGAAACUUUGCAAUUUGAUUCUCUCUCAAAUUCCUGAAUCUUUUCGGCGUCAAGGCUGCUCGUUUUUUUAUUUUUCGGCUUAUCUCCGUUCGUGUAGUGUUCUUCCCUUAAGUAUCAUUCGCAGAAGAAUCUCUUUUUUGUUGCAUUAAUUUUGUGAGAUGGAGUCCACCUCGGGUAGGGAGUUGGUGACGGUUGCGUCGUUAGAUUAUGAGGUCAGUCAGAGGGGGGAUGCCGAGGCUGAUAGUUAUGCCAUGACCGAGGACCUAGUAGAUUAUACUGAAGAGUGGGGGGCAUCUAGGGUGCCCUCAAGUAUGACGUGGAAAAGGUUAGGAGAGAUACAGUGUCCCUCAUACCAUAGAAAUGCUAGUACCCAAGCCAAAUGAGCGAGCCUACUAUCCAAGGCCCAGAUGCGUGGCAGUCAGUGAAUACCUGUUUAAGGCAGGUAUGCGUCUUCCUCUGCACCCCUUCUUUAGGGCAGUGUUGAGGAACUUUAUGUUGUCGUCGACCCAGGUUCUGCCAAAUGGGUGGAGCCAGUUGGUCGGCUCGUACUUUUUGUGGAAAGAGGUGUCACUUGGGGAGGACAUGCCUCUUCAUAUAUUCAUGUCCCUUUUUCAGCCCAGGAUCAUAGGGAAAGAGUCCAGGGAGUGGUAUUACCUUACACCUUGGGGGGCUCACGCACCUUUGUGGUGGGACUGCCUUCCUCCAUUAAGGGAUGGAAGGAGUCCUGGUUCUGGGUACGGGGAAAAUGGCAGGCAGUGGAGGGGGACAAGGCCCUUUCUUGCACAGUGCUGACCCAGUACUACGAAGCUCGUGAGUCUCCCAGCCCCUGCUUGUACUUCUGAAUUGAACACUUAGAAAAUUUCUAACUGUUGGGGCUUCCAUUGCAGAUUGUAGUACGAGGUUCGAGCUCAGUACAGAAGAGUACGAGGUGAUAGAGGACAUCUACAAGAGGCCUCAGAAACUUCGUCAUUUUGACCAUCUGAUUGACAGGAGUCGCUAUUUCUUGGAUUUUGGACUGAUGGCAUCCAGAGGUAUGAGGCUCCCAUAGUUGUGAAUUUCCUUGUCAUUUUGAUUGGAUACUGAUGUGCCGACCUGACGUUCUUUUACAGAUAAAUUCAAGAGAAAUGAGUACCCGGCUCCAGACAUGGCUACAAUUCUGAAGGCCACCACCACCGUCAAGGCUAGGGCCUUGAAGCUGGGGUCUAGUGGGGCCAAGGAGGUCCGAGGCAAGGUGGAACGCCUUUCCAAGGACAGUACUCCAAAGGCUUUCGAAAAGGGAGCUUCUCAGAGGCAGGAGAGGCCAAAAGAGCCUCGUGGGAAAGAGAAGGUCCCAAAGGAGGCAAAGAGGAGGAAGCUGAUGCACGUUACUAGCUCGUCCGGGAAAUUUGGGACAUCAGUGUCCCAUGAGGCCAAAUCAACAGGCGAGCCAAAACUGCUCACAUCUGCCUCCAAAGCCAUCAAGUUAGAAAUGGUCAGAGAGGCAGAGGCUGAGGCUGAGGAGGCCAAGGAGGAGGCUGCGAGGAGGGCUGCUGAGGCUACCGAGAAGGAGGCAGCUAAACAAAAGCCUGUUUGGGAAAAGGGGAAGUCUCCGAGCUUCCUAACUGGAAGGGAGGAGACCUUGGCCCCAGCCUUAGUGGAGGCUCUUCCCCAGGAGGUCCGAAGUGCCACGGAGAACUUUUACCGUUUCUAGACGGACAGGUGGCAGUUGCAUGCCUCCUCCUGCGAUGCCACCGACCUGACGAGGGCGUUGGUAAGCCAAAGUGUCAAGACUUUUGGCCUCGCUCUUGAAUGCAGGGAGGCCCUGAGUGAUUUUCAGACAAGGACUAGGUCUUCGGAGGAGAAGACGGCCUCCCUUGCAGAGGAAUUGAAGGCGGCUAAGGCCGAGGUGGAAGAAGCCAGGGCCCAAAAACUCGAAGAAAUGGCCAAGUUGGAGUCUGCCUUGGCCCAGAUUGAGCCUUGAAGAAGGAGGUCCACGAGUCACAGUGUAAGGUGGCCUCCUUUACAAAGAAGGUGGAGGUCUCCAAUGAGCACCAGAAGGUGACCGCCAAGACCCUGGAGAAGGCAAAUCUCUCUUUGACGGGUGCCCAAGAAGCUUACCAUUUCUUGGAAACCCAAAUCAAGUGGUAUGUGGAUGAUGCAUCCCAUGCCAGAGAGGAGGCCCAACAGGCGAGGGAAGAGGUGGUGCAGGAGUACGUUGCCAACUUCCACAACACAGACGAGUAUAAGAGCUUCAGUGCGUACUGGAGAAACUUUGCCUAUGCUGAGGUGAUGGAGCGGGCAGAGAAACUGUAUCCCAAUUUGGAUCUGACUCAACUCAGGUCUGAAUUCGUGGAUGAGGCACCUUAGACCCCUGCUGAGGACGUGCAGGGUAAUGAAGCAGCUGAGACAGGGGAGACAAAUGUCGAUACUCAAGCUGCUGAAGCCCCAAGUACAGAAGCACCUCCCCCAUCUACCCAAGCUUAGAUUAGUUUUCUUUUCAGUCUUUUGAAUGUAAUGGUCUGAGGCCCACCUUUGUAAUCUUUAUUGAAGAUCAAUAUGAUGCCUUUUUGAUUCAUUGUUGUUUCUUUGUCCAAGUGUACGCGCCUCGUUAAACAAAUGAACUUAAAAGUUGAUAGAAGCACUAACUAAAUAACUUUAACUUGGUACCUUAACUUCAAUCACUUUAAACAACUGGAUUGAACAACUGUAUGAGCCUUGGACUUAAGCAAAUGAGCUUUACUUAAGCAUAAUGACUGUAUGAGCUUCGGACUUAAGCAAAUGAAUUUUACUUAAGCACAACUGUGUGAGCCUCGGACUUAAGCGAGCGUCGAGUUUAAGCAAAUGAACUUUAUUUAAGCAUAACUGUAUGGGCCUCGGAAUGCACGUGAGGUGGCUUCUCCCGUUGGUGUUCAGCCUGGCCAAAGGGAGACAUGUGCUAGCGCCUCGGAGUUUAAGCGAGGUAGCCCAGAGGUGGGGCGCAAGCCUCUCCUCCGAGGUGACGACGCAUCCCAGACAUGGUGGAUGGUGCAGCCAUGUUGAGGCUUCUCCCGUUGGCGUUCAGCCUGGCCAAAGGGAGGCAUGUGUUAGCGCCUCGGAGUUCAAGCGAGGUGGCCCGGAGGUGGGGCGCGAGCCUCUCCUCCGAGGUGACGACGCAUCCCUGACAUGGUGGAUGGUGUAGUCAUGUUGAGGCUUCUCUCCUUGACGUUCAGCCUGGCCAAAGAGAGGCAUGUGCUAGUGCCUCGGAGUUCAAGCAAGGUGGCCCAGAGGUGGGGCGCGAGCCUCUCCUCUGAGGUGUCGAGGUAAUACAACAAGUUAAUUUAAUCACCGAAUUUUAUUGAACCAUGAAAAUGUUACAAGGGCUAGGAAAGGUCAUCCAGCAAGAUAGUACAUUUAUUGGUAAUAGAUUCUGAGGUGUUCAAUGUUCCAUGGACGGGGUUGUGCCUUGCCGUUCAUGUCUUUAAUCUAGUAAGUCCCAGGUCAAACCUCUUCUCUGAUUUUGUAUAGACCUUCCCAGUUUGGGCUAAGGGAACCGGAACCAGGUUCUUUUGAGGAAAGGAAGACCCUCCUAAGUACAAGGUCGUUGAUUCGGAAUGACCUCUUCUUGACUUUUGAGUUGAAGUACCUUUUCAUCUUUCUCUGAUAUGUGCCGAGUUUCAAUUGGGAGUCAUCUCUUCUUUCUUUGAUGAAGUCGAGGUCGAGCCUCCGAAGCUCAUCGUUAGUUAUCUCGCUGAAGUGCAGACGUCUUGGGGAUGGAAGUCCGACCUCCACGGGGCUCAUAGCCUCUGUUCCAAAUGUCAUGAAGAAGGGGAUUUCUCCUGUUGGGGUCCUGGUGGUGGUUUGGAUCGCCCAAAGGACUUGGGCCAGCUCAUCAACCCAGGCCCCUUUUGAUAUAUCAAGCUUCCUUUUCAAGACGUGCUUGAUCGUCUUGUUCACGGCCUCAACUUGGCCAUUUACUUGUGGGUGGUGAGGCGUGAAGAAGUGCUUCUUUAUGUCGAGCUCUUCGCAUAAUUCUCUAACCUUCUUGUUAUCAAACUGUCUGUCAUUGUCUGAGACAAUUGAACGGGGAAUUUCGAAUUGGCGAAUAAUAUUUUUCCAUAAGAACUUGGAGGUAUUGGCUUCAGUGAUUUUUGCCAGUGGUUCGGCGUCGACCCACUUCGUGAAGUAAUCAAUAGCCACAAUUGCAAAACUUGCCCCUCCUCUACCUUUAGGUAAGGAACCUAUGAGGUCCAUACCCCAUUUUGAGAAAGGCCAGGGGUUGGAAACGACGGUCAAAUCCUGCGAUGGUUGUCUCUGCACAGGAGAGAAGCACUGGCAUUUAUUGCAUUUUCGUACAAAUUCGAGGGCGUCCCACUUUAGAGUAGGCCAGUAGUAUCCCUGCCUCAAUAUUUUUUGUGCCAGAGAUAGACCUCCAGAGUGGUUGCCGGAAAUGCCCUCGUGGAUUUCUCUUAAUAUGUAGGUAGCCUCUUCUCCUCCGACGCACCGUAGGAGUGGGGAGGAGAAGCUCCUCUUGUAGAGAAUGUCAUCAAUGAAAAGGAAAUGGACUGACCUCUUUCUUAGCUUGUAAGCCUCAUUCUUGUUAGUUGGCAGUACUUGGUCUUUGAGGUAUUCUAUGAUUGGCUGCAUCCAAGUGGGAGUUUCGGCGAUCCACAUUACUGUAGGGACAUCGAUCGAAGGUAGGAGGAGGUGCUCAAUAGGUACUACUGUGAGUAGCUCUGAGUCCUUGCUACUAGCCAGCUUCGAGAAUGCAUCCGCAUGCGCAUUUUCGAUGCGGGGAUCUGGAUCAGCUCAAACUUUUCGAAAGAUGGGAUGAGGUCAGCACCAUUUUCAGAUAGGAGGCCAUCGUUUUGUCUAUGGCUGAGAAGUUACCAUUGACUUGGCUAACAACUAGCUGGGAGUCACUACUGAUGAGUAGCCUCUUUACUUGCAUUUCUGUGGCCAGCCUGAGGCUAGCAAGAAGUGCCUCAUAUUCUGCUACGUUAUUGGUAGCGUUGAAUCCGAACCUUACUGCUGAGGUGAGUUUAUAACCUUCGGGGCUGAUGAGGACAACCCCAGCACCUGAGCCGACAUCUCCAACUGACCCAUCGACGAAGAGAUUCCACGUGGGUGGCUCGACGGGUUCCAUGAUUUCAUCCACCUCGAAUAGGUUGGCGAAUUCAGCCACGAACUCAGCCAAGGCUUGCCUUUUUAUGGCUGCCCUUGCCUUGAACACAAGGUCAAAUUCACUUAGUUCCACUGCCCACUUCAAUAACCUUCUUGAGGCAUCGGGCUUUUGGAGUACCUGCCUCAGGAGGAAGUUUGUCAGUAUAUGGAUGGUGUGAGCUUGGAAGUAGGGUCUCAAUUUCCUGGAGGCCGUGAUCAAGGCUAAAGCAAGCUUCUCCAUAUCGGGGUAACGGGUUUUCGACGAUAUGAGCGCUUUACUGGUGUAGUAUACAGGGAGUUGGGUAGACCCUUCUUUCCGUAUCAAAACCGAGCUGACAGCCUCAUUGGAGACAGCCAAAUACAGUUGUAGGAUAUCAUCGGGCUUCGAUUUGGAGAGGAUGGGGGCCUGUCCCAGGUGCAUUUUCAGGCAUUGGAAGGCCUCUUCACAUUCCUCAGUCCACUGAAAUUUCUUCCCAGUCUUCAGUAAUUUGAAAAAUGGGAGGCAUUUGUCGGUAGCUUUGGAGACGAAGCGGCUAAGUGCGGCCACUCGCCCGGUAAGACUUUGCACCUCCUUUGGCUUUUGGGGGGACCUCAUUUUGCAUAGAGCCUCAAUCUUUUCGGUGUUGGCCUCAAUUCCUCGUUGGUUGACCAUGUACCCCAAGAAUUUGCCGGAUGCUACCGCAAAGGCGCAUUUGAGGGGGUUUAGUCUCAUCCAAUACCUUCUUAGGAUUUGGAAAGUGUUGUUGAGGUGCGUCAUGUGGUCCUCGGCCUCCAAACUUUUUACCAGCAUGUCUACAUAAUUUCAAUCACACAUUCUUCAAUAAAAUAAUAUUAUACGCAAAUUAAAAACUUUUCAUUAUUUUCUAACCACACAUUUUCCAUCAGUACACCAUUCAAAAAUAUAUUUUUAUUGAAAUAAUAUGGCUCAAACAAGGACUUAUUAAUAACAAGAAUCGAAUUUUAGCUUACAAACUCUGUAUCUUCAUGAUCUUUGGCAACAACUCUCUCUCUUAGGAAUUGAUUAAGUUCUUGUUUGGGCUCCAUUAAAAUAGAUUUUGAAAAAAUAAAAAUGAAAAUUAGACUUACGUGUGACAUGAUUUUAUUAAAGAACGCGUAGUUAAAAAAUAAGAAAGAAAAAGUACAUUUUUUUUCUAAAAUGGAACCCAAACAAAGGCUAAAUGAUGCGCUCAUAGGGUUAAGAAUAUAAUUAAUUUAAUCAAUGGUCACUAAAAUUUACUAUACAUUACUAUUCGCUCAUUGAAAUUUAAAAGGUUACCUUUUGCUCAAUAAACUUUGCUAUAGAUUAUAAGUUGUUCACCAAAAUUUAAAAGAUUAUUUAUUACUCACUCAAAUUUAAACAAAGUUAUACAUUAAUCACUCAUAUAAUUUCCAUAAGUGUCACCUAUUGUAAAGUUCAGUGAGUAACGAGUAACGAGUAACUUUAUCCAAACUUAAGUGGGCAACGAGUUACCUUUUAAAUUUCGAUGAGUAAGUAGUAAUAUAUAGCAAAGUUGAUUGAGCAACGGGUAACUAUUUAAAGAUCGAUGAGCAAGUAGUAACGUAUAGUAAAGUUCACUAACUAUUCAUUGAAUUAUCUCAUUAAAAGAAUAUGAUAAGACAAAAGCCAAGAAAAAUAAGAAUACACCAAAAUAUUGUUGGUUCUUUCUUGUAUUAUUAGCUUGGUCCAUCUUUACUCGAUCAGUUACCUAAAAAAAAAAAGGUUAAACCCCAAUCUUGAGGGCCCCCACCACCCCGUCUCUAGAGCUUUGUGAAGGAGGUAAAUCGCUAGAUGUGUCCCAAUAGGCCAGGGAACAAGAGCUGCUUGUACAUUGCGCCUACAAGGAAUCCAAUUUCAUGUCUCGAGAAUCGAAUUCCCACACUGCGGCUGCCAGCAAUGCAUGAGAUAACUUCACUCCUGUCCUUUGCACUACUGGACUAUGCCCCGGGGGCGAUCAGUUACCAAAUAUUAUGCAACAUUGCUAGAGUGCCCUACUUACUAGAAAAUGAGGAUGAAUACAGACACGAAAUAUAAUAGCUUGAGUUUUUUUACAGUAGACUUUCACUUGAUAAGUGAUGGGAAAUGAUUUUCUAUGAAAUGUUAGCUGGAGUUUGUUACACCUUGAAAUCUACGAGGUUUAAGUAUCAACAUGGCAACGAAUCUCACAUAGGCUCCCAACGGUGCAACACAUGGCAGAUCUAUGCAUUCUUAGCUGUGUUUAGAGAAGGCAUGUAACUCACCAGUCCUUAUCUUCGCCAUUAUUGUCAUCCUUAUAGUAUUUGCACAACAAUGCCUUUCAACGAAGGCAUUGCUAGUCACAUCAACUCCUUAAUGCAGAAUGAUAAGAGCGAAACAGUUAGGUGACCGGUGGAUGAAGGUGCAUGUGACAUUCGAUUCUAAUUUUGGCGUACUUCGAGUAAGACGUGCUGGAUAAGGAAAUUGCCUUAUCAAUUCCUAAAAAUCAGUACAUAAUCCUUGGGGAUCAAGAAAGAUUUUGGGGAAUCAAUAUCUACAAGAAAAUCCAAUCGCACAAAAAAAUGAACUCGUGGAAGGAAAAAUACCAUAAUUUGACCAGCAUCAAACGAGCCAAUGAUAGUGUGACACAUGGAUUUUUAUUUUUUUUGUUCGGGUGGUUGGUGUGGGUAUGCAUAGCUUAACGUAAGAAACCAAUGUAUACAAUUAUCAAAGUUCAAAGCCUCGUAUGAAUAACCAGAGCCUGAUCUUGAGAGACUAUUAUUAUGCAUUUACCUAUGUGGUAAGUUACAUGACUACCAGUUAAACAAAAUGCCAAGCAAGCAUUUUAUCUUCGUAGGCAAAUAUAUUUGAGUGUGUUGCCUUCUCUAUCUUCUAGGCCUAGGCAGUAAGGCCACAUUCCACCGCCUCGCCCACUUUCAUUUUCAAGGCAUUGAGCCUCAUUGACACUCUUCUUGAGAUGACAUAACGUUCAACAAAACUUAUCACCGCCUUUCGGAGGCAAUCGAAGAGAUCUAACCUUUAGCUAUAACGAAGCGGACCUCUUGAGUCCGAGGAGAUUGAAGUCAACUCAUGUUUCCUUAGGACUUGUGUAAAAUGUAAUCUGAUACGUUGAAUUAUAUGUGAUUUGAUUGAUGCGACAUUUCUACAAAAAUAAUGACUGGUAACAUGGUCAAAUUCCUCCUCAUUUGCCUAAGAUAGGGUAUUGAAAGUCACAUGCCUAUAAUGACUAUAAUGUGAUAUUGUUGAGCUUAAGAGUGGGAGCAAUUCGAAUCGAUUUGGUUUCGAAUAGAGCCACACCGGACAAAGUACCAAUGAAAAUAUUAGAAAUGAAACCAUUGGUUCUAUAUCUAACUAUAGAAUCGAGCCGGUCAGCCCAAUUUGGUUCUUUAUAUUAAAAUUUUUAUCAAAAUAAAGUAUUAACUACUUUCAAUUAAAAAGAGAUGAAAUAGAGUUAACUAAAUAAGGCAACAAACAAAAAUACACUUCAAUGCUCAAGAUGAAUUGAUAAGAGAAUAAAAAGGAUAAUUUAUUAAACACAAUAUAAACUGUAAAAUUUAGAUAAAAAAAUGCAUGUAGUAUUUGUAAUCAAAUUAACCCCAAAGGGCAGAUCUUGAUUCUAAUGAUUGAACACUUUGAAAACAACAAAAAAUUUAAGUUCUUACGAAAGAUUGAGUUAAAAAUACACUUUUUUUUUUAUUGGAUUUGAAUUAAAUCUCUAAUUUUUUGUAAGAUAUUUAUAAAAUUAUUUAGAUUUAGAUGUACCCAUUAAAUAUUAUUGUAAAAGAAAGCAGAAGAAGAAGUGUGUAGAUAGUGAAAUUUUAGGCUCCCUCCCCUCUUAGCUAACCACCAUCAACCCCAUUUUUCACUUGUGCAGUAUAUCAAUAAAAAGAGAAACUAGGGCGAACCGAAUUCACUAUUGGUUAUUAAUGCAGUGCCAAGAAUCGAACCGAAACCGAUCACUCCAUUUAAUAAGGGAACCGGAAUUGAACCGAUUGGCUAUAUCGGGUUCCAUCGGCUAUGGAAAAAAAUGCUCACUAGUUAAGCUUCACAUGAGCUAUUAAGAUUAUACCAUGUGUGUAAAGUAUCCAAUAGAAUAGACCUCAUCUCUAUCUUUCUUGUUUAUAAAUACUCACACAUUGUGUCACUUGAAGAUAAUUGAAAAUUUGCAAUUAUCACUUUAGAAAUUCAAAUUCAGCUCCCGCCCCAUCCUUCUUUCGCGUUUCUCCUAUAUCCAAUUUAAUUUAUAUAUGACUUCAGUUUUUGAGUGCACAUGAUCGUGGAUCUCCGCCCCCUCUGCCCUUCGAACCUGCGAUCUUGCACCUCUAACAUGUGUACAAGUGUGUAGUAAUGAGCACGUGAGAAGAGAGAAAGUAGAAAUUUGUUGAUGUUUGAGUUCCAUCUAGGGAUCAAAAAUACUUUUUGACAAAUAUGGACUGAAUAGAAGACACAAGUUUUUUGUUCAUUAUCAUGUUUACUUUAUCCUAAAAAAUACGAAACUAGUAAUUUUUAAAUUCAAAAUUUUGUGGAAAAAAUGGUAAAAACAUCGAGUUUUACUCGAGACAAAGAAUCUGAAGAAUGUUAUGUUCACACUGCGAUAAGGACAUUGAUUGAAUAAAGAGAGAGGUGGGCACUACUCAAAUGAUGUUCCUUCUUGAUGUUAAUUGAUUGUUAGGGACAUUUCUUAUGAAUUCACAUUGACUUACUGUUUUAAAUUACUUUUUACGCGUCUGAUGUAGUAAGCUCUUAUUUGGUUUCACUAGAAAAGUUGAUAAAAAAAAUUUAAACGAAAAGGUUAACAAUUAAUUUUAACCACAAAUUAAUGAAAUCCACAACUUUUAUCAACAUUUCCAAUUACAAAUUCUAUCAACUUUUAUCAAAAUAUAAUAAAAUUUUAAUAUUUAGGAUAAAAAAACUAAACAGGGACUAGAUAUUAUUGAUUAGUGCAAUAAAUAAAAUUUUAAUCUCUAUUAUCUUUUUAAAUAUAUUCAAUUUAAGUUAUCUUAUUAAUUUCUUACUAAUCAGAAAUCACUCCUAAUACUGGCAGAAUUUUCGACCACAUUUUAAAAAUAAAAUUAAGGUUGCCAAUGUCAUGCAUUUCGUCAUGGUUUGAGAAAGUAAGUAGAACCACGAAUUGAGGAUAUUUUUAGGCAUGAGGUUCAAAAUAUCCAAAAAGUCUCACUGUCACGAUGUAAAUAAAACAACAAAAUUCAAAACCCUUUUAAGGGGUAAUGGAAACCGUCUCCUAUACUCCCUAUCUUUGUCCUAACUAACGCGGAAACAAUAUACUUUUAUUUUAAUAAAUUAAGAAUCGUCAACUUCAUUAAUUUUUGAUUUACAGUUUUAAGAUUGUGUAACUCUUACAUAUAUAAUAUUUUUGUCAUUCUUUUACUUUCAUCUCAAUUGAAGUCACAUUUAGCCCCCCUUUGGCUCCCAUUACAUUACAUUCUAUUUCUCUCUCUCUUGUUUUCAACCACAUAAUCUUUCAUAAUAUAAUAUUACACGUAAAUCAAAAACUUUUUUUUCAACCACUCAUUUUUCAAAAAAAUACUAUUCCACCCAUUUUCAUUUUUCGAAAAUGAGGGCCAAAUAGGGGCUUACUUUUUGGCCUAAAUACUUAUUUAUUUUAGUACAACUACAGAUACCCUUUUACUAAUAUCAAACUUGAAGAGGCCCAUAAUGAAAGGCUAAUGGUGUGGACUGUGGGGGUGCGGGAGUAGACUAUAAAAUUCAGGAUUUUUAGAAAGGUCUUGCAAAAUUGAACCAGGUCUAAUCUUGGUCAAUUAGUUGCCUAAAAUUAGGCAUGACAAAUUGAUAGCUGGGCUAGGGAAAUUGUGCGUAUAUGGUUGACGGAUAAAAAGGAUUAAUUUAAAUGAGUUUAAUAUAUAAACUUGAAGAACGGUUAGCAUUCUUGAUUAUGACAAAUCUAUUACAAAGAUAUAAUUAACUAUGAUCGAUAUGAUUGAAGGAAAAGACUGACACGAUAAAAAUGUAAAUCAAGGAUUGAGCAUGUUUAACAAGGUUAUAUGUUCUACAACAAUUGACCUUGAUGAAGCAUCGUAUUCAACUUUCUGACUAAGCAACUUAACUUCGUCUUAGACGUGUAUAUUUUUUUAGUGUUUAAGAUUCUCACACACUUAGUCGGUGAAUUUGAUUAUGUGCUGAGGAAGAAGUAGAAUAGACGUUUUAAUAUGUACAUUAUGUUUAUCAAUAAUGUUUGAAAAAUGGAUAUGAAGAUACCAAGAAUGCCUUUAGGAUAAGAGGAAUGAGAGAAUCCAGAAAGAAAUAUCAACAAGUUGUUGUGCCAACAAAGUGGAUUUUCUGAGUUCAUUUGAUUGAGCACGGACGAAAUCUAAAUCCAAAGGGUUCCCUUGAAAAGAAGAAAGAAAAGAGUGAAGCCAAUAGAUUUGAUUUGCCUUAUCGAAGGCCUAUGAGAAGGUGGCCUUGCCAACUAGGUUAAGAUUUCCUAUAACUAUCGCCAACUAGACUCGCUGGUUAAUAUGUCCCCUUAAACAGUGUGAAGUUGAUAGCAUGAUUAUCACUUUACAACUUUUUGUUCUUAAAGUGGAGGAGGAUUUUCAUGAACUUCUAUCCAUUCAUUGGACUUGACAGUGCCAUAAGCUUAUGGACCAAAGGCAUCUUGAUGAGUGGAUGACUUCUUGUUUACACCCCACACAGCCACCCCAGUUUUUCCUUGGCUUGAUUUUCAGUUUCUGAAAGUGGAAUUGUGGGGCAACUUUAGAAUCCACGCUACAUUGUGGCAUCGCAUGCACCUUUGAUAGGAAUGGAUUUGCGGGCAUUUGGAAUGUCUAAAUAGUUAUAGGAAAUUGGUGUUUUCUGGGUUGAAGUCUGUUGCCAAGAGAAAGAGUAACCAUCUGGUUUGAGCUUGUCAUUAGGUUUGGUGCAAAGAAUAGUGCAUUUUGUGAAUGAGAAGAGGGCACCAUGUGGUUAUCAUUGAGGUUUUCCUGGUCAAACAAGGGCCGAAUAUGAACCUAAUAAAUCAGAAUAAUAAAGGAUUUUAUGCUCCGAUGCAUAUGAAAUUUUCCAAAGAAGAGAAUAUGCAUUUUUAGGACAUGAAAAACUUACAAAUAGAAGUAAAUAAAAUUGGGAAGGAUAAAAAGGAUUGAAAUUGAAAUACAUGUGGCUCUUUUAACCUGACCUACCUGUGAAGGGACCUAAGUGCGAGACUAGAGGGAAAUAGUAGCCAAACUCAUCGUUGGCAAGUGAGCAGAGGACCUCUAGUAGGCCGCGCCUCCAACACUUUUGCACGUGAGUUGAGUACCAAUUGUAGGCCUCGCCUCUACUUGCACAAAUGCAUUAAAGCUCGCCAAGCUAGGUGAGCUAGGCACUUUGGAUACAGCCUACCUCACAUGCCUAACUUAACUCGUCAAUGACUUGGUAAAGGAUCCAAGGAACUCUAAAUAGGCUUCAGAAAGAGAAUCUUUGAUAAAGAUCGUUCCUUCAAUUUAGCAAUAAAUUAGAUUGCGACUAACUUAGCUUGAAGCAUGGCUUGCUGUUUUGAGGCUUGAUACUACUCUUGGGAACAUUGAUACAUCGACUUUCAAGCAUCUCGUAAUUGAGCGGUGCUACCAUCAACAAAUCUAACAUGGACAAUGAUUGUUGAACAUGGAUAGAAUGAGAGUUGAACUCCUCUCUCUCUCUUUCCCUUAAAGCCCUUGUUUGAGCCCCAUUUUUGUGAAGAAAAUGAAUUUUUGAAUAUUGUAUUGAUGGGAAAUGUGUGGUUAAAAAAUAAGGAAAAAAUUUUUAUUUGUGAAUAAUAUUAUUUUAUUGAAGAAAGUGUAGUUAAAAUGAUGUCAAAUCAAUGUUGAAGAAUAUAUUUUGGUUGAAAAAUGGGGCUCAAGCAAGGGCAAAAGCUCGUGGGUUUGGUGUAGUGAAAAAGAAAAAGAAGCUUUAGUUUCUGAAUAGGGCAAGCAUACCUAGGAAAUCGAGAUUGGGAUACCAGUCGCCUACAACAUGAACCAUGUCAAGGAAAAUUGAGAGGGGGAAAAAAAGGAAAGAAAAAAACACAAGUAACAAAAUAUUACCAUUAAAGGAAAUAGACAUAAAAAAGGUAAAACUAGGCUAUUCCCCGUCUCUUUCUGCUAGUUGGUCCAUGUUAUCUAAGUCCUCAAUGCCAUUACUUGCUGAUUCAGUGUUAAGAUUUGAAGUUCCAUAUUAAAAUGUCAACCUUAUUAAGAGAGUAGUUCAAAUUCUUAUAAGUUGGUCUAUGUUUUCAUCUUCAUUCGAUAUGAAAUUUUAUCCUUUAACAUGCCCAUACAAAAUGGUUGUUCGUUUGAGCAGACCAAUCUUGAAAUUCGUGUGUUCAUUUUUUGUUGAGUUUAAAUUGGAUCGAAUUGCACAUUUAAGUUUAAUGGGUUUUGAUGCUAUGUUAAAAUUUAGGGUUCAAUCUUAAAAUGUCAACCUUAUUAAAAGAAGUAACUCAAAUCUUAAUAAAUUAGUUUAUAUUUUCAUCUUUAUUAGUUGUGAAAUUUAUUGCUUAACAUUCAUAAGGAAGAGAGGAGCCUUCUUAUCGAUGAACCCCAAGUGUCCUUUCACGGGGCUUCAUCCGAGCUGUUGCCCACCAUGGCUUGACCUCCUUGCUCAAUAAAGCUCUUGGACUAUCUUCAAAGUGCACAUCAAUCAGAACAGCAACAUGAUUUAACAUAUUUCAUAGCCAAUUUAGAAGAUUAAUAGUGGCUACACAUAGAUUGACACACACACACACAUAUAUGAAUAAUUACUUUUAUCAUUGACAUUUGAAAAUGGAAGCAUAUGCGGCAAAUAUGAAAGUACUAGAUAAGUGCAAAUCAACGGAAAGUGAUUUUAAAUUUUUAAUACAAGCUCAAUUGAUGGUGGAGAAAAAUGAAAAGAUAGCAUUGUUUAUGUACGGUUCGUGCAUUUCUUUAAAGAAAUUGAUUAAAAGCUCUUAAAUGACUUGCCAUUUCCAGCAGGUCGAGCAUGCUUUUAUUUUUAAGUAACUUUUUCGUAAAAAUGUUUGAGCUUUUCCUAGAAGUUGUGUGUUUAUUUUGGAAUGAUUAUUUCAAACUUCAAACACUUAUUUUAUAAAAGUUAAUCAUUCAAACACUUAUUUUAUAGAAGUUAAUCUUUACUUGUUUCAAAUGUAUGUUCAUUUACAUAAUCUUUAUAACUCCUUUGUGGUCGAACGAUUUGGGCUUGGUAUUGAAGUAGAUGGUGGUUGAUUGUUGCGGAAGCUCUCUCAAAAGGAUCUUCAAACAGUGGUUUUCCAGGCUCAGCCCAACGUACCUUUUUCUACCAACAACCAAUCCAAACGGCUCCAAACUACAACCAAUUGAUUCACCUUGGUUGCUAUUCAAUCUUACCCACGUAGCACAAGAAAGGAUGAUGAUUUAUCGCCACAAAGGCUAAGAGAAAACACUACAAAGAUAUACUAAAAAAAAGAUCUCACCACACUUAUCCUAUCCCAUUCCGUGUCGCUCACACCUCGAGAACAUAUCUUCUCUCAUCGCCCACCAAGCUCACUAGACAGAUCACUCAACUCAUGUCUAACUGGUAAGUCACAAUAGAUCCUAAGUCCACGGGAUAAUCCUCUAUCUCCACAUCACUUCUCCCAACCUACGUGGAUAAUGGGUCUCCACCUAACAGAAGUGAUAGAAGUGUCUCUCUCACACUCCACCUAAUCAGGGUCUCUUCCAGAUAAAGGAUCCUAGACAUUUGAUCACAUCUCCACUCGUGAUCCAAAUAUCACACUCUACAUCCCUCGUGCAUAUCAUCAAUGCAACUCUAAGCAUCUAUACUCCACCUUACCAAAAGACAUCCAACUCACUGCUAAUGCAUCUCAAACUCACUAUGGCAAAACAACACCUUUCAGUAACCACAAAUGUUACUCCAAUCACCAAAUCUCCAAAAAAUUCACAAAGAAAAUGGCGAAGGCGGCACUCACAAAGAGAAAUCGAAGAAAGAGUCGGUUACUUCACAACACUCACAAAGAUAAAGAAAGUAACUUUAACAUGGCUGCCUCACAUAAUCUCACAAACCACACAGGCUCACAAAGAUAAAGGAGAUAAACGGCUGCCCAACUUUCUUCUCACUACCACACUCUCACACCAUUCACAGAGCAAGUAGAGUACGCCACAAAACUUAACCCACUAUGCAUGAAAACAUAUUACACAAAGUAAUAAGUCACUCUAGUUCAUGCAAUUACACACAUCAAACAUAUUGAAAGUGUAAAAUCAACAUUACAACAGAAUUAAGUGAUCACAUACAUACAGAAAGGAUUACACACAGAUGCAAUGCAGUAAUCCUGUUUAUUUUCUCAAUAAACAUCACUAGGAUCACUACUCGACACUAAAGUCGCAUUCGCCUUGUCUCUAUCAUCAUCUUUCCUUUUAUUAUCAUCCUAGGACAAUCUUUUUCAACUAUGUCCAAAUUUUACCACAGUUAAAAUAUAUGUUAUUUUUUGCAUUUACCUUAGACCCAUAUUUGCCAAUAAUGCCAAAUAAUGACCACAAGUAAAGUAUGAAUAUAAUUUACAUAGAAUAGUCCAGUAAACAUUCCUAAGGUCACAUGCAAUUCUAAUAAUGCAGAAAAAAUUGACAAAAAAUUCACAAAGAAUUUAAGGCAAAUAAUUAAUAAAUAAUUUUUAGGUCUAACAACAGGCAAUGGUUACCCCUUCAUAGUAACCCCAAACCUAAUGUCACCCCACACGAUGACCUCUAAUGUAAAAAACAAAUAACUAACAUACACAUUUAUUUUAACUACAAAAAUAAAAAGCAAAGAAUACGAUAUCGAGCAGACACGUCUGAAGGUCCGUAAAUUAUGAGACAUGCGAAUCUAACACUUUAGGACCACCACUAUUCGUCCUAAAGUCUCUGGAAAUUGCAGCAAUCAAGAAAUCACGAUCGAGUUCCGAACGUCCGAAGAAUAACGCUAUCCAGAUUCUUCUGCAUACCCUGAAACAAAAAACUUUCAACACGAAAAAUAUUAGAAAUAAUAUGAGGAACAAAUUGCCAAAAAAUGGUCUACGCGCCCGCACGUGCCUGUAGAAGCCUCUGCACGUGAUGUUCACGCGCCUCCGACACGAGUCGUCGCCGUCCACACGCGCCUGACCGUCGUGAUCGCCUCCACCUGCACGUUAUAUCUGUGGUCUCCGUUUCCCCAAAGUCCUUCUGGAUUGGUCAGAAAACACGAAAAAUGGAGACUGGCUUUAACAGUUUUUGGACAACUUAUUCAAUCUUAUUUCUGCUGCGUUUCUGCCUAUUUUCUGGACGAUUUCUGGUAGAUUUCACGAGCCAAAACCUUCACCUUGAAGCUCUGAUACCAAUUGUUGUGGAAGCUUUCUCAAAUGGAUUUUCAAACAGUGGUUUUCCAGGCUCGGCCCAACGUACCUUUCUCUACCAACAACCAAUCCAAACGGCUCCAAACCACAACCAAUUGAUUCAUCUUGGUUGCUAUUCAAUCUUACCCACGUAGGACAAGAAAGGAUGAUGAUUUAUCGCCACAAAGGCUAAGAGAAGACACUACAAAAGUAUACUAUGAAAGAACCACCAAUUGCACACGUUAUACCAGCAUUCUGGACACUUCUGGACACCUUUUUUCUCACACAAAAGGGGGCAGCCGGGAUUCUCUUGUUUCUUCUCUCAAAAUCACACAAUCAUCAUAUCAAAGUGGCUAGGGUUAUAGCCAAAUAUAUACUCUAGGGUUAGGCUUUAAGUUGGGCCAUUAAAGGAGUAAACGGACCAAGAUUCAAGUCAUUCAUAAGGAAUACAAUUGGGCCGGGUGUAACUCAUGGACUUGGUUGUUGGACUUAUUUCAUUUAUCGGCCUAUACCUAUGAAAUAAUAUUAACUCACAUUAACAUCAUAACUCGAGAUUUAUUGGAUAUCAAAAACCCAACAUUGAUAAAGGAAUCCUUGAUCAUAAUUUCCAGUAUUCAUACAACGUCCAACAUGAAACUUGUGAUUGGUAGUUUUGUCCUUUAUCCAAGUUUAGCAACUAAAAAAAAAAAAAAUUUCAUGGGCAAAUAUUUACUCAUUCAAUCUCUAUUUCAUUUGUAGGGCUCGUUCGUGACUUCUCCCAAUAGAUGAAUUAAUCUUCGGUUCAUUUCGUCAUCCCAACUAGUGAAUCAUUAAUAUUCAUUUUUUCAAUAAAAUCUUUUGCAUGCACAGGAUCCAUCGUUCUCAUCGCUUCGUACUUAAUGAUUAGGUCCGAAUGGGUUAAUGAUAGUUGAUUGGUAUAUUCUGUGAAUUUGAAUAUUGCUCAUAAUAAUGGGUUUUGCUAUAUGAUCGACAGGCACCGGCCAAUAGAGUCAAAGAAGAUUAAUCCUAUAACAAUUGGGCCUUAUGAAUAUGCCCCCAUAGGUUCUUUAAUGUUGAUUUGUUGGGCUGGACAAUUGUGUUUGAGCUGUUAGAUACAAUAUCAGGCUUUAGUCGUACAGAAAAGCCCACUAAGUAAUAUCUACUAUUGGGCUUUCUUCCAUAAAUAAUUACAUUGUGGGUCCAAUCCAUUGGCAUGAGAUUACCAGAAGUCCAUCAAGGAGAUAAUAGGCACAAACUCCAAAACUCAAUGGUCAACCUCAACCAGCUCUCUUAAAAAAAAAAUUGGCCCCAGCUACUAAUCAUGUUAGGGAAAAUUUUAUAACUAAAAGAUUAAUUAUGAUUCAUUUUAAAAUUAAGAGAUAAGAUUUAAAAUUUCAAAAAUAAGAUAUUAAUUAAAAUUUAUUUAUGAAAUAAUAAAUUAAGAAUAUAUUUUAUUAAGCCCCUGUUCGUUUGCCAUUUCUUCCUACAUUUUAGAAGAAAUCAAGCCGUCUAUGGGCCCCACCAAGCCGUAAAAUUUGAUUACGAAUUUCAAGAAGCCAACGGCUAGAAAAUGCAUUCCCAUUUGCUGAAAAUGGGAAACAAACGUAGGCUAAAUAAAAUAUACGAAUAUCACAAUUAUACAAUUUAUGGUCAAAAUUACGUACUUACAGGUUACAACUUAUUUUUUAGUCACAUAUCAUCAAUUUAAUUGGUCAAAAAUUAAAAAAUUUAUAGAUCAUAAUUUAUUUAUUGAUCACAAAUCAUAAAUUUUAUAAAUCACAAUUUAAAAGCAAUUAUAAGCUUUUCCUCGUGUACAACUUCUUGAAAUGCACCUUUUACGGUGCAUGGUCUUUAAUUUUAAAUUUACCUAACCUAGUUAAGAAGCCUUAAAUGACUAUUGGUUAGGUUGUCAAAUAAAAAUUGAUAGGGCUUGCUAUGAGCCAGCUCAUGACAACAACUUGAUAGACAUGAACAUGUACUCUCCUCACAUGGUAUCCUUCUUGCAAAAGGAAAAGCACUGGCCCUCUCUUUUCAUUAUGCGGAGAAAGACACUUUGGAUGAUUUCACAAUGCUGAUGUCAUAUUAGAUGUGUUUUCUUCAAGAUAAUUUUUUUUUUAAAAAAAAUAUUUAUUUAGUUUAUAUCUUUAGAUGAAAUAAGAGAAUAUAAAGAUCUUGAGUUUUAAUUUUAAAUAAUGAUAUAAAAUUAAGACCCAUUUGACAAGGUUUUUGCUUUUGUUUCUGAUUCUUUUAAAAAAAAAGAAGAAGAAGAAUUAUAUCCUUGUUUGAGCUCCAUUUUUGUGAAGAAAAUGAAUUUUUGAAUAGUGUAGUGAUGAGAAAUGUGUGGUUAAAAAAUAAGAAAAAGUUUUUAAUUUACGUUUAAUAUUAUUUUAUCGAAAAAUGUGUAGUUGAAAUAUGUCAAAUCACUGUUGAAGAAUGUAUUUUGGUUGAAAAAUGGGGCUCAAACAAGGAUUCACACCACAAUUUUUAUUUCUUACAACACAUUUUAAUUACAAUUAAGGUUCCUAAUCUUUGCUCAUUAUAACAUUUAUGCCCCUAAUAACUAUUUACGUCAUUCAUAUCCUCAAACUUUUCAUUAGUUAAUACAUUUUGUCCAAAAGUUUGAUGAAAUAGUGUAAAACAACUUAUUUUCCCAUCAUAUUGUAUUUGAUAACACUUUCCUCUAAAAGCUCUUUUAAUCGGACAAAAUUUUUUUAGAAAAUUAUUCAAAUAUAUUCAAAAGCAAUUUCUUAGUUAAGAAGUAGCUUUCCAAACACUCUACCAAGGAUCAUAAUUAUGUAUAAAUUCCUAUUCAAUACAAUGACAUGAUUCAUAUUGUAUCAACAUGGUACCAUAAUUUAUCCUUCUCUCUCUCCCAAGUCUAUUUCAUCUUGGUUAAUUAUCAACAGCGUCAACUUAUUUUUCUGAAUAUUAAAUCUACUCAUGGCUGAGAAGGUAUGAAUAUUUUUAAGCUCUGUGUUUAUUUCUACUUCUAUUAUAUGAACAUGGCUUUGGAUUUUUCUACACAAAAUAUUAUUCAUAUUUAAAUUUUGAAGCUACUGCUUUUGUCUUCCACAUACUAUCUUCAUCAUUUUUUUCCCAUCAGGUUACUGAGAUGGUGCUAAAGGUUGAUCUUGAUCUCCAAUGUCAUUCCUGCUACAAGAAAAUCAAAAAAAUUCUUUGCAAAAUUCCUCGUAAGUCUUUGAAUUCGUCCAUAUUAUGAUUGAACAAAAACAAACAUUAUUCAUUUUCGUGUUGUCGACUUGUUUGGAUAAGAACUGACUUAUUUUUUUGAUGUAAAACUUAAUGGGACGAAAGAAAUUAGGGGGCAGAUAUAUGAUGACAAGCAAAAUACAGUGACAAUCGAUGUAGUAUGCUGUAGCCCAGAAAAAAUUCGCGACAAAUUGUGCUGCAAAGGUGGAAAGGUUAUCAAGAGUAUUGAAAUAAAAGAGCCCAAAAAGAACAAGAAGCCCGACAAAAGUCCAGAGGAAAACCCCGGGGGCCCUACGAAGACCGAAGUGAGCAAACCACCUGAGCAACCGCCUCCACCACCCGUGAAUAAGCCCGAAUCAAUUCCACUUCAUCCACCAGCACGGACCUGUUGUGGACCAUGUUCAGAAGGUCAUGGUGGGGGUCCAUGCUACCGUGGGUACCCAUCUUUUCCACCGCGUUACGACGGUUGUUAUGGUUAUGGGUACUGGUGUAGGUGUGGAUGUGGGUGUGGGAGUUGGAGGGGGUGCCAGUGCCACCUGAGAAAGUGUAUUUGUGAUUGUUACAUAGAAGAAACCCCCUCUGCUGAAUGCAAGAUUAUGUAACAAGUAAUUUGGGAUAGUUUUCCAUUUUUUACCAUGAUUGGGUUGUCAGCAAAUUUUCAGUCAAUUUGAGGCAUUGGUCUAAAACCUAGAUGGUGACCGAUGUUGGUGUCUUGGUACUAUGUUUAUCAUGUGGGGUACCCAACUUUAAGAUGAGUUGUAUGAAUAUCACUUAUCUUCAAGUUAGUACAAUAAUGUCAUGUAACCCCCCCAUCAAAUUUAACGUCUAGUCAACUUAUUAUGUUAGUUGUGCAAGUAAAUCAAAACGAUUUAAUUGUACCAAAUUGACAGUGAAUAACAUGAAUGCAGCUUUGCUUAAAGUUGGGUGAAUGGCAACGCAUUUAACUUCUAUGCUUAUAGAUUUGUCAGUUUGUUAAUGAUUUAGAUUGAUUGUAUUUUUCAUAUAUUUAGCCCAUGUUUGGUAUAAAGUCAAUCACUUUUUAGUAUAUUUUAAUAAAAAUUGAUGGGUUGUGUGGUUGAAAAGUUGUAGAUCCCAUAAAAUAUAUGAUAAAAUCAAUUGUUAACUUCGGCUAAAAUUUUAAUCCAAUCAAAUUGGGGUUUUAUAUAGUUGUGUCACAAGUUGUGCCAUAUAUAUUAGGCCAUGUUUGGUCUAGAUUAGAAGUGGAUUAAAAUUUUAAGUCAAAAUCAUUAAUUAAUUUUAAGUUUUAACCACACACUUCAUAGGAUCAACAUGUUUUCAACCACACAUUUUAUCAACUAAAUUUACUAAAAAUUUGAUUUUAAACUGCACCAAACAAAGGCUAAUUUUACAUAGUGAUGUCAAAAAAGGUGAGAAAGUUUGGGUCCUGCCAAAUUUUCUUAAUGACUCGAUACUUUAUAGAUUUUGCUAAAAUAUUACAACCGAACAAACUGCAAUCUUUAACAAUAUAUUUCAUAGGAUUUACAACUUUUCAAUUACGAUUUCAUCAGUUUUUAUUAAAAUUUUCUAGAUUUUUAUCAAAAGCUUUAUCAAAUAGCAUCUUAAUCUUGUUUCUCAUGAAAAAUAUAUUCUAGAUGUUAGGUGCUUCAAGACUAUGUACUUGUUUGAUAGAAAUUUAAAAUCGAAUUUUUAGUGGAUCGAUUUUAAUAAAAUUUGAUGAAAUUUGUAGUUGAAAAAUUGUGAAUUUCAUACAAUAUAUGUUUAAAAUUAAUUAUUAAUUAAAAUCAAUAUUUUAAUCCCACCAAACAAGACAAAAUAUUUUCUUGACUCUUUUUUUUUUACAUACAAAUGAAGCCUUCCUAAUCUUUUAGUGACAAGUUUGUCUGUAGAGAUGAGGGUUAAUAUUGGACGAUAGAGAUGGUUUUGACAAGUGUGAUAGGUAGGUAUUUGACCACAACCGCAGCAAUGAUGGUAUUACCAACUAUUAUAACUACAUAUUCUGUAGUUAUAACUACAUAUUACAACUAUUAACUACCUAUCACACACACACACACAUAUUGGUUUGAGUUAAAAAAAUUGAUAAAAAUUUAAGUUAAAAUCAAUAAUUUAUUUUAAUUACACAUUUAAUGAGAUACAUUAUUUUUAUCAUCUUUUUAACAAUACAUUUCAUCAAAUUUUGUUAAGAUCUAUGAAAAAUCUGUUUUUUUAUCAAAAUGAAACGGGGGCUUAAAAUCAGUUAAGAAAAGUUCCUUUUUACCAUGUUUAAUUCAUUGAAAUAUUUACUGGAACUGAAUUUUUGGGGUUUACAGUUCAAUUUUACUUGUCUAUGUUUCCAAUUUUGUGAAAAUUAUUAAUAGAAUAUUAUUGAUUAUUAACGAGGCUCUAAAAAAGUUGAAAAAAUAAUAUUGAAAACAGAUGAGUAAUAUAAUUUUUAACUACGCCAUGUUAUGAUUACAAUGAAGGUCUUAAUUUUUGUUCAUUUUUGUGUUUAUAUCUCAAACUCCUUUUUCAUUGUAUUUAAUCUUAACUUUAUAUUAUUAGCACAUCUUGUUCUCGUUGAUGGUCAAAAAAUAUGUUAGGAGAAAGUAAAUUUACUCUCUGUACUUUUAAAUAAGCAAGAUCAAUAACAAAUACAAUAGUCUGACAAAAUACUUUCCUCACAUUAACAUGAUAUUUGGACAAAAAACGUUUUUGGAGAUAAAGUGUUUUAAUUAAUUGAAAUUAAACAUAAAAACACAUCAAAAAAGGUUGAAGAUAUAAUUGUAAAAAUAAGAAAAAUUUGAGGACCUUCAUUGCAAUUACAAUUCGAUGCAGUUAAAAAGUUGUGGUAUGAAUAUAAUUAUCAUUUUACUUAUAUCUAUAGGUUUUCUUCUUUUUUUUUUUAUUAAAUAAAGAAAUUGUUGUAAAGUCAGAAAAUCUUGUAUAUCUACAAAAGUAAGAUCCAAUGCAAAUAUGCAAUACAAAUGACACUGCUUCAAGUCAAAGUUAAAUAAUAUAAAUAUUCAAGUCUAUCAAACUUAGCCUCUAUUUGGUCCUCGUUAUUUCAAAUUAUACCUUUUGAAAUAGUAACGUGUGGUUAAAAAAAAAAUUCGAUUUACGGGUAAUAUUAUUUUAUAGAAGAUUGUAUGAUUGAAAAUAAGAAAGAGAAAAAUAUAUUUUUGGGAUAAUGAGAGCCAAAUGGGGACUUACUUGAAUAAAACCACAUACUGUGGAUUUACUUUGAGCGAAUAUACAAUAUCUUGUUCAUUUACCCAUAACUAGAAGAUUAAUAUCACGGUGGUUCGACAAAAUCUUCAUACAUUGACUUUUUCGGAAGUCACCUUGUUGAUAUCCUCCUACAACAAGGUAGGUCACUUGGUGGGGUUUCUUUGAGACAAAGAAACAAUAAUAAGGCUUUAUAUAUAUACACACACACACACAUAUACAUACAUACUUCAACAGGCUCUUUACAUUUAAUACUACCAAAAAUAUUUAUUAUUUGUCCUGUGUUUUAUUUUAACGAGCUUCCAUCCAAAUUAUUAUGUUGUUUUUCUCCAUUAAAAAUUGCAAUAUGUAAUAUCUCGAAUAUACAUACAAUAUAUUAUGAGGCAUAAAUGCAAGUUUCGAGAUUUUAGGGUAACUUAAUAUUUUUACCAUUUUCUAAGGACCUAGUGUUAAUAUUCUUAAUAAUUGGAUAUAUAUGAGUUUUACAUGAAUUUGAAUUUUAAUAUUAUUUUGGAUAUAUAUUGAAUUAUUAUUUAAUUAUCUGAUAUAAAAGUAUUUAGAUAAAACUUUAAAUUUGCAUAAAUCCACACUGGAAUCUUAUCCUCAUCUAGUUAGAAUUUUCUUAAAUUUGAAUUUCAUGAUAAAUUUGUUUGUUGAAAGGUCAAUUUAAAUUUGAAUUAAGAGUCCUAUUAGAAUUUUAAUUAAGUAACAAUCAUUAUCUAAUGACAUCUAUAAUUAUCCUCUUGUCGCACUUUAAUUCAGACAAAUUAAAGAAGGGAGAGAGAAAAGAAAAAGAAAAGGAGAGAGAGAGAAAGAAAGAACUAGAAAGGAAAGUGAGAGAGAAAAGAAAGGAAAAGAAAAGAAAAAGUUUUUUGGUGCGAUUCACUCGUAAGAAUUUUCACUCUUAAAUAGUUUAAGUAUAUGAGAAAUUUAACGAACAAGGUAUGGAUUUCUCUAAAUGCUAAAUGAUUUUGUGUUUUCAUUUUUUAAUGUUAUAAGAUAAGUAUUUUAUGUGCUAUUACGUUAUCAAAGUUAAAGAAAAAUAUUAUGGAUAAUACCAUGGGGUAUUAUUAUGUAGAUUUACACAAAAACUAGCCAUGGGACUACAUACCAUAAGUGGAGGUUGAGAAUGAGUAUGACUUAAAGUGAAAAUGAGACGAUCAUGUUUCUAUCCCAUUAGAAAAUUAUGUUAUGUACGUAUUUUACUCUUUUUUCAUAUAUAUAUCAAAUUGUGAAAAAUACUAAUAUGAAAUAUGUAAUGAGUGUAUCUAUAUGCGCAUUCCAUAUUAAAAAUAUUUUAAGAUACUUGAUUGAUCGAGGUUGGAGAACGAGACUGCUGACGAUAUUGAUGCCACUAGAUCAAGAAUUUUAUUUCCUUUCAAUAUUUAUUAUUUAGUUUAAAAUUAUUUAGCAAUCAGACAUUUAUUUUCAAAAUCAAUGGAUUUAUAUUUCAUUAGUGGAUUGUAUUUAUUUGACAUAUUACAAGGUAACAAUAAAACUUAUUUUAUUCUGCAAAGUUCUUCAAUUUUUUUGUAUUACAAUGUGUCAAUCAACUUUUAUAAUAACUAAAGGAAUUAUUUGAAUAACCUACAGAACAUAGGUUUCGGGCAUUAUAGUAUGGUAUCAGAACUCAGGCAAUUUUUCCUGCAUACGUUGUGAAAUUAAAAUUUUAUAUUUCUUUAUAUGUUAAAAUUUUAUAUAAGUUUUGAUCCACACAACAUUUGAAUCAGCAUUAUCAACUUCUAACCACGAUCUAAGGUAUGAAAUUACUUUAGUUUUAAAAUUAACAAGUGAUUGCUUGACCUUGAUAUAUUCUCUUUGUAAAAAGUUAAAUUGUCGUAUUUUAUAGAAACUUCAUGACUGUGCUAUUUGAUUUUACGGAAAAAAAUUCAUUUUUUGAGUUUUCUUUAUUUGCAUAUUUGUAGGAUUGAAAGACUUAGAAAAAAAGACCUAAAUUAUCUAAGGCAAGUUAGGGAUGUAGGUGAUGCACUAGUAACCCGUUCAUCACAUGAAAACCUUUUCAGUGGAACAUUAUUCAAAUCAAUAAGACGAAAAGUAAUAAUGAAACCCACUAUUUUAUUUUAUUUUUUUUAUGUAAAGCCCAUUUAGCAAAAUUUUAUUGGAAACAAUAAGAAUAUAUUGAACAAAAACAACACUAUUUAUACUCAAGUAUUCUUGUUGUCAACUAUAUCAGGUUAGUUGAAUUAACUUGAAUGACCUAUAAUAUACAAUCCCUAUAUUUAAGGUUUAGUUAACAAUUAAUUUAGCACGAGAAUUACUAACUGCUAUGCUAGGAAUGUCGUAGCAAGAACCACCUCAACAGCUUCGAGAUAGCCCUGGAUUGUCUUUGAUUAUAUAACAGUUUUACAAGAUGCACCCACUCGUGUUUGAAGGUGGCAUUGAUCCACUGGCUGCUGAAGAAUGGCGCUUCGCCAUUUUGAGCAUAUCUUCAGGUUUAUGGAAUGUACUGACGCACUAAAAAUUCUUUUUAUAGUAUUUACGAUGGAGAAAGGAGCAAGUCAUUGUUAGAAGAUGACUUCUGGAUCCCGUACCAAGGAGUAGCAGCGCAACUUUACAUGGGCACGAUUCAAACAGACAGUGCUUCAGAAGUACUUAGGGUUGGAUAUGGUCCGAUUCAAUUCAGUUCUCAAGAGAAUUGAAUUGAAUCGAAUCUGAAUUUUCUAUAUUUAGUAAGUGGAACCGUUCGGAUUUGGUUAUAUUAAUACCACACACAUAUACACCCUCUCUCUCUCUCUCUCUCUCUCUCUCUCUCUCUCUCUCUCUCUCUCUCUCUCUCACACACACACACACACACACAAACACUUGCACACACACUUUUUAAACAAUCAUUUAAAAUCUUUUUUUUUUAAAUUCUCGAUCAUUGUCCACCGUGAACAAUGACACGCACUAUUCACGUUUAAUUUUUUGUUUAACUUUAAAGUCUAAAUAAGCCUACAUAAAAUUUAUUGGUCUCUACUACCAAAUGUAACAACCCAAAUUUUAAUAUUUAAAUCAUUAUUAAAAGUUUCAUUUCAUAAUUAAAUAAACAUAUCAAAAAUCACAACAUGAAAAUUUUGGUUCCACCAAUAUUAAAUAAAACAUAUAGAAAAACAUAACCAAAUAAAACAUGUUCCAAAAUCUAAAUAACAAAAUCCACGUACUAAUAAAACUAAAAUAAAUGCUGAAAAUAAAAUUCAUAGUUAUGUUACACCGGAUUUUAUUUAUUAAGUCCAAUGAAUCCAAACACAAUGACCGCACCUUAUCGCCUGCAAACCAAUACUUGUUCUAACCUCUGAAAUACUUAAUAUGACAUAAAAAUAAUGGUGCAAUCUCGAAUAAAAAUAUUUGAUCACGCAUCAAAAAUAUCAUACUAUGAUCAUAAAUUUAGGGACCGAUAAUAACUCAAUACAUAUCACAUCUACGGUACUGAAUGACCAUAUCAUAUAUAUCAUAUCAUAUUUUUACCUUUCACAAGUAUAAUAAUUCGAUAACACGUAAAAACAAUUUAAACGGGAUAAAAACAAAUGCACCUCGUAAUCCUAACUCAUUAAAUCAAAUAACUUUUUUGCAAGAUAAAAUCCAAAAUCACGUUUCAAACUUUAUUUUCUGCCUCUGCUUCUAUGCUGUGCAUGUGUAUAUAUAUUUAUGUUGAAUUAAGCUUGGCGUACAGAUUUUACCUUACAGGUUCCCUACAGGUAAUUUAAAAAUGAUCAACUUGAUGGCCCACUUGUUGGUAAUAAAAAAAUGAGAAAAAUCAUAAUGGAGGGAAAGUAAAUGCAUCCCACGUGAAUACACUUUCAUUCCCCCCAAAAUAGCAAACAAUUGGUCUUGUGGUUCCCUUUUCCUUCCAACCUUGUAAUCCGGCAGAAACGACUGUAGCCACUACCGUCCGACCAGCAGAAAUAAGUUCCACCUCCGGCAGAUUUCGACUUCAUCUGAACGAGCGACAAAGGUCCAUCAUUGCACCCAUUUUCUCCACCUCAAACGAGCUACGUGAGCAAUUUCUGUAAAUCCACAAAUUGGGGAUGGGUGCCGGAAUAUCUUCUCCACCUCGAACUCUCUCUCACAUCCCUCAUGAGCUAAACUUCCAGCAGCGGUUCGAAAUGCCCAAAACCUUCCUGCCAUUUGCCCGUUUUCCACACAAGCCGUGAGUGACUUCUUGUCUUUGUGUUUGUCAUUUGCCCAUUUUCAUAUGAGAAUAUUAUUGAUAUUGUCAUUAAGUAUUAGCAAUGUGAAUAAAUUUUGUGAUAAAUUUGUUGUAACUUGGCAGCAAUGUUAAUAAACUUUGUGAUAAAUUUAUUGUAACUUGGCAGCAAGGUGAAUAAUUUUUGUGAUGAAUUUGAUGUAAUAUAAAUCUAUGAUGAAUUUGUUGUAAUAUAAAUUUGUGAUGACUUGGCAGCAAUGUGCAUAAUUUUUGUGAUGAAUUUGUUGUAAUAUAAAUCUGUUAUUACUUGACAGCAAUGUGUAGUGGGUGAAUAUGUAUAUAGAAACUGAAUUUAUUCAAAUGUGUUUAUUUACUAUAUUUGAUUUAUGUGACAUAACGUUACAAGUUAUAUUAUUGCUGACAGUAAAUUAUGAAAGACGUGGUCGAUAAUUCUUUGGCAGAAUCUGAAAAUGAGAAUGUUGUUGAAAAUACGAAUUUAGUGAAAAAAGAAGGUUUAGCAGAUGGGGACUCGAUUGUGCCGGAGAUGGGUAUGCAGUUCAACGAUGAAAAAGCAAUGUUUGAAUUCUACAAAAGAUAUGCAUACGAUGUAGGUUUUCCCAUUCGGAAGAGAAAUUCAAAAAAAGGAGAAGAUGGACUUUUAAGAUAUGUGACCUUUACAUGUAGUCGUGAAGGUCGAAGGAGUACAAAUGUUGUUGGUUCGUUGAAGCCUCAACCAACGACGUAGACGGAUUGUAAAGCUAGGAUCUCUGCUUCUUCAGAUGUUAAUGGAACUUGGAGAAUCAAUACAGUCAAUCUUGAGCACAAUCAUACAUGCAGCCCUUCAAAGUCCAGGUUUUAUCGUUGCAAUCGAAAAUUGCCUGCACAUGUGAAAAGGAAACUUGAAGUGAAUGACAUGGCAGGAAUAUCGUUGCAUAAAAGUUUCAACUCUGCAGUCGUUGAAGCUGGUGGAUAUGAGAAUUUGCCUUGUGUGGAAAAGGACUGUCGAAAUUAUAUUGAGCAAGUAAGAAGGUUGCGACUUGGAGAAGGUGAUACAGCCGCAAUACAAUCUUACUUUUCCAAAAUGCAAGCACAAUGUCCCGAAUUUUAUUUCAGUAUCGAUUUAGAUGAUGAGUCACAAUUGAAGAAUGUAUUUUGGGCUGAUAAUAAAUGCAGGCAGGCGUGUAGGAGUUCGGUGAUGUUGUCACCUUCGACACCACUUAUUUGACUAAUAAGUACGACAUGCCUUUCGCUCCUUUUGUUGAAGUUAACCAUCACGGUCAAUCUAGAUUGCUCGGUUGUGGUCUAUUGUCGAACGAGGACACAGAUACAUUUGUCUGGGUAUUUAAAACAUGGCUUGAGUGUAUGCAUGGUCAAGCACCCCAUGGAAUCAUUACAAACCAAGACAGGGCCAUGCAAAAUGCAAUUCAAAUUGUCUUUCCGAACACAAAGCAUAGAUGGUGUUUAUGGCACAUUUUGAAGAAAUUGUCGGAGAAGUUCGGGUACCAUGUUGACAAGAGAAACAUAUUUUCGACUAUACAUCGAUUGGUGUAUGAUUCGCAGACUGGUACAGAAUUUAAAGAAGGUUGGGGAUUGAUGAUUGAUGAGUAUGAGUUGCAUGAUAAUGACUGGUUGGCUGGACUGUAUAACAACAGAGCUCGUUGGGUUCCUUGCUUCUUAAAAACAACAUUCUGGGCUGCUAUGUCUACGACUCAGCGAAGUGAAAGUAUGAAUGCCUUCUUCGAUGGGUAUGUGCAUUCGAAGACCUCGCUUAAGCAGUUCGUUGAACAAUAUAAACAAGCACUAAGAAAUAAGGUUGAGAAGGAGUACCAAGCUGACUUCAAGUCAUACUCGCAAAUGGUACCAUGUGCGACAAAUUAUGAAAUGGAAAAAUAAUUUCAGUUGGUGUACACAAUGUCGAAGUUUCGGGAAGUACAGGAUGAGUUCACAGGGGAGGUAUAUUGUGAUCUCCUCGCUGCCUCGGAGGGAAGUUUGGGGACCACGUACGAAAUUUUAGAGGAUGUGCUGAUCGAACACAUACGGAAGAAAAAAAAGUGGUUCGUCUCUUUUCGGAGGGAUAGUAGUGAAAUUAUUUGUAGUUGCCACUCGUUCGAGUUCCGAGGGAUAAUGUGCAGGCAUGCAAUCGCAGUCUUGAUCUGUAACAAUGUGACAUCAAUGCCAGAAAGGUAUAUACUACGAAGGUGGAGAAAAGAUGUUAGUCGAGCGCACACAAGAGUAGCAGUGAACUAUGCUGACUUAGUUACUACUCAUGCACAGUUGAGAUAUGACGGUAUGUGUCAUGCUUUUUCGCAAUUGGCGGACCUCACUGCAGAUGACGAAGGGCGAUCACGUGCAAUAAUGGACUGGAUAAAAUACCAAUAUAAAGAGCUUACGAUGACCAAGUCGAGCAAUGGAAGUAAUGUUAUUUCGCAGCCUGCUGUUCACUUACCCUCCGAGAACAUUGAUUCUCAUAAAUCUGCAUGCAAGACUGUGAGGGAUCCUAUAUUGGUCAAGAGAAAGGGUGCACCGAAGAAACUUCGAACGAAAGGCCCGUUGGAGUCGAGGUCAAAGAAAAAAAAAGGUAUAUUUGUUUGUUGGCAUCGCAAUAGAAAUGGACCACAUUUUUGAAUUCUCAUUUAACUUUGAUAUAAAUGCAGGGAAAUUCGACUUCAAGCAAGGGAACACAUCGACGGACAUACCUACUAACAUCCUGGAGGUUGCACCCGAAGUUCAAGUAUCUCAACUAAACUAUUCCCUAUCGACCACGUUCUCCUAUUCACAAAUGUUGAUGGUUAGUAUUUUCAAUUCUCUAUUGCAAAGGAUGUUUACGUUUUAUUUACAUUAUUGCUGCAUAUAGGGUGAUGCCGAAAAUCAUUUAUUUACCCAACAAUGCCUAUCUUCGAAUGUUAUGCCACCAUCGUCACGUGAUAUUAUAUUUCAUUCACAAGGUAAAUAAAUGUUCAAAUUUCUUAAUAAUUCAUUCUUGUAUAAUUUCAUUACAAGUUUUAAUGUUCGUUGCAUACGGCAGGUCAUGGAAUGCCCUACUACUAUCCACAUUUACCAGAACAAGGUGGCAGCGGCUUGUGAAAAGGUUAAGCGUCCACCAUUGACUUCGCAUAUAGAAAUGGGAGAAUUUAACAUGAAUGACUUAGUUGUUACUUUUGUAGGGAGGGAAACAUCAUAUGUAGUGGCCGAAGGGAUCUCAACUAAGUUGUUAGAAGGAUUGACGGACCAUUUUCAUAGGAUAAUAAUGGCUGGACCGUAGGCCAUGUUUUUGUUUUUUGUAAAGCAUUUUGCUUGGCGGGCACUUUUUAUUUGGUGGCAAAGAUUCAGGAAUAGACUUUGGUAUCUAUUCUAUUAGGCAUUGAUGAGAGUAACUAUGUGAUAGUCAAGUCCGCUGGAAUACUAGUGGAAUAACUUUUAUAUUAUUUUGACAUCUGCUGCUUGGUGAGUUCUGUGGGCUUGUUAUUAUUGGGCAUGGGCAUUUAAAGCUGCGAAAGCAGUGUGUAAACAAAAGAUGUUUUAAUGUUGCGUUAAUCUAUCUUGGAGUUGAAUUUGAAAAAAAUUCUAUAUUAUGUGAUUUAUAUGUGAAUUAUAUUUUUUGGUUGUCUCAAUAAACAUAGCAAAGGAAGGCUCGACUUACUUUCUCCCAUGGUGCAAAACAACUGUAUGCUUAUUCCUAAGAUGGUUGUUGUUGCUACCUCAAAGUUGAAUAUGAAGUUCUUGGGAGUAUGUUGGAGGUUUUCAAAACCACAUUACAUAGAAGGCUACAGUAAUAAAAUUGAUAGACUGACGAGCCACAUUUUUCUUCAACCUCUGAUGAAUGAGCCACUAAAUAAAUUGAAGAAAAUUCUACCAUCAAUUUGAACCAUAAAAAUUAAUUAACAGAAACAAAAGCUAUUCCUAACUAUCAUGGUUAACCAUCAUUAUUUUCCUUGUGGUAUCAAAAUGAGUGGGACGGUCCAUUUACUGUUCGAAUUCACAACAAAAUAUAUACAAAUUAAAGGACAAAAACACUGAAUUAUCUGGGCUACAGCACUCAACAUACAAGUAGGCAUUUUUAUUUAUCUGGGCUACAGCUACAAUUGCUAACCAAACUACAGCAACGUAACAAAAUUACAACUUGCAGAGCGGUUGACAUAGAAGUAGACUGGGGUCACAUACUUCACAAGUCGCAAAACACUUAACAUAAUUGUGACCUAUUAUCACGAAGCUAAUAUAAAGUUCCCUCUUAGUAUUCUUACGUCAACAAACAUAACUCAACUUGACCCAUUCGAACAACGACGCCAAUUAAGCCAGCCUCUUCCCUUUUGCAUUCCCAGAUGCACCACAUUUUUCUUUACGGAUAGUCACGUUCACAGCAAUAUGGAGCUCUUCGUCAUCAUUUAACCGCACUUGAGAUUGGAACGUGCGGGUCAUAUCUUCAAUUGCUUCCAUUACCAUUGGGGUAGUCGAGGUAGCACUAACGCUACUACAUUCACCUCGUGCUUGACCUUCUUCGUACCAUAUCCAAAAUCCACAUUUCUGACUGCAACACUUGAAUAAUCUGCCUUUGUUACAAGUUUCUUUCUCCACCUCAAAGCACUUUUGAUAUCCAUGCUCACACAACGGACAGUGCACUUUGAUAGGGCAUUGGACAAAUAAGUGUGCCUUGCUUCUACAACUAUGGCACACACCUGAAUUCUUCCCUAGCAUUCUACUAUGCAAAUCAACCUGCCAUCACCAAUCAAUUGGCAAUAUGAAUUACAUUACAUAAAUAAUGUAUAAAUUACAAAAGACACACCGCCGCGACAUAACAAUAGGCCCAACCUCUUUGAACAUUAUAAACAACUACAUGCAGGGAAUAUUGGAUUUUUUACUUCACAUUUGCUCUUCCUAUUUGAAGACAAUUAAUUUACAUUCCAUAACAGGACUCCGAUAAGUCUAGAUUUUCAAGAACGUUAUCCAUCAGACGAGGCACAGCACGGUUACAUUAACAAUAACGACAGAGCACUGGGUAUAAUGCAUUCACAUUUCUCCCUUCCUAUUUUUGUUUGCUAUUUGUCUUUCAUGCCAAUCAAUUAGCACUUUUUCAGAAGAACCAUAUAAAUGACAACAGGAAGAUGAAAUUAAACUACUACCUGAAUGAGAGUAGAUGGUCGUCAUCGAACUUGUUCAACAACAGAGAGAGUUCAGGGGAUCGUCAACUUGUUCGAUGCCUUUCAAAGACUGGGAAAGUGCUUGGGGAUUAUAGGACAGAAACGAUUCUAAAGCCUGCAGCCUGUGAAGAAGAACACAGUGAUGGUGGCAAAUUCGGCUACAUCGAGGUCAUUCAACGCCGGCUUCUAAGAUGCAUUCUUCUGGGAGAAGACAACCUCAUGACCAAAAAACGUUGAUGGGCUGCCGGAGAUGGAGGCGAAUCAGCCGACGCUCACUUGUGGAUGUGAAGUGAAGAGGCGAGACAAUCGAGCUUGGUCAGGUGCGGUAUCGACCGCGCUUGGUGUAUAGGGUUUGAAAUUGGGGAUUAUAGGAGAGAGUGUGAAAGAAAAUGCUGAAUUAUUGACUGAUUUUUGCUCAUUUUCUCGUUCUUUUUUCUGGGAGAAUUUACUCACUUUCCACGCAAGCCUGUAAAACGCCUGUAGGAUCGACCCUGUACACCAAGCGCGUUCGAUGUAUGUUUGUGUCCCCUCCACCAUCAUGUUAUACAUAUAUAUGUACUUAGGCAAUAGUGACCUAGACCCUAGGGGGUUGGUGAUAGUGGGAAACGUGUAGGAUAAGGUAAUAAUUAAAAAUUUUAAAUUAAACUUUAUCAUGGUAGGAUUCAUACACGUUGAGGAAAUAGAAUAUUUAAAUUCAUAUUUAACUUAAUUAAUUACAAAUUAAGGUAAUAUCUUUCAAAUUCGAUAACUUGGGCUUCGCUUAUUCAAAUUAACUUUUUUCUCGAGCCUAAUAUACAUGAUUUAACACGAGCUAUCUAACGAGCCCAAUAUUGAUAUACUUAUCAUUGCUCUAUCAAAAUCUAAUUAUUUGACCAAAAAAAUUGAAUUUAAUACAUAUAUGAUUUUAGUCCCCCCAAUAUUCCAAAAUAUAAAAUGUAGCAUAUAGAAUAAUUAAAUUUUAUUCUGUGAAUUUGUUUAGAGCUUUACAUCUUCGAUAACCAAAGAAAAUUUCGAUGACGGAAUUUUAUUAAUAGGCGGAGGAUGUAAUACUCCAAACAUACUCACAAUAUAUUAAAAGGCAUAAAUGCAAGUUUUGAAAUUUUAGACUAGUUUAACAACUUUACAAUUUUCGGAACUUGUAUUAAUAUUCCUAAUAAUUUGAUGUGCACGAGUUUUACACAAAUUUAAAAUUUAAUAUUAUUUUGUAUAGCUGUUAAAUUAUUAUUGAAUUAUCUUAUAUAAAAGUAUUUAGAUAAAAAUUGAAAUUUGCAUAUAUCCACAUUGAAAUCUUAUCCUCAUGUAGUUAGAAUUUUCUUAAAUUCGAAUUUCAUGAUAAAUUUGUUUGUUGAAAGACCAGUCUAAAUUUAAAUUAAGAGUCCUAUUAGAAUCUAAUUGAGUAAUUAUCGUUAUCUAAUCACAUCUAUAAUUACCCUCCUGUUACACUUCAAUUCUCGCAAAUUUAGAGAGAAAAAGAACAUAAGAGAGAAAAGAAAGAAGAGAGAGAGAGAGAGAAAUUGUGAAAAACGGAGAAGAAGAACAAAAAGAGAAAGAAGAAAGAAAAUAAAAAGUUCGAGAUUUGUUCGCAAGAAUUUUCAGUCCUACCUAGCUCAAGUAUACAAGAAAUUUAAUGAAUAAGGUAUGAAUUUCUCUAAAUGCUAAGUGAUUGUGUUUUCACUUUUUAUUUUUUUAAGUUACGUAUUUUAUGUGUUAUUAUAUGAUCCAAAUUAAAUAAUGAUAUUGUGGAUAAUACCAUAAGGUAUUAUUUUUUAGAUCUAUACACAAACCAACCAUAAGGCUCAAUACUCUUAAGUGGAUAUUUGAGAUUGGAUAUGACUUAAGCAAGAAUGAUAUGGUCAAGUUUCUAUCCUACUAGAAAAUUAUGUUAUGUACAUAUUGUAUUUGCAUUUUAUAUUAAAUUGUAAAAAUACUAACAUGAAAUCUAUAUUGGGUAUAUUCAUAUGCUCAUACCAUUUAAAAUAUUUUCAAAUACUCCAUUCAUCGAAGUUGGAAGUUGAGACUUCUGAUAGAGUCCGUGCCACUGAAUCAAGAAUUUUAUUUUAGUUCAAUAUUUAGUAUUUUGAUUAAAAUUAUUUUGCAAUUAGACUUUUAUUUUCAAAAUUGAUGGAUUUAUAUUUCAUUAGUGGAUUGAAUUUAUUUGAUAUAUUAUGAGACAAUAAAAUGGUUUAUUAUUUUUUGAAUUACAAUGUGUCAAUCAAAUUUUAUAAUGGCUAAAUAAUUUAUCUGAGCAACUUUUGGGACAUAAGUUUCUGGGGGUUACAAAAUUUUUUGAAUGUAAUAUAGAGUGGAAUGACUUUUUAAAUUUAGAGUGUCAAACUCACUCUCUAUUUUAAAAGCAUCUUCAAGAAGCUCUUUAAAAAUAAGAUACUCUAUAUUUUAAAGAGUCAAUUUUUAAAAUUAUGAGCAUCUUCAAGAGACUAUUUAAAUGCAAGAUCAUCUCUAUUUUAAAGAGUCACCUUUUAAAAUUAUGCUCUAAGAAACUCUUUAAAUUAACAUUUUAAUUUAAAUAGUGAGUUUGACUCUCCAAAUUUGAGAUAUUUUCAAUGUAGGAAAAUUAUAUAAUAAUUUGAAGAGGAGCUAGUCAAAAUAAAUGAUAGAAAAAAUAAUAAAUAUUUGUUUGGAAUAGUAAAAUUUAAUGUUAAAUAUAAAGAGCACGUUGAAAUAUUUUAAAAAAUUUACUCUUUAAAUUUAUAAAUGCUUUCUAAAUUAUAGAAUAUACUUCUUAAAAAUAUAGAAUCUAUUGGAGAUACUAGAACUCUCCAAAUUUAAAAAGCUAAACUCACUUCAUAUAAUUAAAUGCAUUCAAAAUAUUUUAAUAUUCAAUGGAGAAAAAUAAUAUAAUAAUUUGGAGGAAAGUAAUGAAAACACAAGAAAUGGAAAAAUAAUAAAUAGUUUUUGGGAAUAAUAAAAAUAACUGUUAAAUAUAAAAAGCUUAUUGAAGUACUUAAAAUUUUACUCUCUAAAUUUAUAUAUACUCUUUAAAUUGCAAAAUAUACCCUUUAAAAAUAAAUGGUCUAUUGAAGAUGCUCUACAAUGUUUAAAAAAUUUCUAAGAAUAUAAUUUUAUGAGUUAACUCUUUAAAAUAGAGAGUAUUUUAUAUUUAAAUAGCCUUUUUAAAAAUGCUUUUACGAGGCCCAAAGGAAAAGGGUACUAGUAAGAGUUGUUGAUAGCCCAAGCUAACACCCUAAUGUCCAUCUUAGGAUUGGGUAAUAUUUCGCCGGACAGAUCUAUGCUCAUUUUUAUUUAUUUAUAAAUUAAUGAUUUUUAUACCCUUCUCAAAUGGAGGCUUAAUUAAAAAAUAAUAAAUAAACAAAAAAAAAAGAACAAAAAUGGAAAAUAAUAAAGCCACUUAUCUUCUCUACCUCUGCCCUUGUUGCCCAAAUGUCAUUGGCCACCACCAUCAUUACCUCCAAUCCCAAGUCAAGCUCGCAUACUCGACUCUUUCACCAUCUCCACAUCAACAACUGAUAAGUGCAUUUUAUGCACUUAUUUAGACCAUAUUAUUAAGUUUUUAUGUCAUGAAAGUGUUAAUUGUUACUUAACUUGAGUAAUUUUUCGUUUAUUUCAGUGAUGGACCAGUUCCUAAGCAAUUGGAAAAGAAAAAAGGGGGAAAUCCAAAGUAUGAGGACUAAAUUGCAACAUUUCAAUAGUUGAUUCGGAUCACAAAAUGAAGAUUAAAGAUGUUGUGGGUUCAAUUGGAUGCAAAUGAAAGUCAAAUAGUUGAAAUUGCAAGAGAAAGAGCUUGAAAGAAUUAAAAAUCGACUUCGGGGGCUAAAAUGCAACAUAUAGAAGAAAUUUUGCCUGGGCGACAGCCCAGUUAUAAAAACAGGGCGAUCGCCUCAUAUGUUUUUCUUAUUAUUGAGAAGCAAAUGUUAGCCUGGGCGACAGCCCGGGUUUUGCCUGAGCGACAGCCUAGGCCAACCGCGGCGAAAAUUUUCUGAUUUCUUUUUCUGAUUAAAACUCUUAUGAAAACAAAUCUUAGGAGUCUUUUAAAGCCCUAGGGACGUCCAAAAAUAGAGAGGACACAUUAUACAUUAUUUUGGGAGGAUCUGAAGAGGAAGAAGAAGGAAGAACAAGAAGAUUCAAUCCAAGAUUCAGUAUCUCACUUCAAGAAUUCAAUAGGGUGAUGUCUUUUCUUGAUUCUUGUUGUUAUGUUCUUCUUUCCAUUAUGUUAGGCUAGAAAAAUCUAUACUAGGAGAUCGAUGAACCUUGUAAUGUGAUAUUUAAUUCUUUGUUCCAUAUUUUGACACUAAAACAUAUAUUGAUUGGUUUGAAUGAUUUAUAUGCAUUUAAUUGCUUCCAUGAUUAUAGGUCCGUAAUUAUGUGAGUUUUGGUGGUUUGUUUCAUCUAUUCGAAAGAAGAGGAAUGAAUUCGACAAGGUAUAAAUCAUCAUAAGAUUCGAUAGAAGAUAGAAAUAUACCUCUAUGCUUUGCGUAUAUCUCUAAGUACUUACAAAACUACGUGCAUUCUCAUAUAUUUGCAUCCGUCAUAAAGAUAUAGGCUAGUGGUGUAUGAGAAUAGGUUCAAUUCAUCUCGAGAGAGAGUGUUGGAUAUAUUUAGGAGUAUUGAUUCUUCAAAAUGUCAUCAUGUUGUCAAAGUGUGGAAUUAAGGUUAAAUUGAGCAUUGCUUGGGGAUUCAUGAUCCUAGUGGGCUUUUAUAUCCAUCGAGUACACCAACUUGCAAUCAACACAUUUACUUCACAUUUUAGUUCAUUCAAAUUAUACAUAUUUGCAUAUUUAAUCCAAGUAAUGUUAAUUUAAGUCACUAAAAUUCACGUUUGACAAAUCAGUUUCGGUUAAGACCAAGUUAGGUAAAAUUAAACUAAUUAAUCUCUGUGGGAUGAUAUUCGGACUCAAUUGAUCCUCUUUAUUACUUGUUAAUGAACCAUACACUUGCGAUGAUUUAAAUCGAAAGAAAAUAUUUCGUGAACAAGUUUUUAGCGUCGUUGCUGGGGAUUGAGUUUUAGUUUGACUUCAUUUAUUUUGGCACUAAUUUGAACUUCUACUUGUAUUUUUGUAUUUUUUUUAGUUUCUUUUUUCGUUUAUUUUGUCUUUGUUUUAUUUUUGAAUUCGAUCUAUCUCUUUAGUGUCUAAGUGCUACUCUUAUUUUUUCUCUCAGAUUUGCAUGCUAAGAUUGACCGGAAGAGAAUUGAUUCCGGUCGAUCCUGAAAUUGAGCGCACUUUUCAUCGACUACAAAGAAAGAACCGAGAAGCAAAAUUGCAAAUGGCUAAUGAACUGAACAAUCCUAUUAUCCUAACCAAUGAAGGAGAGGCAGUGAACGAAGGAAAUGAGAUUUUGGGCAACUUCUUGACUCCUCAAGUGAUUCAAAACCAGUCCAGUAUUGUGUAUCCACCAUUUGGACGACCCAACUUUCAAUUAAAGACGAAUGUGAUACAACUAUUCCAGAAUAGGCAUCAAUUUUAUGGCAGAGCCGAAGAAAAUCCACAUACACACAUAUCUCGAUUCUUGGAUGUGUGUCAACACUUUAGAUAUCAAGGAAUCUCGGACAAUGCUAUUAGGCUAAGGUGUUUUUCACACACCUUGUGGGACAAGGCACUUGAAUGGUUGGAUUUGCUUCUUAUUACAAGCAUCACUACUUGGAACGACCUGGCUCACAAAUUUUGCACGAAGUGCUUCUCACCAGCCAAGAUAACUAAAAUGAGACACGAAAUAUCCAUUUUUAGCCAUUGAAAAUUCGAAUCAUUUGAAGAAGCCUGGAACAGAUUCAAGAAUAUGCUCCGGAAGUGCCCUCAACAUGGGUAUGACAAAAGGACCCAAAUUCGAUUUUUUAUGCGGGGUUACUUCCGUACCACAAAAGCAUGAUGGACUCGGCAUCAGAUGGCUCAAUAUCCACACGAACAGUUGAUCGGGCACUAGAAUUAUUUGAGAAAAUGACAACUACUUCAGUGAUGUGGGCAUCUGAGCUGGUAACUCAGAAGAAACCUCCGGGUGUUUAUAAGGUCGAUACUUAUUCAACCAUAUCUGCGACUCAUUGUUUCACAAGGUAGAAAGCAUAUCACAAACAACACAAAAUAAGAAGAUUAGAUGUGAAGAAUUCGGAGCUGAGCAUAAAAUAUCAGAGUGUCCAAUUUUAAUGCAAGGAGUUGAGCAGGCAGGUUUUGCACAAUGGAGGCAACCCCAAUAGAACAAUCAAUAUGGGGAAACAUACAAUAAUAGUUGGAAGAAGCAUCCCAAUUUCUCUUGGAGCAACCAGAAUUAGAAUAGGCCGCAGGGUCAAUUUCAACAGCAAGAGAAAAAGCCUCAAUUGGAAUACAUGUUCGGGAAAUUCAUGGAGAGGACCAAUCAAUACAUGGAGAAAAUUGAAAUCACUCUGCAAAACUAGAAUGCUGCCAUCAAAAACUUGGAAACUCAAAUGGGACAGAUGACCAUUGCUUUUACUGGAAGAACACAGGGAAAUUUGCCAAGUAACACGAAAAUCAACCCAAAAGAGCAUGCCAAGGCCAUCACAACUCAAAGUGGAGUGUAGCUACCUGAUAUAUAUGUCAAAAAGCCUAUCAAGAACAAAGAGAAUACACCUUCUGUAGAAGAAGAAACUGUGGAGCAGGAUGAACAACCAAACACAUCUACCGCAAAGGAAAGCUUAGAAAAAGCUAGGAAUAAAGCAACAGUUACAGUAAACCCAUAUGAACCUUCAAUUCCAUUUCCACAAAGGUUGAAGAAACACAAAAGGGAGCAACAGUACAAGAAAUUUCUGGAAGUCUUCAAGAAGCUCCACAUCAACAUCCCGUUCCCCAAUACAUUAGUCCAGAUGCCCAGCUAUGCUAAAUUCCCAAAGGAUGUCCUAUCUAAUAAAUGCAAGCUGGAGGAACAUGAGACGGUAAUAUUGAUAGAAGAUUGCAGCGUAAGAAUUCAGAAAAAGCUUCCACCAAAAUUGAAAGAUCCAGGGAGUUUCACAGUCCCUUAUACUAUUGGUGAAGUUUAUUUUGAUAAAGCUUUAUGUGACCUUGGUGCAAGUAUUAAUCUUAUGCCUUUAUCUGUUUCUAGGAAACUCGAUUUGGGUGAGGCUAAGGCAACUACUAUGACGCUGUAAUUGGCUGACAGGUCAUUGACGCAUAUCAGAGGAAUAAUAGAGGACAUGCUUAUCAAGGCUGAAAAUUCAUCUUUCCUGCUGAUUUCCUCAUCUUGGACAUGGAAGAAGACAAAGACAUUCCGUUGAUAUUAGACAGACCAUUCUUGGCUACGGACAGUGCUUUAAUUGACGUUCAAAGGGGGCAGCUAAUUUUGAGACUUGGAGAAGAACAUAUCUCAUUUAAAGUCUUCAAGGCUAUGAAACUUCCUACAGAGUCAGAUAGUUGCUUCCAAAUUGAUGUGGUCGACAAGGUGCUUCAAGACACGUUUCGACUUCAACGUUCAAAAGAUGCUUAUGAGGCAUGCAUUGCACAGUCUUAAUCAAUUCACACAGAUUUUGUAGAGAUUGAAACAUGUGCAAGCUUCUUGGAGACUAAUUCGCCCUACACAAGGAAAAGGCACUUUGAGGAACUUGGAGUUGGAUCCAAAAAACCACUACCAUCCAUUCAGCAUCCACCUCUAUUGGAACUAAAGCAAUUGGCGCCACAUCUUCGAUACGCAUAUUUGGGGGACUCUUGUACACUCCCAGUGUUUAUCUCGAACGCCGUCAGUGAAGUGGAGGAAGAAAAAUUGCUUAGAGUGCUUCGGGAAAACAAGACGGCGAUUGGUUGGACCAUAGCAGAUAUCAAAGGGAUCAGUCAUUCACUCUGUAUGCACAAGAUUCUCAUGGAGGAUAAUUUUCGAUCGAAUAUUGAAGGUCAAAGAAGGUUGAAUCCGAACAUGAAAGAAGUGGUCAAGGUAGAGGUACUUAAAUUACUGGAUGCAGGAAUUAUAUACCCAAUCUCAAAUAGUACAUAGAUUAGCCUAGUUCAAUUUGUGUCGAAGAAGGGUAGAAUCACAGUGGUGUCUAACGAGAAGAAUGAGCUAAUUCCCACCAAAACAGUGACAGGAUGGAGGGUUUGCAUCGAUUAUUGCAAACUCAAUGCAACUAUAAGGAAGGAUCAUUUUUCACUCCCGUUUAUUGAUCAGAUGCUAGAGAGACUGGCGGGGCAUUCACAUUACUGUUUCUUUGAUGAAUAUUCAGGGUACAAUCAGAUACCAGUUACACCAGAUGAUCAAGAAAAGAUCACCUUCACUUGUCCCUAUGGUACUUUUGCAUACCGUAGGAUACCUUUUGGUAUUUGCAACGCUCCUACAACAUUCCAGCGAUGCAUGAUGGCGAUAUUCUCCGAUAUGGUGGAAAAAUUCAUUGAGAUAUUCAUGGAUGACUUCUCAGUUUUCGGAUCGUCAUUUGAUGAGUGCUUGAAGCACUUGAAUUUGGUAUUACAGAGAUGUAGGGGGACUAAUCUGGUUUUGAAUUGGGAGAAAUGCCACUUUAUGGUCUAGGAAGGGAUUGUACUUGGGCAUCGAGUGUCAUCGAAGGGAAUUAAGGUGGACAAAGUGAAGAUUCAAGUUAUUGAAAAUCUACCGCCACCAAUGGGGUUCGUAGUUUCUUGGGACAUGCUGGGUUUUAGAGGAGAUUCAUCAAAGACUUCUCGAAAAUCACUAAACCACUAUGCAAUAUGUUGAUAAAAGACAUACCGUUUGAGUUUAAUGAGGAGUGCCUAACAACUUUCAAUACAUUGAAGGCGAAACUUACAACAACACCGAUAAUUGUAGCACCGGAUUGAGAACUGUCAUUUAAGCUAAUGUGUGAUGCCAACGAUCAUGCCAUAGGAGCUGUUUUGGGGCAGUGACGAAAUAAGGUUUUUCACGUGAUUUACUAUGCAAGCAGAACCUUAAAUGAUGCACAAAUCAACUAUGCCACCAUUGAGAAGGAGCUCUUGGCCGUGGUUUUUGCAUUCAACAAAUUCAGAUCAUAUCUCGUGGGGUCUAAAGUUGUAGUGUACACAGAUCAUGCCGCACUGAAGUAUUUGAUGACAAAGAAGGAUGCAAAGUUAAGACUGAUCCACUGGGUAUUACUCUUGCAAGAAUUUGACAUCGAAAUCAAGACAAAAAAGGGAGUGAUAAUGUGGUGACUGAUCACUUGUCUUGAUUGGAGUUCGAAGAAUCGAAGGAAUCAGUGGACAUCAACGAGAUUUUUCCCGAUGAGUAAAUAUUCAGUAUUGAAGAAGCACCUUGGUAUGCCGAUAUUGUAAACUAUUUGGCCAAAUCCAUUCCACCACUAGAUUAUUCAAGUCAUCAGAGGAAAAAGUUCUUCUCGGAGUUAAAAUACUACUUCUGGGAAGAUCGUAUUCUCUACAGGCACAGGGCAAAUCAGAUUGUUAAGAAAUGUGUACCUGAAGAAGUACCGAAGAUUCUUGAGCAUUGCCAUUCAUCCUCAUAUGCGGGACACUUUGGAGCUUCAAAGACUGCUGCGAAGAUUCUACAGUCGGGGUUUUACUAGUCUACAUUAUUCAGAGACACCUUUGAAUUUGUAAAGAUGUGUGAUAGGUACCAGUGCAUUGGGAAUAUCUCGCGGCGAAAUGAAAUGCCAUUAAACAAUAUAUUGGAGGUUGAGAUAUUUGAUGUUUGGGAGGAUCGACUUCAUGGGGCCGUUUCUCCCAUCGUUCUCCAAUGAAUACAUACUGGUGGCUGUUGAUUACAUAUCGAAGUGGGUGGAAGCCGUUGCAUUGCCUACCAAUGAUGCGAAGGUGAUAAUUGAUUUCCUGAAGAAGUACAUUUUCAUUCGCUUUGGCACACGGAGAGCUAUAAUCAGUGAUGGGGACAAACACUUCUGCAAUCGUCAAUUUGAACAGUUGUUGAGUAAAUAUGGCGUAAAACAUCGUGUAGCUACUCCAUAUCACCCUCAGACUAGCGGAAAAGUUGAAGUGUCCAAUAGGCAAUUGAAGAGGAUACUUGAGGUAACAGUGAAUUCAUCUUGAAAUGAUUGGUCUAAAAAGCUGGAUGACGCAUUGUGGGCUUAUAGGACAUUCAAGACACUGAUAGGUAUGUCUCUGUAUCUCCUGGUUUUUGAAAAAGCGUGCCACCUGCCACUAGAGAUAGAACAUUGGGCAUAUUGGGCUAUGAAACAAUUGAACAUGGAUUUGAAGGCAGUCGGUGAAAAGCGUUUACUGCAGCUUAAUGAAUUAGAUGAAUUCAAGAUGGAAGCAUAUGAAAACUCAAGGCUCUACAAAGAACGAACCAAAAAGUGGCAUGAUUUGCACAUUUAGAGGCGAGAAUUUAAAGUGGGGCAGAAAGUGUUAUUGUACAACUCGAGACUAAAGCUCUUCACGGGAAAAUUAAGGACAUGGUGGUCGGGUCCUUAUACUGUCACAAAGGUUUUACCAUAUGGAGCUAUAGAAGUCAGCCAUGAAACUAAGGGUACCUUCACAGUAAAUGGGCAAAGGCUAAAACACUACUGGAGAGGUGACUUCCCCAAGUAAAAGUCCAAUGUUCAACUCGGGACACCAGAAUAAAGCAGCUAUGGGAAAGUUGAGCUAUCGACUAUAAACUAGCGCUGUGUGGGAGGCAACCCACUGUAUCCUUUUAACUUAUUUCGUUUUAUUUUUGCUUUAGCUUAGGAGCCUUUCAAUUUCACGUUCACAUUUUCUUUUUGUUUUUUUAUAGUUAGGUCAUCGAUCAUCCAUGCAUGUCAAAAUAGUCUAAACACUACCCCCACAAGAUGCCCUAUGCAUCGAGCAUGAGUUGUGAUUGAUUUGAGUGUUUUGGGUAUGAUAAUCACGCAUUUCGAGGCAUAAUGUUGUUUUUCAAAAAAAAUUCAGGGUUAUGGUGUGAUUUCAAUUCAAAAACUGAUUUUGGCACUAAGUCUAUGGCCGGCACAUACCCCAAGUUGAGUACCAUAUUUUCAAAAUUUUUAGGGUAUGUGAGAGGCCAGAUUAAUUCUCCAAUCGAAAACCACCUUUUGGGACAUAUUUGAUUAAAGUCGUGUGUGUGGAAUCAAAUGUAUUUAAAAAAAAAAAAAGGGAGGGGGGCUCCGCGAGGCUAGAUGAGUGCUCAGCUUUAUAAGCCGGGUGCUCGCCCGGCUGCGUUAAAGGCCAACAGGCCAUUAACUGCAGCCGCCCAGUUCAAAAAAAUACAGUUUUUAUAAAAACUCACGCACACACAAACACGAAAUUCGCAACUCACGGCAUAAGAUCGACACUACACACACAAGAACUCAUCUAACACACAAGAUUGGUUGGACAAUUCAAUCCAUUGCAUUCAACUCCUUCAAGGUAUGCACUCUUCUCCUAUCUCUUCUCUUCACAUUUUGAGCCGACAAUUUCAUUUGGAUUUCCUAGGCAUAUUAAGGAGUUUGUGAUGAAAUCAAUAGUGGUUUAAUAGGUUUGUGUUGUGAUGAAGACAAAAAGCAAAUGGGGCUUUGAUUCAAACAUUACUCUCUUGCAACCUUAGAAAAAUUAAGUGCCUUCAAGUUAUUUGAUAAAUUGCCUAAUAAGAGAUUAUUGGGUGAGUAGGGAGAGUCUAGUAAUUGGAAGCAAUGAUACAUGUUGUAGAUUGUUUUUGGUGUUGAGAUUCACAGAAUUGCAUUAGAAAACGCCAAAAUUUUGAAUUGCAUACCCUAAGCACCAUGGAUACACAUCAACAACCUUACGAUACAAACUUUUUGUUUAGGGAAUUUGAGAUGUAUUAUAUUCAUUUAUUUUAUACAUAUCCUAUUUAAUGACAUUUUCUCACGCAUGGCACAUGUUGUUACAUUUUGGCACAUGAUAAUUGGCAUAGUUUGGGGGUAUUCUCCACUUCACCUUACUCAUUUGUUUGUUACCUAUAUACUUACAUUUUCUAUAUUCAUAUGUACGUAUAGAAUGCCACCAAAAAGGAAGGCCACAACUCAUGAGAAAGGAAAGUCUAAAGUUGGCAAAACCUCAACCCGAUGCCAACGGGCAACAUAAAAUCUAGUUGACAGGGAUAUUCCACGGUUUGUGACUGUUAAGACUCGUGAAAAUUUUAACACAAAGUGGAAAGAUAAGAAAUUUUAUCGAGAACGGCGGGUCAUACUUAGCGAUUUUGGAGGAACGUUACUGGAGAGAAUCAUACACCAUUGUGGGUAGGACAAAGUUAUUGAUACACCUCACGCGGCAUUUCCUACAUUGGUAAAGGAAUUUUUCACCAAUUACAAUGCUGAUAUUGAUAACCCAAAAUCUCCUCAUAGAAGUCAAACAUGGGUUAGAGGAAAAUGGAUUCGGUUCAGCCCAACAACAAUUGACAGGUACUAUAGGUUGAAUCACACUCAUGUAGAGCCAUUACUAGAGGAACAAGACAUGGCACUGGUAGCACAUUUUCUGUAUGUUAGGGAAGUUGAUUGGCCACUUAAUUCAUUUCAUUUCCUGCAUAACGAACUAACUCUAGAGCUCAAACUCUUGCACAUCAUCUUCUGCACAAACAUUUACCCUACAUCCCAACAGACGAGAUUCAAUGAAGAAAGGGCAAGGUUACUUUAUCAUAUGGCAAGAGUGCGUAAGUUUGACCUGGGAGCCUAUAUAUAUACCUUCAUACGAGAGUUUACCUCUUCCAUAGAUAUUCAGCGAGGUAUUAUGUUUCCUCGCUUGAUCAGUGGGAUUUCUCUAGCAGCCGGGGUACCAUUGUUGCCAAGAGAAGAGAGUGUAGCUCCAGAUGCAUUAAGUAGAAGAGUAAUUGAAAAUUCAAAGGCUAGAUUGAGAGGAGCAGAGAGAGUACAUCGUCUCGAACUGGGUCCUAAUGAACCCCAGCAAGUCCUAGAUGCUGAUAUAGUCCUUCUCAGUAGACAGUUGUCACAGAUGCAGGCAACUGAAGUGGAGCUGGGUAGAUCUGUUGGCACCAUGACAAAUGCUUUGGAGGCAAUGCAGCGAAUGCAGCUAGAUAUGCAGAGGGAGUUACAAAGAGUAAGUGUACAAGUGUGAGGGUUCCAGCUAAGUGAUGACCGGACACGUUAUGAUCAAAGAACACUCACUUAUGCUUAUGGUCAAGUGAAUGAGCAGAUGAUGCGUUUUGGGAGUCAACUGGAGACAAUUGAUUGUAAUGUACACCAAAUAGCAAGAACCGUCGAAUCUCUUCGAACCACGAGUUCAUCUAGCCAGGCAGACCAACCUGACAACUCUACUCAUCCGCAUCCACCCUCGGGGAGUAUUUGAUCCUUUACUCUUUAUUUUUGCGUACUUUUGCUUUUUCAUUGGGGACAAUAUAAUAUUUUGUUUGAGGGUGGGGUAAAUGCUAGGACACAUAUGCUACUCAUUUUGACGAGUCCUUAAAUUGCUAAUUGGGUUUGUAUAACUAUUUAAGAAAAAAAAUAUUAUUUACUAUUGCCCAGUAUAGCGUUGAAUGACUUACUGCCUAUGAUGAUAUUAGUUCAAAUUAAGUAUGCCUUUAGCUAGGUUACUGGAGAACACGAUAACACGUGCAAUUAUUUGAGUACUUAUCCAUGUUAGAUUGAAUUAUUUAAGUGCAUAACCAUUUUGACUUAUCAUUUGCAUUAGGGGCAUAAUUUGAUCGAGUGAAUUUAAUUGUUGAUGUUGUUGAUCUAGUUUCGAAUAAAAUUCCCAAAACCUUUAUAUAGAAACCAAACUGGGUGAGAUGGUUAGUGCUUGUCGUCAUAGAAAUGUGAUGGUUUGGAGUUCCAGGAUCCCAACUAUAGUUAAAGGAGUUUGAGUUAAAAAGUCUAAAAUGGGUACUAAUCAUAUAAAAUAAAAAAAUAUAAAUAAAAAAAUAAAAAAAUCAAAUGUCAUACAUCUUCUACUUCUCUUUGUAGCAUUUUUGACUCGAGUGAUUAAGCCUGUAAGGGUAUUUUAAAACCUGGUGCCCUAAAGUCAGUUGACUUAGGAGUCAUCGGCCUAAAACUCGCUACAAGAGUCGUUUAGAAAGCUUAAUGGAGAGAGGUAUUGCAUGGGAGAUGUUUAAAAAAAAUAGAUUCUCUUAAAAAAUUGAUACAUCUUCUAACUUUCUUCGAAGCCUUUAUAACUCGAGCAAGUAAGCAUGUAAGGGUGUUUUAAAACCUGAUGCCCUAAAAUCAGCUGGCUUGGGAGUCAUUGGUCUAAAGCUCGCUAAAGAAGUUAUUUAGAAAGCUUAAUGGAGAAUAGUAUUGCACAGGAGAUGUUAGAAAAAGAAAAGUGCCCAAUCAGGACUUUAAGAUUUGAACUCUAGAGACUGGCGGUGUGAUUUUGAGAAAACUUACCACCUCAAUUCUAGGUUGGCAAGUAUCUAACUUUGAUCACUUUGUGGGGGAAAAAUGAAGGAUAAUAAUUUUAGAAAUCCCCAUGUGCUAAAAAUACCUCGGGAUUGGAGAGAAAAGCAUAAGGAGUGAUUCUACACGAGAGGUGUAAGGAAAAAUGACCACAAGAGGGUUGGGAUUGCAAAAUAAAUCAAUGACACUUGAUUGAUUAUGUUCUAGUAUGAGUGUGAGUUCAAGGUUGGCCAAUCGCACCCACACUAAGUUCAGCAUCGUAUAAGUAAAAAUUUAUUUUAAAUGUUGUUUGAAACUUUCUAAAGUGUAACUUAAAUUCGAACCUGAGGCAUGCGAUAAGCUGUUCAUUAUUGAGUCCAACAUUUGUGACCUAUGUGCAACUAGUAAUAUGAUCUAUGCUUGAGUUUUGUUUUGUUCGGGGACGAACAAAGGUUUUAGUUUGGGGGUGUUUGAUAAGUGCAUUUUGUGCACUUAUUUAGACCAUAUUAUUAAGUUUUUAUGUCAUGAAAGUGUUAUUUGACACUUAACUUGAGUAAUUUUUCGUUUAUUUUAGUGAUGGACCGUUUCCUAAGCAAUUGGAAAAGGAAAAAAGGGGGGGAAUUCAAAGUAUGAGGACUAAAUUGCAACAUUUCAAUAGUUGAUUCAGAUCACAAAAUGAAAAUUAAAGAUGUUGUGGGUUCAAUUGGAUGCAAAUGAAAGUCAAAGAGUUGAAAUUGCAAGAGAAAGAGCUUGAAAGAAUAAAAAAUCGACUUCGGGGGCUAAAAUACAACAUAUGAAAGAAAUUUUGCCUAGGCGACAGCCUACUUAUAAAAAUCGGGCGAUCGCCCCAUAUGUUUUUCUUAUUAUUGAGAAGAAAAUGUUGGCCUGGGUGAUAGCUUGGGUUUUGCGUGAGCAACAGCCCAGGCCAAUUGCAGCAAGAAUUUUCUGGUUUCCUUUUCUGAUUAAAACUCUUAUGGAAACAAAUCUUAGGAACCUUUUAAAGCCCUAGGGACGUCCAAAAAUAGAAAGGACGAAUUAUACAUUAUUUUGGGAGGAUUUGAAGAGAAGGAAGAAGGAAGAACAAAAAGAUUCAAGGUCUCACUUCAAGAAUUCAAUAGGGCGAUGUCUUUUUUUAAUUCUUGUUGUUAUGUUCUUCUUCCCAUUAUGCUAGGCUAGAAAAAUCUAUACCAGGAGAUCGAUGAACCUCGUAAUGUGAUAUUUAAUUCUUUGUUCCGCAUUUUGACACUAAAACACGUAUUGAUUGUUUUGAAUGAUUUAUAUGCAUUUAAUUGCUUCCAUGAUUAUGGGCCGGUAAUUGUGUGAGUUUUGGUGGUUUGUUUUAUCUAUUUAAAAGAAGAGGAAUGAAUUCAACAAGGUAUAAAUCAUCGUAGGGCCUGAUAGGGGAUAUAAAUAUACCCCUAUGCUUUGUGUGAAUCUCUAAGUACUCACAAAACUAUAUGCAUUCUCAUAUAUUUGCAUUCAUCAUAGAGAUAUAGGCUGGUAGCGUAUGAGAAUAGGUUCAGUUCAUCUCGAGAGAGUGUGUUAGAUAGAUUAAGGAGAUCAUGUUGUCAAAGUGUGGAAUUAAAGUUAAAUUGAGCAUUGUUUGGGAAUUCGUGAUCCUAAUGCACUUUUAUAUUUAUUGAGUACACCAACUUGCAAUCAACAUAUUCACUUCGCAUUUUAGUUCAUUCAAAUAAUACAUAUUUGCAUAUUUAAUCCAAGUAAGGUUAAUUUAAGUCACUACAAUUCACGUUUGACAAAUCAGUUUUGGUUAAGGUCAAGUUAGGUAAAAUUAAACUAAUUAGUCUCUUUGGGAUGAUGUUCGGACUCAAUUGAUCUACUUUAUUACUUGUUAACGAAUCGUACACUUGCAGUGAUUUAAAUCGAAAGAAAAUAUUUCGUGAACAACAACCAUAUACCGACACAAAGAAAAUACCAUCUCUAAUUCAACAUGGACGAGAGCACCAUCUCUUCAAGAUCCUCGAGGCUCGCCAAUUUAGACGAACAAAUAUGGAUGAUAUUAUAAGUGAGGUAUCAUGUAGAGUAGCCAUGCUUUCUGUUACAUCUUGUCAUUUUAACAAUAAAGUUGGGGUUUAAUUACCUCAUCAUUGUGGCUGAAGACCAAUCUGUAACUUGAUCAUAGAUUGGGGACUAAGCAAUAUUAGAAAAAACAUUUAGAUAAUCAAAACAUUCCACAGGAUAAGGCCCAUGCCCGCCAUCCUCCCUUAACCCCUCAACCCUCUGCCACCGGCAAAACCCAGGAAAAACACAUAUCGAAAAACUAGUGUAAAUUAAUUAAUGGUCACUAUACUUUGCUAAAGGUUACUACUUGAUCAUCAAAAUUUAAAAGGUUAUUCUUUGUUUACUCUAAUUUGAACAAAAUUUUCCAUCAAUCACUCGUAUCAUUUCCAUUAUUGUUAUUUAUAUCAAAGUUUAGUGAGGAACUAAUAACCUUAGCUAAAUUUAUGUUAGCAACAAGUAACAUUUUAAAUUCAGUGAGCAAGUAUUAACUCAUAGCAAAGUUCAAUGAGCAACGAGUAUGACCUCGUUUGAUACACAUUAAUGUAAAAAUAAGAAUGAAAAAUAUAGCCGUUAUGGAUCACACACAAGAGAUAGAAAUUCAAAUUUGGUGGCUUAAUGUGAUGGAUAAUGAUCAUAUUUUUCAUUUUAAUGAAGAAAAAAUGGGAAACAAAAAAGGGCUAACUUUUAAAAGAUCGUUGAGCAAGUAGUAACAUAUAACAAAGUUCAAUGACCAUUGUUAUCUAUUAAAUCUUGUCAUUUUAACAAUAAAGUUAGGGUUUGUUUACCUCAUUUUUGUGGUUGAGGACCAAUCUGUAACUUGAUCAUAGAUUGGGGACUAACAAAAAUUAAAAGAAACAUUUAGGGUCGUUUAAUUGUAAGGAUGAAAUUUGGAUGAAAAGAAAAUGAAUUUCAAGGAAUUGAAUUGCUUAGAAUUUGUUUUAUUGGAGAUUGACAAUUAAAUGUGUUUGAUUUGUAUAAUUUUCCACCUGAAAAAUGUCGAAAUGUUUUAUCUUUUGAUGUUCAUUUGACUUUAUUUUUUUAUUAAAAUUGUCAACUAAAAGGACAAAAUUUGUUACAAUUGAGAAUAGAAUUUGUUCCAAUUGUAAAAAAAUUUAAAAAAAAAAAAGGAAAAGAAAAAAAAGUGCCUGCAAAUCCAAACGAUUUUCCACAAAACUAUGAAAUUGGCACAUGUGUGGAGAGAAGUUGGGAAACAAAUUCCAUGAAAAUUUUUAACAAUCAAACAAUACAAAUUAAAUGAAAAUGAAAAUGAAAAAUCAAGGCUAUCAAACAUGACCUUGCACAAGGCCCCGUGCCCGCCCUCGUCCCUUUACCUCUCAGCUCUCGGUGAUCGGCAAAACCCAUGAAAACAUACACACCGAAAAACUAUAGCGAGUGAAAAGAGCAACAAUGGCUUACAAUCUCAGUGCUUCACCAUUUACUUCACUUUCUCAUGGCACCAAUCUCUUUUGCAACUCAAUGUCUCCUCCACACCUCCUUCAACUCAGUCUCAGACCGUAAAAAACCCGUCGAUUUUCGCCUCAAAUUUCGUCCCCGGAAACCCCCUUUUCAUAUUUCCAAUGUCUCUUUACAAGAACGAGAGCACGCCGCAAUUUCAGAAGAUUCACA